CUAAGGACAAGGGAUCAAAGAAUUUGCCGCCAGGGUAACCCUGUUCUCCAGUGAAGUUGGCAAAGUUCUCAGCAGUCUUGGACCAUGGAGUGGCCCAUUCUACUGACUGAGACUCAGGGUUGAAGAAGUGGGACCAUGGAGUUGCCCACUCUACUGACUGAGAUUCAGGGUUGAAGAAGUCUACCCACCUUUUGCUCUCAACCCACCCCAUGAGUAGAAGUUGAGUGCCAAGAAGUGAUCCAAAAGAGAAAGGUGCAAUAGCACCGGGGUCAGCACCAGCCUCGAACCAUGGAAUGCCACUCCAGGCUUGACCAACAAAGAUGCCCAAUACUGCAGCCAUUGCCCAUCUGCCGUGAAUGAGCUCUGCUUCUCUGUACCAUUUCAAGAAUGCAGGGUCCUUGCCAAGACCAAGUGGGUCAAAACCAUAGUCACCAGGGAGCCUGCAAGUUCAAACGCAGUUAAGCCUUUGCGAAAAUGAAACAUUAGAAGAGGGGGGAGGAGCAGAGACGAAUCUAAAGCAAGUUCAGGGUUCAAACUUUCAGCUCGAACCAUAUAUACAUAUUCUGAAUACACUAAUUUUAAAUCCUUGAUUCGUCUCCAGUGGAUGGAGGUUGAGGGUAGGAGAUAUAAAGUGAACUUACGAGCCAUCAAGCCACUCAGGGUCAAGCAAAUUGCCACCACCUUUAACAGCAGGAAUCCAAGAUUUCUUGGGAGCAGCUGCUGCCGCCACAAUGCACCUCUUGGGAGUGGCAAGACCACCAACUCUGGUGGCAACUGGAGCACCCAACAAUGCCUGACUGUUCUUGCCACCAGUCAAGAAAGAGGAGCUCAAGCCAUUAAGCACAGCGGCAGAUGUGGUGGCCAUGUUUCUCACUACACGCUUAUGGGGUUUGUUUGUGUAAAAUAAGCUGUGUGGAUGGUUGUUUCUUGUUAAAAUGUAGAAGUGUUUCUAGUUAUAUGGGGUAUGAGAUCAAAAGGCCAGAUUGUAAGAAGCCAAGUAGGAUAAAUGAAAUCUACAGAUGAAAUCUAUGAUCUCUAGUGGAUAGAUUUCGGACCAAUAAGAUGUUCAGCUCCAUCUCUAUCUCCCUUAUUUAAUUUGUGCCAUCCACGUGGACACCUCCCCUAUAGUAUAUGCAUCUGCAUGGUUUGUAAUGCCCCACUCUCCCACCUCUCAAAUGCUUGAACAACCAGAUUCUCUGGAUAAGAAAUUCUUGUGUGUCACAUAGCUUCUACUUAGUUCUUUGAGCUAUCAUGCUGGUGCUAAUGUUUAUGUAGUACCACUAGUUGAAAUUUGAGAACAACAACUAGGGGGUAAAUGGAUCUUCAAAAAUCGAUUCAAGCUGACCGAAUCGUAUCGAACCGAUUAUGAGGUUUACGUUAAUAAAAUCAUAGGUUUUUAUAUUAAUUUAUAAUCAUACCGAAUAAUUGGGUAAUUUUCUAAAAUAAAUUGAAAAAAUACCAAACUGUACCAAAUAAAUUUAUACAUGAAAAAUAUAUUUUAUAUUCUAAGUUUAUAUACUAACAAACAAGCUCCUUUUCUUGAGUAUUGGGAUUAUGAAAAUGAAUACAAGUGACCAAAUAAUUAAUUUUCAAGGUCCCAACUUCCAAACAUAUUCACUACUCAUAUCGAAACUAAAUUAGUUCUAACAUCUUGAGUAGCAAGCCACUAGGUAUUCCACCGAUCUUCAGUAGCAAGCCUCAAGGUAUUGGGUAUUUUCCUCUCGUAUAAUUUUGAUUUCUCUGGCUGGAUACUAAUCUUUUAAUAAACUCUAUUCUUAAGUCCCAACUCGAUUAGUAUCUUUCCACUUGUAUGAAUUAUAUUUCUCUUGUCUUUGCUUAAUUUGUUUUACGAUGUCAUAGAAUAAAGGGAUGAAUCUAUAUUUUGGACAUUUUUCAUGUUCCUUUGAUCUUCACUUUUAAAAUAAUAAAAGUAUUUAGAGAGUUUUGCCAAAGUUAUGCAAUUACACAUUAUUGCAUUCUAACUUUAACUAGAAACUCUUGCGUGGAAUUUUUAGAAAAAUACCAGAAAAUCGAGAUGAUUGAGACGGUAAUAAAAAGUCUAAUUAGUUGUACAAAAUGAAAUAAACAGAAAUUUGGUGUGGUAUAAAUUUUAUAAAAUAACUAGUUGUGCCGAACUAUUCAUCUCCUAAUAGCAACCAAAGUUUUUUAUUCGAGUUAGAGUAAAAAAUACCUAUACUAUUAAUGUAGGUCCUGCCAUACCAUAUUAUUAAUCAUUUUAUUAGAUUAUAUAAUUAGCUUAUAACUAACCUAAUUGUGAAAAUAUUACACGAAAACGUACUAUCUAUUGUAUAGGAUAAAAUUGUUUCAUAUUAAAUACUCGUAUAAUAGAGCAACACGUAGAACCAUAGAUAGACAAAAAAUGAGAUAGGUGAAAACCAAGACCGGGGCUAGUAGCUUCGGUUACCAUCGGAGAGCCCUCGAAGGGAAGAUUACUAUUGAAGACAGACAAGUGCCUGCCAUACGGUAGGAUUCAGUGAAGAUAUUCUGCAUAUUAAAUACAUAGUCUGUUAUAGAGAAUUAUGGUAUUUAUAGCAAGCGUUGGUAGAAGUCCAAUUCAUCCUGGUGCUCGAACAAACCAAACAGCAUAGAGGAUUGAUAACAACACCCCGAGGGGUGAGGUCGACUUCAAAAAUGCCGGGGGGAACGAUGAGGGAUCCGGUAACAACAACGAGAGUGAUCCCUUAAAAAUCGAUCUCAUGCGAUUUAUGAUGGAGAUAAACUCAUGAACAGAUCAAACCCCGAGUGCACCAUCGCUGUUGAUAGGACCGGACUCAAAGAAGUAUACCCAAUUUUCAGCGCGACGCUAGAGCUGAUCCUUAAGUGGCUCAAAAUUCUAUACAUGCCAACAUAUGAUGGGACUUCAGCUUAUCAAGAGUACAUUCACCACCUAUAAAAUGACAAUAAAAGAAAACGACUUAGCUCCGCACGAGAUUGAAUCAGUCUUGUUGAAGAAGAUCAGGGAGACCCUCAAAGAAGAGCCCUGAAAUGGUAUUCGCUUUUCCCUAAGCACUCAAUAUGUUCCUUCAAGAUGAUUACGGAUUCUUUUAUCAAGGCCCCUGCGGGGCUAGGAAGGGUCAUGUCUAAAAGGCCGAUAUAUUCAGAAUUGCACAAGGAGAGUUUGAGUUGUUGUGGGAGUCGUAACCAGAUUUUAGAAGGAAAGGAUGUUGCUGGCGGAUGAAUGGGUAGUUGAGGCAUUUACUAAAAGUCUGAAUCUAAGGAGUUCUGACGCUUCCCGAAAAUAGAAAGAAAGUUUGCUCGAGUUAUAGGCAACAAUAUGGGCAGAUGUCCACAACUGCAUGAGUUGAAUAUAAGAAUAGAGGAUGACCAGCUUUGUUUCCUAGCAUUAACCAAGGGUCGGGAUCGAGAAUAGAAUAAGGAAAAGUUGAAAGAUGAUUUAGAUGCAGAUCCCCGGUCUUCUAGUUGUUGGUUUUUGCCCUAAGAAAGGGCCGAAAUUGGGUAGAGGUUUCUCGUCGGCAGAUAGAUUCUCUACUAAUAGGAUAGUUGAUCACACCGGGAACAGUAUAUCAUUGCAGGACAAAGAGGUGUCAGGAUCCUAAGACUUCACCUACCCCAGGCUGUUUAAGUAAAAUAUCAAUGUCAAUGUGAUGGAACUGGUAUUCGCAAUGAGAAACAUAAAAAAGAUCGGUUACCUAGGCCGAUGAGAUCCGACCCAGUCAGAGGGGUCCUAAUCUAUAGGGCGAGUAUCAUGGUACUAAUGGCCAUUGUACAGGAGACUGCAAUCAUUUGCGAGAACAGGUAGCGACAUUGCGAAAAAUGGACAUCUUAGAGAAUUCUUAAGCGACCGAGAUUGAAUAACUAUGGGCGUAAUCAAGAUAGUACAGAACCCUCAAAAGUAGGAAAAGAUCCCCUUCAUCUAAAUAUCAACAUUUUUUUUGGGGGAGGGGGUGGAGGAAGGGGACAAGAUUAAUGGUGUAACCUUUCUGGCAGCGAAAAAGACAAUGGUAUUAGUGACCCAUAACAAGAAACUCCGAGAAGUCACCGAGGACGACACCACCUUCAUGAAAGAGGAUGCGGAUGUAGUCCUACUACCGCACAAUGAUGCCCUGGUAAUUUCUUUUAAUGUUUUAGAUUUUAAAAUUAAUGUAUUUUUGUGACCUAGGAAAUUCAACAAUUUUAUCCAAUGGAGAGUGCUGGAACAAGCCAAGAUAAUCGAAAUCAUUAUUUCGUCCACAAAGCUCUUUGUUGGAUUCAAUAUAGCAAGCGUGACAACCCGAGGAGAAACUUUGCUGCCAACAAAUGCUGAAGUGGUAAUGAAGACGAUCCUUUUUGACGUAGUAGACGACGAUAUGGGCUACAACAUUUUUCUUGGAAGAACAUGGCUACACGAGAUAAAGGUUGUGCCAUAAAUAUAAUAGCAACUUCUGAAAUUCCUAACUUCAGAUGGAAUUAAGAAAAUAAGAGGAGAUCAACCGGCAACAAGGGAGAUGAAUGCGAUCCCAGUUUCCAGUAGCAAGAGGAAGGAGCAUGCAGCAUAGCAAUUACAUGAACCGACACCUGCUCCCAAACCAAAUGAAGACAGCAAGGGUAGGAGUCAUCAGAAUCCUAUAAAGCGCCAAGAUACUUCCAGGUACCAGAAGAAACAUACUCAACAAGAUCCAUAGUGGAAGUACUCGAGGAAGUCGCAUUGUUUGAAAAAUUAUUGGAAAAGAAGUUCCACUUAGGGAAAAGGUUAAACCCCAAGAUCAGGUUAGGAUUAUAGAAUUUGGUCACAUGCGGAUAUGACAGGUAUCACGCAGAGGUAGCCGUGCAUAAGUUAAUCCUGGAUUCCAAUAUCUCUUCGGUAAGGCGAGAGAAACGUCAUAUUGCCCAUGUCAGAAACAAAUUUGUCAAAUAAGAUGUAACUCGAUUGCUUGAUAUUGGUUCAAUCUGGGAGACAAAGUAUUAUGACUAGCUAGAUAAUGUAGUAAUAUGUUCACAAAAUAAUAAUAAAUUUCACAUGUGCAUAGGUUAUAAGGAUCUGAAUAAGGCGUGCCCAAAAGACUCGUUCCCAUUGCCAAACAUUGAUCAAGUGAUUGAUGUGAUGGCCGGGCAUGAGUUUAUAAGUUUCCUAGAUGCCUAUUACGGGUCAAAUCAAAUCAAAAUAAACUUGGAGGAUCAAGAAAAAACUUUAUUCAUGAUAACCUUUGGCAGAUAUUGCUAUAAUGUGAUGCCUUUCGGGCUUAAGAACGCCGAAGCCACUUUUCACAGGCUUGUGAACAAAAUGUUUGAAAAAUAAAUAGGGAAAAUAAUGGAUGUUUAUAUAGAUGAUAUUUUGGUUAAGUAUUUGAACACGAGUGAUCAUCUUAAAUACCUCCAAGAAACCUUUGACAUCCUAAGGAAUCACAACAUGAAGCUUAAGCCCGAAAAAUGUGCAUUCGGAGUCAACUCCGGUAAGUUCUUAGGGUUUUUGGUGUCACAAAGGGGGAUCGAAGUCAAUUACGAUAAAAUUAAAUCCAUCAAAUACAAUCCCAACCAUUUGUCAAAUGUGAAAGAGGAGGUUAACAGGAAGACUGGCUGCUUUAAGGAGGUUCAUUUCCCGUUCUUUAGAAAAAUGCCAUAACUUCUUCUAAUUUCUAAAGAAGAAGAACUUCGAAUAGACUCCAAAAUAUCAGCAGGUUCUGAAUGUAGCAGUUGUUGGUGGAGAAGGCAUGAUUGGCGAAGAAGGAGAUGAAACUAAUGGCAUUAUGGUUUGAUAAGCAGCUACGGCAAAAAUAGUGCUAGUUGUUAAUUGCUUGUCAAACAAAGACGGAAGAGACCUUGUACUUAGCCUCACGGUAUCGAGAAUAACGACUGGGCCUUGGAAGCGAGAAUUUACAGCCUUCACUAUAGCACACUCUCUCCAGAGCACUUGGACGUCAUCAUCGGUUAGUGUUGUUUGCUCAGCAUAUUGAGCAUUCUGUUGAGUUGAUGAAGGUUGUCGUCUCCUGUAUAGGGAAUCCCAUUCAUCACUGACUCUCCCAUCAUUAUCGAUCACCUUAGUGGUUGCGGUAGGUUUGGGUGCGGCGUUCUUCACCCUUUUUUAUUUUCACCCUCAGCCAUAGAGAAAUGUCCCCCUUUUUUUUGCUUGUUAUCCAUCCGGCGUCCGGGGACUCCAAAAGGAAACACCUGCAAUAGAAGUAGGUCCGAUGACACUCAUUCGGGAAAAAUCCUCCUGCAGCAACUUUUUCGCAUCUAUGAGAUCAGCAAAAAUAUACUCCUCGAGGAUGGUAGCAGAUCCCUACGGAAGACCUUAAUUCAACAAAAAGAGAAUUUAGCUAGUUUUUUUAUAUGUGAGGUAAAAACAAGAUAAGUUCGAGAAUCAACUUACCAUGAUUUUUGGCCUUUCACCCGUAUUUAAGGGCUAGUUCUUUCCAUCGGCGGGUCUUAGGCGUGGUGACGUCAAAAAUCUUCUGAACCCACUAGUCCAAGACUUCAACCCUUUUUGGUGUCCACCAAGUUGCUAAAAUGAUGACAAAAGAAGGAUCAGUAAUAACAUGGAACAACUUUUAAUCUGGAAAAAAGAUGGACAUUGAACUUACGGUACGAUUCCAUGAUUUAGGAAAAGAUGGAUUUGUAGCUGGGACGAUAUCCAUGGUAGCAAUUACAACGAACUGCUCCAUCCAUCCACGUCCAUUAUCAUUAUCCAUGCUGGUGUGCGAAGCAUGGUAACCACGUUUGCUGAAGUUUAUCAUUCCCCCACAAAAUAUCUUGGGGGAGUAAAGGUUCAUGAUAUCAUUCGAACCAGGGAGAGCUCUUUCCCCAUCUCCUAGAAUAGUCACAGAAGACAAGCUACCGUCUGUCACACAUAAGGGAUCACCUAUGCCAAGCAGACUUGAUAACAGAAGAAAAAUCCAAGAUUAUGGAGUCAAGUCCCCCGCUCAAUGAGAAUGGUCCCAAAGUGAAGGAAUACAUGUAUGUAAAACCCUUUUUUGAGAAAAGUUACUCGCUCCGCCAGAUCGGGAGUGAUGAUGUUCAAAUCAUAGAAAAUAUAGUCUUCCUUCAAAAUAGGAAUGCUAGAAGGACGAAUGGAAGAAGGGUAAACACCAACAACCUAGGUGCGGGAGUUAGCAGAAGGAAAUUUCUCCUAAAAAAUCCUUGGUUGUAUUGAGCUUUCUUGGGAUAAUGGUGCUCAAUGCAUGAGGAUCAGCAUCAUCGGUGCUUUCUUUGUUCUUUGAAGAGCUUCAGUUCUUGGAAGAAGAGGCCAUGGUUAUUAGAUGAAAAUAAGAGUUCUUUGAAGAAGAAGAUUAAAGAUGAGUAAAAACUAAGAAAAGUUGGAUGAAAGAAAUCGAGAGGGCUUUGCAAAAUUUUGAAGUGUAAAAGAAUGAGGAUGAAGCAUAUAAGUAAAGGAAUAAGCGGCUAAAAUCAUGGUCAUGAUUACCUCAAUAAACUUCGAAAAUAUUGCUAAACCACCGGAUGACGCAUGUACGGGACAUUAAAUAUGGAGAGACGUGCGUCUAAUCUAGCGUCAAAAACUUUUCAGAGAUGGUUGAAAAAUUUUCCACCAAGAAACGUAUCUUCACCAACUUCCCAAUGACAUAAGGACGUGCCACCUGAAAGCAGGGGGACUAUCUAUAUAAGGUAAGAUUGGUUCAUAUUAAAUACUCGUAUAUAGAGUGACACGUGGAACCAAAGACAGAUGGAAAGUGGGAUAGGUGGAAACAAAACGGGGGCAGCAGCUUCUGUUAGAACUAGAGAGCCCCCGAAGGGAAGAUUGCUACCGAAGACAGACGAGUUCUUUCCAUCCAGUAAUAUUCAAUGAAAAAUAUUUUGUAAUAUUAAAUACAUGGUCCAUUAUAUAGAAUAUAUGGCAUUCAUAGACACAUUUUUCAAUGCCCCCCAUAAUUUUCAUUUAAAAGGGGCUUAAUUGUAGGACCUUAUUCCCUAGGUGCAACUAUACACAGUGAUUUCAACAACCAUUGUAAGGACAAGAAUUACUUACAUACUUAUGCUAUGCACUAUUUAAAAUCUGAAUAACAUUUUAUUUGUUGCUUAUUAUAUUGCUAUUACUGCCUUUUCAAGCUUUGUCCCCAGAAUUAUGCUAUUCACUGUCUUAUCUCGAUUUCAACGCUAAGUCUUACAUUUUAUUUAAUUUAUUUAUCAUUUUGGGAUCAAAUCGAUUUGCUUUUCUAUAAACCACAUUACAAAUUCAACUGUAUCAUUUUACGGGUGAACAUCUAUUUUUAUAAUUAGUCAUAAACAUUAUUCAUAAUGGCAACACUAGCAAAAUGCGACCCGUGAACUUAUGACCUAGAAGUCUUAGGCUAACUUAGGCAAAAAAUUGAUUCUAAGAGAGCAAACGGAAAUGCGUAAAAGGAAAGGAAAUGAGUAUGUAGUCAUCAAUCAUUUUCUUCUAGAUUUCUUUAUCUAACCCCUAAAUUAAAAAGUUGAUUACUUAAAUAACCUCCUAAAUAAAAUUAAUUAAAUAACAAGUUCAUUCAAGGGAUGCAAUCCUUCAUAAUAGUUAUUUAUGUAUAGAUAGUUUCUAAAUGUUCCAAAUAUUUACUUUAUUUCCAAUCGUUGCUAGCUUAUCAAAUACUAUGAUCACGUUAACGGUUGGUUGACUUCUUAAAUGAGAACAAAGCACUUAACUAUAAAAGGCUCUCCUUAGAAGCUUUGAAGGGGCUCUAAAAUUACCAUUGCAUUAGUACUGCUUGAUGGGGUUUUAAUGUUUUAGUCUUAUGUUUUGAUGAUCUAACAAAUUUACUCCCAAGAACCAGAUAGGGAACCUGACACACUUGGUCUAUAUUACAAAUCAACGGACUCCAGCUAAAUGUGAACUACUUUAGCUUUAGGAUAUAGAUACCCAAACAAAGGACUUGAUGCCCUUGUGGUUUCCUCACAACAGUACAAUGUCAAUUGGGCACAGCUGGAAAGCGAUACAACUGCCUGCACUGUUUUCAGUGGUCACUUGUCCUUUGACCAACCGAGUACUUACAUCAUUCAAGUGAUUUCAUCAGUUCCCAACAACGUUCCCAAACAUAAGUUCCCAACAAAGUUACUUGAAGAACAUCCAUUCUCAGUGCCAAAAAUAGAAAAGAAUACACCGACACAGACAGGAAAGCUAUGGAGAAGAAUUUUCAUGCCAAGAAGAUUUUGGUAUGUGGAAUAGGACCUGAUGAAUACAAUAGAAUCUCUACUUGUGAAACUACUAAGUAAGAUAUGGUAAGCUUUUCAAAUAUCUCAUGAGGGAACCACUCAAGUAAAACAAUCUAAGAUUGAUAUGCUCACUACCGAGUAUGAACUCUUUAGGAUAAAGAAUGAUGAAUCUAUUCAUGAUAUACACACAAGAUUCAAUUCCAUCAUAAAUGAGUUACACUUACUUGGUGAAACCAUUCCUAGGAAUAAGAUAGUGAGGAGAAUCCUUAGUAUCUUACCUAGUUCUUGGGAAAGCAAGGUGAAUGCUAUUACUAAAGCAAAGGACCUGUAGGAGCUGACCAUAGAUGAGCUGGUUGGAAAUCUAAAGACCUACGAGAUGAAGAGGAAGAUAGACAGUGAAAGAAGAGAGCCAAAGAAAGAAAAAAACCUGGUACUCAAAGCUAAUAACAAUGACUCAGGUGAAGAGGAUAGUGACAUGGAUUACUUAACCAAAAGAUUUUAGAAAAUGGUCAGAAGAAAUGGAGGAAUGCUGAAAAAGGGGUACCUCUAGCAAACCAAAGAACUAUGAUCUCUGUCAUAAGUGUGGAAAGCAUGGGAACUUCAUCAAAGAUUGUCCUCUCCUGAAGCAAGAGUUCUUAAAGUACAACCCUGAGAAAGCAGCUAAGAGGAGCCCAGUUCCUGACAAGGACUUCAAAAGGAAGAGAUAUGCUGACAAUGUGGUAAAACAGGCUCUUGCAUUAUGGGGAGACUCCUUUAGUGAGUCUGAAGAUGAAACUAAUGCUGGUGACAACUCCAUGAUGGCAUUUGAAAGCGAGGAAAAUGAAUAUGAUUCAACUUUUCCUUUGACGACCCAAUCAGAUGAUGAUGAAGACGAUGAUAAUAAUAAGGUAAAUUUCAGGGAUGGUCAGAGAAAUCUAAAAUCCUACUCUCCUAAGAAACUUAUGUCUUUAGCUAAGGGAAGCUGAACAAACAAGAGAUGACCUGGUAGUGUGUGUAGUGGAUUUGAAGGAAACCAUUUGUGAGUUGGAAAAAGAAAAAAGUGUCUUAACCAAAAAAAUUUCCAACAUAGAGCAUGAAAGAGAUGACAUAGUGGUUGUAGUUGUUGACCAUAAGGAAACCAUUAAGAACUUCAGUAAAGAAAAGGAGGCCCUAGUAAAAAGAGUGAUUGAGAUUGAGGAAGAAAGAGAUGAUCUCUUAGUAGUAUUUGGAGACUUGAGGGAAACAAUAGAGGGACUAGGAACUGAGUCUAAACCUGAAAAUACUGGAAAAGGAAAAGAGGUAGCCAGUGAGGAACACAUUAGGCUUGAAAACGAGUUGAAAGUGUUGAGAACUAGGUUGUGUGUAGAAACUGAAAAAACAAGCACCUCCAAAUUGAAUUGGAAAGAGUAAAAAUGAUCUUGAAAAGUCCCUAAAGUGGACCUGGUCCUCAGAAGCUAUCACUGCCAUAUACGCUAAUAAUGGUGGAAAUAGGCAGGGAAUAGGAUUUCAAAUGGAGGAAAGCACUUACAACCCACAUAGCAAGUAUGUGACUGUACCAGACAACUGGAUGUGUACCGACUGUGGAAACAAUGGAUAUUUCAAGGAAAAUUGUCCAGUCUAUUCAGAAAAACAUAGUGUUUGCUGAAAAUGUUACUACUAAAAAGGGACCAGGUUCCGCCACAAAAAACGCAUAUUUAUCUGCAUGGACUAAGAGAGCUCUUAUUCUUCCUCUUGACUACUACAAGGGACCCAAACUUGCUUGGGUUCCUAAAACUAACUCUUGAUCUCCUUGUACAGGGAACAAUGAAAGGAAGUGGUCAACAAUAAUUCAUGGAUAGUAUGUGUUCAAAGCAGAUGACAGGGAACAUUAUAGACUUUCUUUCACUAAAAGCCCUGCAAAGAGGAAGUGUAUCCUUUGGCAAUGGGAAAAAGGGGUACAUUCUUGGAGUUGGAAAAGUUGAAAAAUCAGUCACUAACUCUAUUAAGAAUGUACACUAUGUCAAUAGUCUUAAGUACAUUCUCUUAAGUGUCUCUCAGAUCUGUGAUAAAGGAAACAAGGUGGAGUUCUUGUCCAAGAUAUGUACAAUUACUAAUCUGGUAACUGGCGAAGUGGUCUUGUGGCCAAAAGAUACAAGAACACCUAUGUUGUUGAUUUCGAGUACUUACAAAGUGGUGAUCUGAGGUUUCUGAAAGCUGUUGAUGAUGAUGUUGAACUCUGGCAUAGAAGAUUGGGGUACACAAGCUUCUCUCUUCUAAACAAGUUAAUUCAGAAGGAAGUGGUCCAUGGUCUGCCCAUGUCAAAGUUCAAAGUACACAAAGUUUGUGAUGCAUGUGCUGGAGGAAAGCAUUUGAAGUCCUCUUUUACAUCUAAAAGGGAUGUAAGCACCUCAAAGCCACUCGAUCUUCUGAAUAUGGACCUAUGUGGCCCUAUAAGAGUGCAAAGAAGGGGAGGAAAAUUAUACAUUUUUGUGAUAGUAGAUGACUACUCCAGAUUAACAUGGACUCUAUUUCUUAGAACUAAAGAUGAAACCUUUGAGGUAUUUGUGGAUUUUGUGAAGUAAAUCCAGGUGAAGAUGGAGUCUAGAGUCGCAUAUAUUAGAUUAGAUCAUGGAACAGAAUUUGACAAUGCUAAAUUUGAUGAGUUCUGCAAUGAAAAUGGAAUUACUCACAACUUCUCAGCUCCUAGUAAAAGAGCUGAGUGAAGACAAUGCUGCCUUUUCUUCAAUGGAACCAGGUACCUCAAUUACAACCACUGAAGCUGAAGAAAGAGUGCUUCAUGCAGUCCAAGGUACCCCACUAGUACCUGAGAGAAGAAUAAAAGAGAACCAGUUAAACAUACCCACCUCCUUUACAAAUGAACCUCACAUGUCUAACUGGAAAUAUAAAAGUUCUCAUCCUCUUGACAACAUAAUCACUCCCAUAGAUUCCGGAGUACAAACAAGGUCAAACGCCAGAAAUUCACUUUCCGUCUCAGCCUUUCUCUCUCAAAUUGAGCCCAAAAAUAUCAAGGAAGCCCUGAUAGAUGUGGAUUGGAUUACAGUCAUGCAAGAUGAGCUACAUUAAUUUGAAAGGAAGAAUGUCUGGCACCUGGUACCUAGACCCUCAGAUCGAACAAUUAUAGGAACCAGGUGGGUAUUCAGGAACAAGCUUAAUGAAUAUGGAAUCAUCACAAGUAACAAGGCCAUGCUAGUGGUUAAUGGCUACAAUCAGGAGGAAGGGAUUGAUUAUGAUGAAAUAUUUGCUCCGGUCGCUCACAUGGAAUCUAUUAGAAUCCUAAUUGCUUUUGAAUCUCAUAUGGAAUUCAUCUUGUUGCAAAUGGAUGUCAAAACUGCAUUUCUGAAUGGACUUCUUAAGAAAGAAGUCUAUGUGAAGUAAUCUCCAGGGUUUGAACGUCAUAAACACCGUGAAUAUGGACAAAAUAUUGUAUGAGUUGAAGUAGGCUCUUCGAGCUUGGUAUGAAAGACUGUCAAAGUUCCUUUUAGAAAAUGAUUUUAAAAGAGGAAAAAUUGACAACACCUUGUUCCUAAGGAAAUGGGGAAGGAACCUUCUCAUUGUAUAGGUCUAUGUUGAUGAUAUCAUUUUUGGGGCAACAGCUGAGUCUCUGUGUGAAGAAUUUGCAAAACUCAUGGGAAGUAAGUUUGAAAUGAGCAUGAUGGGGGAGCUGAAUUUCAUCUUGGGUCUUCAAGUGAAGCAGUCCUCAAAGGGUACAUUCUUUGCCUUCUUUGAAUAAAAAAGCCAGGAAGCCAGCCAGUCUAUUCUUAAUAAGGGUAAGCCAGUACGGUAGUCCUUCUUUCUAAGAGUCCUGAGUCCUAGGGUCCAUACACGGAAUUGGGAUCUCUGUUGCAUGUAGAUCUUGGGGGAGCUGAAUUUCAUCUUGGGUCUUCAAGUGAAGUAGUCUUCAAAGGGUACAUUCAUUUAUCAGCAGAAAUAUAUUAGGGAGCUCUUGAAGAAGUUUUACAUGGAAACAUCAAAGGUAAUAGAAACUCCCACUGUUACGGCCACUCGACUAGACAUGAAUGAAACUGGAUCUCCUGUGAAUCAAACUCUGUAUAGAGGCAUUAUUGGGUCUUAUCUCUAUCUCACUGGCAUCAAACCUGAUAUUGUUUUCAUUGUGGGGCUAUGUGCAAGGUUUCAAUCAAAUCUUAAGGAAUCUUAUUUGAAGGCUGCCAAAAGAAUUUUGAGAUACCUUAAGCGAACACAGGACCUGGUCCUUUACUAUCCCUCAGGUGACAAUUUUAAUCUUAUUGGAUAUGCUGAUGCUGACUAUGUAGGUUAUCUUGUGGAUAGAAAAAAUACUUCUGGAAUGGCUCACUUCCUAGGUUCAUGUCUCGUCUCGUGGGGCACAAGGAAGAAAAACUCAGUGGCUCUUUCAAUAGAUGAGGCAGAAUAUGUAGCUGCAGCAUCUUGUUGUGCUCAAACUCCUAUGGAUUAAGCACCAACUGAAGGAUUUUGGGGUAUUUAUUGAGUAUGUGCCCCUUCUUUGUGAUAACACCCGUGUGUUGAUACCUUAUUUUUCACUAUAUAUUUUAAAUAUAAAAACUACCUUUUUAUCCAUAAAAUCUCCAAUAAUUAUUUCAAAAAUUAUUAUUUUGAUAAUUUAUAUAUUAGAUUUCUAUAUUUAUGCCAAAAUAUGGCCAAGGUAAUUCUUACAUAUUUUUCACAAUUAUAAUUAGUAUUUUUAAAGAUAUUUCACAUAAUUACAAUAUUAGCCCCUUUAAGAUUUAAUUAUGUUUUAUAUGCAUAAAAUUAGAUCCUGUAUUUUUAAAUUGGUAAUUAUGUAUUAUAAAUUAUUUUAGCAUUUUUAAAUUAUUUUUAGAAAUUAGCCACUAUUGUUUAUAAAUUAGAUAGGGAAAACUGGAUAAUUAACUUAUAACUAAAAUUGGUUUUCAAUUCUAGCUAAAAACAAACGGACCCCAGCCUAACUAAAAAUCCACCAGACACAAGCCCAAACCCAAGCCAUAGUCUCCUAAACCUAAGCCCUAACAUUGUUGCUCUCUCCAGCCGCCACACAUACCCCAUCUUCCCCACCUAACUCAUCAACACAUUUGAAUGCGAAAGAAAUACAAAGACUCAAUGGAGUUAAAGGUAAAGGCGUUUAGAGCAGAUAUUUUUUCCUUUUUAAAUCCCACUUUUUGUCAUUGUCUAUAAUCUGCUUCUUCUUCUUCUUCUUUUUUUCUUUUUGGUUAUUUCUUUGUUCCUCUUUAUUAUUUUUAAUGUGUACUUCAUUCUUUAUUCUUUUUCUUAGUUAAUUGGGAAGAAAAAAGUUUGAAUCUUUAUGCUCAUUGUUAGAUUGGUAUAUCGUAAGAAAUUAAUUUUCAGUCGAUUAUUUUGACUAAAUAUUUGCUUUUCUUACUAAACUCUUGCUAUUUUCUGGGCAUGUUGUUGUUGAUCGUAACUUAGAGCUAGGACAGUUGGGGUAUUCAGAGAAAUUUAGAGACCUUGGGUACUGCAGACGCAUUAGGGCGGAGGAGGUCAUGGGGGCUUUGCGUAGGAUGAGUAGGGGUCGAGCGACCGGGCCUGACGAGAUUCCGAUGUGGAAUAUGGAGUAUCAUUUACAAGCUAUGAAUGAUGAUGAUCAAAAUAAGGUGCAAUUGAAGACAGUGGCAGAAGAGAAGGGAGAAAGAUUGUAUGGCUUUGGGUCUCAAGUAAGAUUUCCAGUACUAUAAUUAGUGUCAUACAAGAAUUAUGUAUUGUAAAUUUCUUAAAGUUUAAAUAUAUAAUUAUGUGUAACUUGAAACCUGUUUUAAAAUCUAAAAUUUUUGGAUUCUUAGUUUAAAAAAAAAACCAAGCCAUACUCGACCCACCUACCCCAUUUAAUCUUGACCAUUGAUCAUUCAUAUCAGUGGUCCCCAUUCCCCUUUCCUAAAUUAAACCAAAAUGCCCCCCCCCCCAAAACCCUCUCAUUCUUCAUCUACUAAACCAAUUCUCAUCUCUCUCUCUCUAUCUCUGGUUCUCUCUAGAACCUUCUACUCUCCCCUCCUCUCCUCUUCGAUGAACCUUAUCCACCUUCUUCAGCCAUCUCCCUGCCUGAAUCCAUGGUGGUCUCACCUAGUACCAUCCUUAUGGCUCCCUCUGGAACAUGUGUCAUCGUUUUGAGGCCUUCAAUUGAACCAGAGGUAGGUGACUCGCCUCCCAUGGUUUCCAAAGCCAUUUUCAGCCGCCCAUGAGCGUUCGAGUAAUAUCUGUGACUUUUCCGGCUAAAACAAUUAACUUUUACCUUCUCUUGGUACUCUGAAACCAUAACUCUAAAGAUUUUCCAAUUUUCUUUUAGAUCUGUCUUAGAUAUGUGUAUAUUAUGAGCUUUUGUUGUUUUCCUUAAAGGUUUUUUCCUGGUUUUUUUCAAAGUGUCUAUUUUUCUUCUUCAAGAUUAGGGUUUCUUAACCUCUUUUAAAAGGCUUAUCCUCUGUUUUUAGUACUAUCGUAUGAUUUUACUAUGUUUAAACGGUUUAUUUAUAUUUUUUCUUCUACCUGAUUCGUCAUGUGGAAAACUCUAAAUAUUUUUGGUUUUAUCCGGGGUUCUGGAAUUAUCUUUUCUUAUGUGUUUUGUAUGUAUACCUGUUUUGAUUAAUUUCUCUGUGAUAGACCUUUCUCUUUGUUUAUCUUAACCGAUUCUAAGUUUUUACCGCUUUUUAACUCAACUCUGUUAAAACCCUAAUCUCCUAAAGAUUUUCUUCACUUGUUACUCGUUUGUUUAAGUUGAUUGAUUCAAUUCCCAUAUUUGAUAUGGUGCUUCAUUCUUGUUGAAUCCUUUCCCCAAAUUAGUAUAUUCAGUACUUAGACUUAAUCAUAUGCUCUAUACUUUUACUACUCCUUAUAUAGUAAAAACCAAUCUUUCUCAAACUGAUUUUUUCCCCAUGUUAGUAUCUGUUUAAGCUAUAAUUCCUUGAUUUAAGCUAUAAUUCCUUGAUUAAGGAAGUACUUGAUUAUUUGGAUUCUAAUUGUGAUUACUUCCAUAAUUGUGCUAAACCUUUACUUGUUACCUUAUUUUCUACCUUUUUUCAAAGCUAUAAAUACCCUAAGUCUUUCAUGAACGAAACAAGACUUGGCCUUCAAAAAACCCUCUCUUACUUAAAGAAAAUUCUGUAUUAUUCUACUAUUAUUAGUCGGCUGCAAGCCAACGAUAAUCAUCUGUAAGUCUUGGUUCUUUCAUUUAUUUACCUCUGUCUUCACUCGUAUGUCCUAGUUUAAUUUAAUGCUUCAAAAACAAUAUGAUUAUACUCCUUCUUCAGUUUCUUUUAUUUCUGGCCUGCUUUUACUUCAGUUUCUAUUGUGAAGAUUAUGUCUAAGCAUGCUUAUAUGAUUCCCCUCCCUUUAAAUUCAUGUGAUUCAAGCAUGCCUGGACGAUUGUAUUCUAUUACCUACUGUGCUCUUACAAAUUUGUGAAUCCCAAAUCCCAUAUCUCUCCUCUAUUUGUUUAAUGAUUGGUUUGUGAAUAUUCUAGUGUCCAACCAUCUCUGAGCAUGUCCCUACCAGUCCUAAUACUCCUGCUAAAGUCAGGUUCCUGUAGUCAAUAUAUGUGUAUCUACAAAUCCUCUUUUACCCCUUGUGUGAUUACUAAAUUCAUUCGCUUCCUGUGUGUGGUCAGUGUUUGAACUCUGUCUUACUAAUACAGCUGCUUUCAAUCAUCUCUGUUGCUGAUUUCCUUCAAAAUGGACCUGUCAAUCCAAUUUUUAAACAAACUCCUUUCAAACAUGUGUCCUGCACUUUCUCUAUACUCUUAGAAUACUAGGUUCUGCCCCUUUUGUGUGAGUCUUUCCUUGGGACCCUUGAGCUCCCUCUGAACUUGGACAUAUGAAAGCUGGCCUUUGCACACUGCACUUACUCUAUCUUGGCUAUGAAAUCUGGGUGUGAGCACUGCCCGGGUCCCUUGAGGUCCUUAGGGAACUCUGACACACCUAGAUAUGAGAAAAAACUAUGAAACAAUCUUAGCACUUGAGGUGAUUGAUUACAUAACUCAAAGAACAAGUCCUAAUAAGGAUUCCUAUAGUGUAACCUUUUAUUUUCAUUAUGUAAUUCAUUUUAGUGUUGGUCUGUAAUAACUUGUUGUAAACAAGUAUUGGGGUUGGCUAGUGAAAAGGAUGAUAUAGUUGUUAAGGGUAAAAAAAUAUGUUAUUAGGUUUAUGUUCCAAAUUGCGCAAUAGAAACAAUACUUAGGGUUCAUAAAUGCGUUAGUAAUCAUGCUCUUAGGUCUCAUGUUUAUCGUUUCAGUAUGUGCACCCUUACAAAAUCAUGUGUUGAAAUCUGCAAAUAAUUAGCACUUUACGAUUAUGUUCUAUACUACGUUGUGCAUUUAGAAAUCCCACUCUUAGGAAAUUCUGUAAUCCUGCCAUGUGCAUUUAGAAAUCCUGCUCUAUGAAUUUUGCAUCAUGAGUUUUGUACAUACAUCUUAGAUACCCCGUUUUAGGAUCUCAUUCGUACUUGCAUUCACACUUAGUAUAAACUGCUGAUUAUAAAAGAGGUAAAAAACUUCACACUUGAUUAUUCUCUUUAAAAUAACUAGUAAUAAUCUCUGCAUUUGUGUCAACUAGAGUGGCAUGAUCUUAGGGUAAAAUAAUUUCCACAAUGUUUUAAUAACUCGGAAUAACUACUGCACAUUACUUUACGCCUAGGCAAGCCUUAGGUGAUUGCUUAAAUAAAAAUUGAAUUGUCCUUGUUUAACUGCCAGUAUGUUAAAAUCAGUAGGCAAGCCUGAUUUGGACUUCUUUUCUGAGUCAUGUAAUAAAUCUGGUUAUGUUGUUAUCACUUAGAUACCAUGCAUAGGAUUUAAAUUCAGACUUUAAAUGUAUAUGAAUCAUGUUGUCUAUGUGCAUUACCUAUGGAGGUAUAUUUGAGCCUUUCGUUUGUCUUCCAUGCUCUAAAGUCCUACUUGUUGUUGUAUAUCACCUUAGUAUUUUGCCUUUAAACAUGAAUGUUUGCCUAGAACCUCCUUCUUAUAGGAUAUGAGUCCUAAUUUCCUCCGGGACUGAUAGGAAGGGACGGGUAACAACAUGCAAUAGGGGUCGAGACCAACACUCGCUUUAAUUACCUUCAUGGGGCGGGAAAGGGUAGAUAUGGAUAUGAUGACCGGUGCGCUAAUACCACGUGCACCCCCUCUUUGAGGAGUUUCACACCAGCUAUUGCAUUAAUGUGAUCCAUAUUACAAACAAACCUAGGACACCCCCUUUACAUUUAUAAGCAAGCUUAGAUUGUAACUUUUUUCAAAAUCUUGCUUUUAUUAAUCGUCUUCAAAUACUUGUGUAUUUAAUCCUAAAUCCCCUACUAUUUGAGUCAUACUUGUUUAUUUGCUACUUGUACCAAAUCCACAAAAACUGUUUGGCCGGGAACCACGCUAGUGGAUCCUGAGGGUGCCUAACACCUUCGCCUUAGGAUAAUUUCAAGCCUUACCCUAUCUGUGGUUACCAAAUGUAGUUAUAAAUGAACCCUAUACUGCCCUAACACACCUUAAAAUCAUUAGGUGGCGACUCUCAAAAAAUUCAAACCCCUUCCUAAAAGGAAGAGUUAUCCCAAACCAAAAUUUCAUGAACCCGAUUCUACAAGGGAAAAAGGGGGCGCGACAGCAUGGCGACUCUCUGGGGAUAUUUAGCCUUUUACCAUUUCAUACCAUUUUUGUGAAUUUGUACCCUCCUUGUGUGCAAUUAUUUGUUUAACUCCUUUAAGCAUAUAAUUUCUUCUUCAAAAGCAAACUCUUUCUUGUUUCUUUUCUUUAUAACCGCUUUAAAUUAUAAAAAUUGUUGUAUUUAUCGCUUUCUUAACGUGUAAAUACAUGUCAACAUACUCUUAAUUAUUACAUAAUCAUGCUCAACAUCAUACUCCACUCGUGCCAAACAAAUACUAUAGCAACGCUUGAUGAGUGGUUGCGGCCUUCCUAUAUCAUUACCCCCUAAAUUCGGAAAGGCUUAUUUGUGGUAAAACUAGUUGAUCAGCGGUGCAGUCAAUAGUUCUGUACCUUCACCUAGAGUUGUCUUCUCAAGGUUACUAGUCUAAAACCCUAUAGAAACCUUUCUCUAUUUGAAUUACGCGUGCAUCAUGGUAAAACCUAGAGGGAUCAGUUAUGUUUUCCACAUAAUAAUCCUUUAAGAUAGCCUUGUCUAAAAGUCCACUGGGUUUCCCUAAACCCAAACGAACAUCAUCACGUUCUGUGCAUUUAUUUGGAGAGCUAAAUGCGUCAUGCUAAUUGUUGAUAUUAAAUAGUUGAGCCUGGUAGGGGUAAGGGCCUAACCUUAUUGAACUUGCAGAAAUAUGAGGCACGAAGUCCCUAGAUUUGGCAUGGUCACCAAUAUUCACCCGAGCUUGAUAAGGUGGUGGGAAGAUUUACAUUCGAGUGACAAAACCCUCGUCAAAAAAUAUCUGGGGAAUCUACCAUCCCUCUUAGAGAUCUAGCCUAGCAACAUGAUAAUAAAAGUUGCUACCUUAUUUUGGGACUGUAAAAGGGUCGUGUUCUGCUUUGAGGACAUCGAGAUGACACCUUUUCUAGAGGUGAUAGGAGAACUGGCUGGUCUAGUGUGGGAAACUCCGGGUUUGCUAAUGCCUGAGAACCACACAAGCAAGGAUUUCCUUAAAAUGAUGGGUUUGAAGAAGAAUGCAGAAUUGGCAUGCCUGAAGGAAUCAUACAUCCCUUUUGACUACUUGUAUGAAAGGUACAGUCACGGAAAAUCAUAUUGUACCCACCCUGAUGAGUUUUACAUCACGUCCUUGGGACAUAUUCAUCAUAGUGUGUUUGUCUUCAUGUUUUACUUCCUGGAUCUGAUAGUGUUUCCAAUGAAGAAAGGGAGAAUUCAUACUAGGCUGGCUAUGGUAACCAUGACCCUAAUGGACGGGAUUGGUGGGAAGACAUUUAGCAUUGUGACCAUGAUCAUCGUAGACAUAUACCGAGCCUUAGAGAAGUGUCAACGAGGAGCGAUACAUUUCGAAGGCUGCAAUCUACUACUUCAGCUUUGGCUCAUGGAACAUCUCCAAAAGGGCGAAUACCAACAAGAAAUUCAAAGAAAGGCCUGGGAUGAUCACAUUGCUUUCCACCAUCCAAAGAAAAUGAAUUAUAUCCCCGACAUGUUCCUCAACCCGAGAAUUCCAAAAGAUGGGUGGAGCUCUUUGAUAAUUUGACUGAAGAACGGGUUCAAUAGAUGUUCGAGUGGUUUUCGAUAGAGGAGUUCAUUGCCCGAUCUAGAGAUGCACCUUUCCUAAUACCGAUUGGUCUAAGAGGAACAUACCUUUAUGUCCUUCUUUGAGUUAUGAGGCAAGCAGGUAGGAAGCAAGUCAUACCCAGGGUUGACAAUAUGAGCCAUUUCUGAGCUGACUUCACAAGUGCCAAACCCAAGACAUAUGGCACUACAAGAUUGAAAUAGGGAAAGAUACCAUCGAGCCAGUCAAAUAGCAUACUGGUUGUACUUCUUUCUAUUCAGGUUGGUUGGAAGAUAAUUGGGAUGGUCUGGGCCAGCCAGGGUUCAUUCGAGGUCACAGAAUUAUAGAUGAAAAGUCCAAGGUGCAAGUCAAGUACAACAAGAUGCGCAAAAGAAUUUGUAAAUGCGAGAGCAAACAUCACGAGAUACAAGUGUCCAACCAGAAGUUGAUUGAGGAGUGGAAUGACAUGGCUAUCAGUUCUAACAAAAGGCUAGGAUACUUGGAGCGAGGCAUAAUAUAGUUGGAGGGAAAAUUUCUCAAAAGGGUUGAAGACUGCCAAAAGGAUGAAGGGACCGAAGGUGGACAUCUAGAUAGAGCAUACCUAUUGAUGGGACUUCAUGAAUUGGGAAGUCGUUCUACAGAGCCAAGGAUAACAAAUCUGGGGAAGGUCCUUUCGGGACCAAAUAAAUAGGAAUUUGCCUUUUUGCUUUAUAUGUGUAACAAGGCCAAUGGGCAUUUGUGACUUUUAUUUUUUGUUUAUUUAGUGUCAUUUUGGGAUUCGUCUAUUUUUAUCAAUAAAAUAAGUCAUUUAGCAUUCUAAGUUCUCCUAACGAGAAUGUGUCACAACUUGAACAGAAGUUGAUGUUUCAGGAAGAGCUCAAUCAGGUUUGAAAUUUGGCAAACUUGUCAUUUUCUCUCAAUACCCAAGAUAUAAACUGCCUCAACACUCAAAACCACACACCUCCUCAAAAUAGUCCAAAAAAACAGAAUCCUCCCUUGCCUCACCAUCAUGUUGCUCCACCAAAGAACCAAUGUAACACCUGAGAUACCCCAAACAACACCCCACUACUCAUCCCAGAACCCCAAAACUCCACAAACGACCAUUUCCACGCACAUACACCAAGCCACCAUGACACGCUUAUCUACGUGGAGACUAUGCCACACUUCACCCAACCUAUCUCAUACACACAUGAGUCUAAUAAAAAGGAUCUACUUAUCAAAAAACUGGCCGAGGAACUUAAGAAACUGACCAUCCGGAUUCAGGGCGUUGAGGGAAGCAAAGGAAUUGAAGGGUUGAACUAUGAGGACCUUUGCAUACAGCCUGAUGUGGAACUUCCUGAGGGGUACACGCCUCCUAAGUUCGAAAUAUUUGAUGGUACGAGUGAUCCAAGGGUCCAUCUGAGGACAUAUUGUGACAAGCUGGCUGGAGUAGGGAAGGAUGAAAGGAUCCGCAUGAAGUUGUUCAUAAGGAGUUUGAAAGGAGAUGCAUUAUCUUGGUACAUCUGCCAAGAUCCCAAGAAGUGGUCAAGAUGGGUAGCAUGGCAUCUGACUUUAUAUAUAGAUUCAAGUUUAAUACAGAGAAUGCACUAGACGUGUUCUACAUCCAGAAUUUGAAAAAGAAGCCCACGAAGACGUUUCACAAGUAUGCUACUCGCUGGAGGUCCGAAGCAGCCAAGGUCAAACCCGCCUUAGAAGAGGAGCAAAUGAACAAGUUCUUUAUAUGGGCUCAGGACCCGUAGUAAUAUGAAUGGAUGAUGAUGAUUGAGAACCACAAGUUUUCCGACAUUACCAAAUUAGGUGAAAGAAUUGAAGAAGGUAUUAAAAGCGGUAUGCUUAUAAACUUUGAGGCCUUGCAAGGUACAAAUAAGGUUUUAUUGUCCAGUGGUAUGUCCAAGAAAAGGGACGUAGGGGCCGUGAUGGUUGCACAGAGGACCAAAUAUCCCCUCAAAUACCAAACUUACCCAACACCUCCACUCACAUACCAGCCAACCCCAAAUUACCAAGCACUCUCAACUUCAUACCAAGCUCCACCACCAACUUAUCAGUCAUCUCCACCUCCUACAUAUCAAACUACUUCACCCAGAUACUCCCAACCCACUCUUGUCUACCAAACUUAUAAUUCCUAACCAUCCCACUAUAAAUCACCCCCUACAUGCCAAAAUUUCCCUAGACCCCGACCUAAUGAUCGCAGAUCUCCAAAAACAUAUACAGCCAUCGUUGAACCCAUUGACCAACUGUAUGAGAGACUCAAAGCUGCUGGUUAUGUCACCCCCAUCCCUGUGGAAACCCCUGAGAAUCCUUCUCAGUGGGUUAACCCAAACAAGUCAUGUGCAUACCACUCUGGCAUGAAAGGGUACACAAUCGAUGAAUGUAGCUCCUUGAAAUAGAAGAUACAGUCUUUGACUGAUAAAUAGAUCAUUGUGGCAAAGGAGCCCGCUCCAAACGUCUGCAACAACCCUCUUCUAGACAAUAAAGGUGGAGGUAUCCAGAUGAUUUAAAUAGAAGAUGACUGGGAUAUGGAGGGACCAAUCAGGUUGGUCGCAGAAUGUGAUGACCCAAAAAAGUUACUCUGAAUCCAAUCAUAGUCCAGAUCCAACCAUCUAAGGAUGCUGAGGUGAAUAUGUGUGUACCUCUUGAGUUUGAAGUAUCACCAUUUGCGAAGAUACCGGCACCAAUUGAGGUUGAAUUUGUGUCUCCGACAAAUGCACCUGCACCAUUUGAGGUUGUAGUCUUGCCACCCAAGGCACAUGUUCUGUUCAGAGUGAGGAUACACGCACUGAUCCCAGUGGGAAUGUCAACCGUGACACCAUUCUAUAUAAUCGAACCCUGGGACUAUAUAGCCGAGGCGAGAAGGAAUGGCAAGGUCAGUAUUAAAAAAACUUUCGCAACACAGGGUAUGACAAGAAUUGGUAGAGUCUAUAACCCUAAGCAUUUAGCUGAGUCAAGCAAGCAGGCCUCCAAUCGGCUACCCCUCAUUAAGACGGGUCCGGAGACCUUUGGAGUAAAACACAGGCCAAGGUAUAUUCAGUCAUCGACCAGUUAAACAAGACGCCGGCACAAAUACCAUUCUCUCCUUGCUACAAAAUUCUUAAGUGCACAAGAAUGCUCUAUUAAAGGUGCUGAAUUAUCACUAGCGGGGAAGUGGCUAAUAUGGUAGGGAAAGUUCUGAAAAGUCAUACGAUCACCAUUCAUGAAGACAAGCUGCAACCUGAAGGGCUGGGGCACAACAAGGCACUGCACAUCACCGUGCAAUGCGGAGAUUAUUUCAUCACCAGAAUCGAUGGAGAGUCAUAACAUUUGUCUGCUGGUAACACUCAAAAAUUUGGGUAAAGGAAUGCAUGAGAUAAAGGAUGGAGUAAUCAAUAUGAAAGUCUUCGAUGGUUCUCAGAGGUCCACCAUCGGCGAGAUUAUUUUAUGCUUGCAAAUGGGACCAACCUGGUUCGAGGUCAAUUUUCGGGUGAUAGAUGUACCAGCGUCUUACAAUUUGCUUCUGGGACGGCCAUCGAUUCAUGCUACGAGGGGUGUAGCAUCAAUAUUUCAUCAGGAAGUAAAGUUUAAACGGAAUCACCAAGAGGUUAUCAUUCACGGUGACAGUAGCAACUCUAUAUACAGUCCCAGACCAUUCCGGCAAUCGAGGGAAGAAAGAAGCUGGGCAAAGAAACUUACCACCACAUUGAACGAGUCAAUGCUAUCGACAAAUACAAAUUGUGGGAUAAAACAAUUGAGAUUAUGCUGAGUUGGAGUGGGUGCGAAUCUCUAAACCCAUAAAAAUUAAGAGGGAUCCAGAUUCCACACUAUGCUGUGGGCUGGGGAGAGAGCUGCUCUAUGAAGCUGGGCGUUCAGAAAACAUAGCACUACUUUCAGUAUGGGAUAUGAUUACAUAUGGGAAGAAUUCAAUAACUAGUUGCCACCAUGGUGCGGUCCUUACUACCAACUAGAGCAGCCAAUACCGCAUCUAGAGCAUACCUUCCAAUAUUCCGACAUUAUUUAUGGGUUACAUGAAGAAGAAGCACUUGCAAUAGUGAAGAACUUAUUUCUAGAUGAUAGUGAUAUGGGCUGUUGUGUUAUUCUCGAUAAGGGUGGGGAGGGGGGAAGGCCCUUCCAUACAGGUUGUGAGCAAAAAUGCAUAUCUCAAGAAAUGGACCAUCAGGAUAAUCAAAGCAUGAUGAUCAUCAGGGUAGCAAGGCUAAAACAAGAAUUAUUUAUUAUUUUAUUUACUAAAUGAUUUUCUUUAAGCAUUUUUCAAUUCCUGCAAUAACAUCUUUGAUGUCCAAAAUAGUUAUUCAAUUUAUCAAAAGCAUUUUGAUUUUUCUUAUGAAUUAAUAUUUAUUACUAUUAUUUUCUCUCCUUACUUUACCCACACAGCAUUACUAUUACAUGUCUUGAUGAACCAAUGACUAUGACAUGCAAUGAGACAACGCAACAAACAGACAUCGAUGCAGAAGAAGAUGGCAUUCCUUAGGAGAUUGUUAAAGAAAUUGAGAACUUUGAAAACAGAUCUCAGUGAAGCCUGUAUAAGACCGAAAUUGUCAACCUUGGAGAUGCAAAAAACAUCAAGGAAACAUGAAUCAACAUUCACUUAUCCCCAUCAGAGAAGAAAGAAUAUACAGAACUUCUAAGGGAGUAUGAGGACAUAUUCGCCUGGUCAUAUGAUGACAUGACUGGUCUAAGUACAUCCAUUGUGGCUCACAAACUGCCAACCAAUCCAAUGUGUCCACCGGUAAAGUAAACGCUCAAAAAGUUCAAGCCUGAUAUGAGUCUUAAAAUCAAGGAAGAAGUCACCAAGCAUGUCAAAGCUAAGGUUCUCAAGGUAGUAGAAUACCUUAAUGGUUAGCCAACAUUGUUCCUGUGCCGAAAAAGGAUGGGAAGGUCAGAGUUUGUGCUGACUACCGGGAUCUCAACCGGUUCAGUCCAAAAGACGACUUCCUUUUUCAAAUAUACACAUCCUGAUUGACAAUUGUGCCAAGCAUGAGCUAAAGUCAUUUGUAGAUUGCUUCGCUGGUUAUCAUGAAAUCUAGAUGGAUGAGGAAGAUGUUAAGAAAAUGGCUUUCAUUAAGUCGUAGGGAGUGUACUAUUACAAGAUGAUGCACUCAGCCUAAAGAAUGCAGAGGCUACCUACCUGAGGGCCAUGACUACCAUUUUCCAUGAUAUGAUACAAAAGGAGAUAGAGGUAUAUGUAGAUGAUAUUAUUAUCAAAUCUAAGAAGUCCACUGACCACGUAGAAGAUUUGAGGAAGUUCUUAAAUAGACUGCAGAGAUACAACUUGAAACUAAACCCCCCAAAGUGUGCAUUUGGGGUUCCUGCUGGGAAAUUCUUGUGUUUAUUGUGAGCUGCCGAGGAAUAGAACUGGAUCAAUCAAAAGUCAAAGCCAUUUAGGAACUACCACCACCAAAGAACAAGAAAGAUGUGAUGAGUUUCUUGGGGAGGCUUAACUGCACCAAUCGAUUUAUAGCACAACCUAUAGUUAUCUGUGACCCAAUCUGUAAGAUGUUGAAGAAGGAUGCCGCCACCAAGUAGUCUGAUGACUGUCAGAAGGCAUUCAACAGAAUCAAGGAGUACCUGUCAACACCACCAGUUUUAGUCCCGACAGAGCCAGGUAGACCCUUAUUACUCUACCUUGCAAUGUUGGAUGGUAUUUUAGGCUAUGUUCGGGGCAGCAUGAUGAAACGGGGAGGAAGUAAUUAGCCAUUUAUUAUCUAAGUAAGAACUUCACUCUGUACGAGGCCCGGUAUUCUCUAUUAGAAUGCACCUAUUGUGCUUUGACUUAGGUACUUCAGAAGCUAAGGCAUUACUUCUGUGCAUAUACUACACCAAGACAGGCAGUGGCAGACCACCUUGCUGAAAACCCCGUGGAUGGAGAAUACAAACCCCUGAAAACAUAUUUUCCUGAUAAAGAGGUAUCAUUCAUAGGAGAAGACAUUGCGGAAUACUAUGACAGUUAGAAAAUGUUCUUCGAUGGAGCAGCAAACUUCAAAGGAGUUGGCAUAGGAGCAGUCCUAGUAUCAGAAAUCGGUCAUCAUUAUCCAGUGUCUGCCAAACAAAGGUUCCCCUACACCAACAAUAUGGACAAGUAUGAAUCAUGCAUCUUAAGGCUCAAAAUAGCCAUUGACAUGAAUGUUCAGGAGCUAUUAGUGAUUGGGGAUUCGGACUUACUUAUACAUCAGGUACGAGAAGAAUGGACGACCAAGAACUGCGAGAUACUCCCGUAUCUGCAUCAUGUACAAGAAUUGAGAAAUAAGUUCAUGAAGAUGGAAUUCCAGCAUGUUCCAAGAGUCCAGAAUGAAUCCGAUGAUGCAUUGGCUACCUUAUCAUCUGUUAUACAGCAUCCAGACAAGAAUUUCAUUGAUCUAAUUCCAGUGAAAAUCCAUAAUCAGCUGGCAUAUUGUGCCCAUGUCGAAGAGGAAGCAGACGGAAAGCCUUGGUUUCAUGAUAUCAAUGAGCAUUUGGCAAAAGAAAAGUACCCGGAGCUUGCCAAUCCUACUCAGAAACGCACAUUUCAGAGAUUGUCCAAUAACUUCUUUCACAGCGGAGGAAUCCUGUAUAGGAGGACUCCCAUAUUUGGAUUAUUGAGAUGAGUCAACGCAAAGGAAGAAUCCAGGCUACUAGAAGAGAUUCAUGUUAAGACCUGCGGUCAACAUAUGAAAGGUUUUGUCUUAGCAAAGAAGAUACUCCGGGCUGGUUAGUUUUGGAUGACAAUGAAAAUGGAUUGCGUCAUGUAUGUCCGAAAAUGCCGCCACUCUCAGAUACAUGUAGACAUGAUAAAGGUACCUCCGAGUGAUCUCAAUACAACAAUCUCACGGUGGUCGUUCGCCGCCUCGGGGAUGGAUGUUAUUUGACCAAUCGACCCUGCUGCUUCCAAUGGAUACAGGUUUAUCUUGGUAGUUGUAGACUAUUUCGCCAGAUGGGUCAAAACAGCAUCUAAAGUAGUGACUAAGAAAGUCAUGGCAGACUUUGUCCAUGACCGCAUUGUCUGUUGAUUCGGAAUCCCAGAGUCAAUUAUUACUGAUAAUUGCUCCAACCUCAACAAAAACUUGAUGAAAUCUAUGUGUGAAACUUUCAAGAUCAGACACCAGAAUUCCACAGCCUACAGGCCUCAGAUGAACGGAGUUGUAGUAGCCGCCAACAAGAAUAUCAAGAAGAUAUUGAGGAAAACAUAGAUAAGCAUAAAUAGUGGCACGAGAAGUUAUCAUUUGCUCUUUUGGGUAUCGUACCACAGUCUGCACAUCAACUGGGGCAACCCCUUAUAUGUUGGUUUACAAUACAGAGGUUGUCAUUCCCGUUAAGGUAGAAAUUCCUUCCCUAAGGAUCAUACAAGAAGUUGAGCUUGACGAUGCAGAGUGGGUAAAAGUCAUUAUGAGCAACUAGCCCUUAUAGACUGAAAGAGUAUGAAUGCAGUCUACCAUGGUCAACUCUAUCAAAAUAGAAUGUCCAGAGCCUUCAACAAAAGAGUCAAGCCAAGACAAUUCACAUUGGGGCAGCUACUGUUAAAGAAAAUUUUUCCGCAUCAAAAUGAAGCCUAAGGGAAGUUCUCUCCCAACAUGAAAGGUCCAUACAUGGUUCACCGGGUUUUGACAGGAGAAGCCCGCAUACUUGCAGAAAUGGACGGAGAAGUGUGGUCAUAGCCGAUUAAUUCAGAUGCAGUCAAGCGUUACUAUGUAUAAUCUUUAUGAUGUAAAUGAACAACGCCUGAUCUCUUUUUAAGAAGGGAUAUGUAGGCAUCCCUAUGGGUUCGGUCACAAUUCAAUAAGAAUUUCAUCCCCCCCCNNNNNNNNNNNNNNNNNNNNNNNNNNNNNNNNNNNNNNNNNNNNNNNNNNNNNNNNNNNNNNNNNNNNNNNNNNNNNNNNNNNNNNNNNNNNNNNNNNNNNNNNNNNNNNNNNNNNNNNNNNNNNNNNNNNNNNNNNNNNNNNNNNNNNNNNNNNNNNNNNNNNNNNNNNNNNNNNNNNNNNNNNNNNNNNNNNNNNNNNNNNNNNNNNNNNNNNNNNNNNNNNNNNNNNNNNNNNNNNNNNNNNNNNNNNNNNNNNNNNNNNNNNNNNNNNNNNNNNNNNNNNNNNNNNNNNNNNNNNNNNNNNNNNNNNNNNNNNNNNNNNNNNNNNNNNNNNNNNNNNNNNNNNNNNNNNNNNNNNNNNNNNNNNNNNNNNNCCCCCCCCCCGCAAUUGGAAACUCGGGUAGAAUUUUGAGGAGGACCCUCAAAAUUCCGUAGUAAUUUCAGCCAAUCGCUGCACGCGCAGCAGUCAAAAAUGUCAACCCAUCAAGCUGGGGAAGAAUUUUGAGGAGGACCCUCAAAAUUCCGUAGCUAGAGAGGUUUCAAUGUCCCGAACCACGUCUCAAUCGGCAAUUCAUUUGAAGCUAUUUUUAAUUAUACCUUUACGUCAUACUUAUACAAAAUCUUGUAUAUUUUUAUUGAAACUGCUUUUUUAACAACGCUAGACCAAUAAUACGAACGAUAUAACCAGAUAAAAGUCGAACGAGUCAAGAAAAAGCCAGUGGGGAUACGAACUAACCUCCUCCCUCUUACAAACUCAUGAUUUUCCUUUGGAUACAGUCACUAGGAUUGCAAAAUCAGUAAAUAUACUAUACGCCCAUGGGACAAAUAUUGUUCAAGAAUACUACUCUCUGAAUCGUUGCUCUUGCCAACAUUUGCUAUUAGCACACACCAGUAAUGUUCCGUGUGUCACAAUGCUCCCAGUAAUCACAACCUCGCAAUAUGCUAUCGGCUAAGAAAACUCUACUGUCAGUUUUUACCUUAUUUCUUGCAUAAGGCUACCAUUCUGCCUUCCGAGACUAAACGUUGUCUCCAUCAGCAUUCUUGCAUAGGAAUACCAUUCUAUCUUCCGAGACUAAAUGUUUUCUCCAUCUGCAUCCAAUUUGCAUAAGGCUACCAUUCUGACUUCUGAGACUAAACAUUGUCUCCAUUUGCAUCUGCAUUACAUAAGGCUACCAUCUUGCCUUCGAAUUUACAUAAAGCUACCAUUCUACCUUCCGAGACUAAACAAUGUCUCCAUCUGCAUUUGCAUUGCAUAGGCUACCAUUAUACUAUUCAAGACAAAACGUUGUCUCCGUCUCCAUCUACAUUGCAUGUGGCUACUAUUCUACCUUCCGAUUUACAUAAGGCUACCAUUCUGCCUUCCGAGGUUAAGCUUUAACUCCAUCUGCAUCUACAUUGCAUAAGGCUACCAUUCUGCCAUUCGAGGUUAAGCUCUACCUCCAUCUGCAUCUACAUUGCAUAAGGUUACCAUUCUGCCUUCCGAGGUUAAGCUCUACCUCCAUCUGCAUUUGCAUCUUUGCAUAAGGCUAUCAUUCUUCCUUCUGAGGCUAAGUUGUGCCUCAUAUUUUCUCUAAGACUAAAUGUUGUCUCCAUCUGCAUUUUCCCAUAAGACUACCAUUUUGCCGUCACAGAGUAAAUGCUGACUCCAUCUGCAUUUCUGCAAAAGGCUACAAUUCUGUUUUCCGAGGAUAAGCUCUAUCUCCAUCUACAUUCGCAUCUUUGCAUAAGGCUAUCAUUCUGUCUUCUGAGGUUAAGGUCUUCCUCUCAUUUUCUUUGAAACUAAGCGCUAUCCUAUGCAUUAUGUAUCUCACUUCUAAUACGGGCUAAGCUCUUCCCUUCAAUUCGUAAGACUAAGCUUUGUCUUGUCCGCAUCAUACUACUGCAUACUUCAUGGGCUGAAAUAUCGCCAACUCAUCCAAAGGCGUCAUCGUUCGGAGGAGCCAUUUUCAUAGCCCGAGAACACAAUGUCAUGGCCUGAGGAUCUCUUUCAAUCUUUUGAAUAUCAUUAUUCAAAGGCUUCUUGGUUCGGAGGCACCAUCCUCAUAUCCCGAGAACAUCAUUUCAUGGCUUUUGAAUCCCUUAUCAUAUGCUUCAUGGCCCAGGACAUCAUGGUCUAAGGACAUCAUCCUCAUAAUCUGAAGAAAACAUUCAUGGUCCAACCUGAAUUUUCAUCAUGUUUAAAUUUUUGCACAUUAUACAUUAUUAUUGCUUCUAUUUACAGGUAAGACGGCGAGCAACGGCUAAUCCGGCAGGAGCAAUCCCGCUCCAGUUCCCCUAGCCAUAUGAAACCUAGUCAUUCCCAUAAAUCGUCCACUCACCAUGCCCUAGAUAUUGCAUCCAUUCUUGAAAUGUCUUCAUCGGUAUACUCCGCCGACAGAUCUCGAACUACAUACGACUUGUUUCCUCUAAAAUCAGGGAUAUGUGAUGACGUCCAAAUCCACUACUAAAAAGUAAUAGACAUGGUCGCAUGCAAUAUAAUUUACCCAACUAUGAGUCAGGGUCGAAUCCCGCAGAGAACAAUGUGUAGGCGAUUAGGAAUGAUAUUGUGCAUUCAAAUGAAGAAACUAGCAAGAAAAUAACCACUAUUAUUUUUAGCCCCAUGGUGGGCGCCAAACUGUUUAUCGUUAUAGAGAACAAUGUGUAGGCGAUUAGGAAUGUAAGAAAAUUAUCACUAGUUGCGCAAUUCCAAACACUAAGAAUUUUUGUUGAAAAAUAUUUUAUCUAAAUGCGGAAAUGUAAACUAACGUAGAAAGCAAUUAAAAUGAUCAAUGGCUAUAAGUAUGAAUGCAUCGGAAAUUGCACUCAAGUAACGAUCCAAUGUAUUUUAUAAUUUUAUAAACGUGAGUGAGUUUAUGUUAAUUAGCCACGGAUAAUAAUUCUUAAUUAGCUUCUUCCGAAGACUAAAAUGACUUCCUAAUCGAAUUAUACUUAUAACAAUUAGAAUAUUAAGCACACCGGGAAGGCUACAAUCAUAUCCCUAGGUAGAAUCUAUAAAAUGAGGGUUAAUGCCUCAAGUUCUUGUUAAUUAAUCUUUCCCAACUCCAAACUUUUUUUCCCAAAAUCAAUUCAGAGUUAAUGGGAGAGUCCUAGGAUUAGAUAAACCCUUUGGAAACAUUAACAAACAAGAAUAAUUAAAGUAACAAUAACUCACUUCAUAAAUAAAUAAAAAUCAUUCAAUACAUAAGCACAAUAAGGCAUUUAAUCCACACUUUAAAUAUGAAUACUCCCAUAAACAAGAUUCAAGUGUUGGAAAUAAAUACUACACACUUAAGUAUUCAAUACAAAGUAAGAAACUGCAGAAACAAACAUGAAUGUGUAAUAAAAUCUUAACCACAAGCUUUAAUCUUCAAGAUCCAAGUGUGUGUGCAAAGCCUUGUCGACGCCCCCUUUUCCAUUGGACGGAGAGUCCAUAAAUCGGGUAUACAAUAUUUUGGGAGGACAACACUUAUUCCCUUACGAGAAUUGGGUUUAUGAGUUUGGAGAGUCGCCACCUAAUGAUUAUAGUGCAUUAGGACACUUUUGAAGGAAUAAAGAAAUUUAGAAGAAAAAACCAGAGUUUGGGUAAGGGCUUAGAGAUUAUCUAUAGGGGAAGGUGUUAGGCACCCCUGAAGAUCCACUAGUGAAUUAAUUAAAAGGAAACAUCGUAGAUACAAAAAAAAAAUGGAAGGGGGUCCUAGGUUUAAACAUAAUAUGGAUCACAUCAAUGCAAUAUCGAGCAAUCACUCCUCAGAAGAGGGGUCACACGUGAUAUUAGCGCACCAGUCAUCAUAUCCAUAUUCAAACCUUUCCCACCCCGUUAAGGUAUUUAAACGCGAUUAGUAUCGUUUACUUAUUGCAUGCUAGUAUCCGUCCCAACCUAUUAGUCCCGGGGUAUUAGGACUUCUAAUCCUAAAGGGAAAGAGGGGGAUGGGGCAUUUAUGGAGUUUAAAGGUUAAAAUACUAGUUUCAACAUAUAAAACAAGUAACAAAUAGAGGGAAUGAACAAAAAAAUAUGUAAGGCUCAAGAAAACCCCUUAAAUCAGACAAUAUAUAGCUUAGCAUGCUUUGCACAUACUGGUUUGGUCUUAAAUUAAAGUUAAAUAGCUAAAUGACUGGUUUAACACAUAUAUUUAGACAGAAAGUCUGCAUUAGGCAACUUGGAUACAAUUGUCAGAAAUUAAGGUACUUUGAACGAGUUAUUUAGAAAGUAUUGGUUUCAGAAAAUUAUCUAAUGCAGAAGACUUUUGAAAAAAAAGAACAAUCUGCAGUGAGUUUAGAAAUGAGUGUUAAAAGAAAUACUAGCAGACUGCCCAAGUAUAAAACACAGAAAUAGUUUUAUAGAAUUUUAGAGAAGAAGACUAAGGAAAAGAGUAAACUGCGGAACUAUUUUUAAAAGACGAGUUCAGGAAAAUUAGAAUCUAGUUGGAAAGCGUUUAGGCAGAAUAUUAGAAAAGAAAUUGUUUCAGAAAAGAUGCAUACUUGAAGAACUCAAAUGUACACUGACUCAAGAGAGUUUUAUAAAAAAGACUAAGGCUUUUGAAAACGUUAUUGAAUUAAGGCAUUAAGGACCAGUUAAUAGACUAGUAUUGCUUUAAACGAAUCAGAAAAGUUUGAUGUGAAUCCUAUAUAUCUAUAUUUAAUUUUCAGAACCUGUUAAAGGAUUUGUGAAUAGAUGACUGUUUUAAUUAACCCUACAGUUGCCAAAUGAAUAUGCAUUCACUAUAGACGUGGUAUCUAUAAAUGAAUUUAAGAAAGGUUUUAAACUCAUAUAGGCAAGAUCUCUAUAUGCAUGGUUACAGAACAUGAAUGUUAAAUCCUAGGCAUGCUUUUUAUGUGAUUUGUAGAAUAGUUAAGCGUUAACCCUAUGGAUAUAGUCUGUAGAUGACUUUUAAUCAGAAAUAUUGAACAGACCUAUAGGCAGGAUUUCUAGUAAGAAAAAUUAAAAUCCUAGAGCAUGAUAUCUACAUUUACUGAUGUAAGAAAGUAAAACCCCUCCCACACCCUUUUACUAUAUUCCCCAAGUUUUAUACAAAUUAUUACAGACCAGAAAAGAGGAAUAAAAAUACAUCAAAGACUAACAGCUAGAUCCGAGAAGCCUAAGUCAAUCUUAAUGUCUAAUAACAUGUGAUCAACCAAUACCGGAUCCAAAUUUCCAAAGCCUUCUCUUUAUCCCAAGUGUUUCAAAGUUCCAAGGAAUCUCAAGGAUACCCGGCAUUGCUUACACUCCAGAUACCAUUUAGAAUUAGAAUAGUGUAGUGCGGAAUAGUCAACUUGUUUGGAUCCAAGGUAAGAAAAAUAAUUACACGAGUAUUAACAAGUUUGGAUCAAAGCACUUUCGCUUAUUUCUCAAACAAUCUAAAUUACGCCAAAUUGUUCCCCGGUAACGGCGACAAUUUUGGUGACGUCCAAAUCCACCGCUAAACAAAAGCAAUAGAUAUGGUCGCAGCAAUAUAAUUACCCAACUAUGAGUCGGGGUCGAAUCACACAAAAAACAAUGUAUAGGCGAUUAGAAAUGUAAGAGAAUUAUCGCUAGUCGCGCAGUGCCAAACAACAAGAAUUUGAGUUGAAAAUUAUUUUUAUAUCUAAGAUGCGAAAAUGUAAACUAACCUAGAAAUCAAGUAAAAUGACCAAUGGCUACAAGUAUAAAAUCAACAGGAAUUACACUCAAGUAACUAUCCAAUGUAUUUCACGAUUUUUCAAAUAUGAGCGAGCUUAUGUUAAUUAGCCAUGGAUAAUAAUUCUUAAUUAGCUUCUUCCGAAGACCAACAAGACUUCCUAAUUGAAUUACACCUAAUCACAAUUAGAAGAUUAAGCACACCCGCAAAGCUACAAGUAGUUCAAUCCUAUCCCUAUGUAGAAUCUAUAAAAUGAGGGUUAACGCCUCAAGUAUAUUUCACGACUUUCCAAAUAUGAGCGAGUUUACGUUAAUUAUCCACGGAUAAUAAUUCUUAAUUAGCUUCUUCUGAAGACCAACAAGACUUCCUAAUUGAAUUAUCCCUAAACGCAAUUAGAAGAUUAAGCACACCCACAAAGCUACAAGUAGUUAAAUCCUAUCCCUAGGUAGAAUCUGUAAAAUGAGGGUUAACGCCUCAAGUUCUUGUUGAUUAAUCUUUCCCAACCCCAAACUAUUUUUCCCAAAAUUAAUUCGGAGUUAAUGGGCAAGUCCUAGGGUUAGCUAAUCUCUUUGAAAACGUUAAAGAAAAAGAAUAAUUAAAGAAACAACAACUCACUUCAUAAAUAUAGAAAAAUCAUUCAAUACAUAAGCACAACAAGGUAUAAAAUCCACACAUUAAUUAAUAUUCCCAUAAAUAAGAUUUAAGUGUUGGAUAAAAUACUACAUACGUAGAUAAACAAAACAAGGCAAGGAAAUGAUGAAAGAAACAUAAAUGGGUAAGAAAACCUAAACCACAAGCUUUAAUCUUCACAACCCAAGUGUGUUUGUGCAAAACCCUAGCUUCAAACUCGUUUUCUCUAGUCUAUGAAGACUGAAAAUAAGCCAAAGAUGUUCUAAUUGUCUGCUUGGACGGGCAUAAAAAUGAUUUGGGGAUUACAAUUGUGAAAUUCCAAAAUUGCCCAGAACUGUCCCAGGUACGAAGCUUCGCGAUCACAUGCCUCUGCCUGCGAUCGCGUAGAGUGGCUGCUGAAGGUUCUGCAAUCGCGUGGAUGUACCUGCGAUCAUGUAGGUUUACUUGUUCAAGCUCUGCGAUCGCUUGCACACUUCUGCGAUCACGUGGAAUUAAUGUCUGCACUUCUACGAUCGCGUGCGUACUUUUGCGAUCGCGUAGAGAUAUCUACCCAGCUGUCAUUUUUCCACUUCAAUUUCAUUCAAACCACCUCAUAGCAUCAUGUACCUAAAAAUCUCACAAUAACCACUAUAAAAACCUCAUUGUAUACUUAAAACGACAUAAAAGCUAAGGAAAAGAGGCUCAAAUGAGUUGUAAAAUCACCCCACAUCAGGAUUCACAUAAGAAAAUAGUAGCCAAGUUGCAUAAACACAGUAAAGGAAACAUGAUAGAACUUAGAAUGUAAACACAUAGUCGAGAAUCAUUAUUUAAACUAAGAGAAAAUACUAGUUGCAAAGUAAGAAUAAUCAGAAAAACAGAGAAAUCACAGUAAGUAAAAUAGUAGGAGCAAACUCAAAUUUCAGCAGAACAUUUGAAGGAUCGAAGAGAACUCAAAGUUGUUUCAGAAAGCAAGGAGUAGAAUUAUAGAGAAGAAGAGAGUAGAAAGCAGAGUGCUUAAUACUAUGAGUGAAAGUGUAAUUUAAUUGUAAAAGCUUCAGUGUUAAAGCGUGUAAAGCCAGUAUUCAAAUGCAAAAAGGGUAGACCCCUUUUAUAGUACAUAAAAUGAGUAGAAAGAGGUAGGAAAAUAACUUUGAAAAUCCGUUUCAAUGAUUUCCCUUCAGUGAAGGGAUUUGAUUUCAAACGGGCAGGAUAAUUAAGGAAAGGUUUUGGUUCAAAAAAUAUUUUCUAAAGCAGUGCAAUAAGGGUAGAUACACAUAAAUUUAAUUAAGGCAGGAGUCUAAUAGUACAAGGUUUGGACAAAGGCAAUCAAUCAGCAGGCAGUAAAAAACAAGAUUUGAGUCUUGGUAUGAAUGAAUCCAACCAGAAAAGGUGAAAAGAGGUUCAUUUUAACGAAAAUCAGUAGCAUAGCUUGUCACUCAAAUAAGUUCAGAAGAGAAGAGAUGACAUAAGCUUAGGGAAACAGCAGAUGAAGCAUGCUCAGAGUUUAAAACGGAAGUCCAGUAAGGCAAACAAGGAUUAAAAGCUCAGUAAAAUACAGAAAGGAAUAUAGGAGAUAGACAUGUAAAAGCAUGCUUAUAGAAACCAGUAGAAGAAAGAACAUAACACAAAAAUAGAAGUACAUUAAUAAGAUGGCAAACAUAAAAACACAAGAGAAAACUCAUAAGAAUAUUGCAUAGACAGAUUCACACAAAGAAAAGAAGAAGAAGAGACAGAAGUCACUUUGAGACAUUUCAGGAACCCUAAAUCGGAAACAAACUAAUCUUAAAAAGGAAAAUUGGGGAAAAAGAUUAAAACGUUGAAGAUAGUAUAGAUUCAUCACAGAUCUAGGCAGAUAAAAGAAGAAGGAACAUCGAACAGCUUUAGGGUUUCUCUGAACCCCUAGAAAUGAGCAGGCUUGGAAGAAAGUCUGGUCUUGAGUCAGAGAUGGCCAUAGCUAGGCUCCUAAAUCUCUAAUACGCCGGAGCAAGGCAGGAGAGGCCACGGAACCACAGAUCUGUAGAGGAUCUGAAUUAACGCCAUCGAGGUCAGACCUUGAAUAUAGAACACCCAUGGUUUAAGGGUGAAGGAAGGUGAGCACAAGUCGUCCAUGGCUUGGGAAGCCAUGGAUUGAGGUGAGCUUGAGGUCGAAGAAGGGUGAGAGGGGCUAGGGUUCGAGACCCUUCGAGAGAGUUUGAGAGGAGAAGAGGGUUUCAGAGGUGGCUUUCUAAGAGAAAUGAGGAUUAGGGUUGGGGGUAGGUGGAAUUAAAAAGGCAAGGUUUGAUCGUGGUCGUUGAUCAAAAGUAUCAAUGGCUUGGAUUAAAAGGAAUCCCGGGCGGAUUUAGUAAUUAGGUCAAGGGGUCGGGAUAAAUGAAUCUAAUCUGUUUCGAAAUUGGAUUGAUUUUAGGUUGAAAUUGAAAUGGAAUUGGGGUUAUAAUUGAAAAGAAAUGAUGCUAGAUAUUAAAUAGCCAGUUAUUCCCUUUUAUUUUAUAAAAAUAGUAAAAGAUAUUUUAAAGGCAAAUUAAAGGUACUAAGUCAGUUAACAAUAUAUAAAUGUUAACUUAAAAAUACUGGGACUAAUUUAUGAUUAUAAAAAAUGCUAUAAAAUCAUUAAGAGGUUAAUAUUGCAAUUAUAUGCAAUUUACUUUUAAAAAUACCAAAUGAAUUUUAUAAAAAUAUGAAAAAAUCAUGUUAGCUAUGAUUUGGCGUAAAUAUGGGAAUAAAAUAAAUCAUUCACCAAAAGUAAUAAAUUAAGGAAUAAUUUAUUACAUUUUAUUGUACAAAAAUAGGCGAUAAAUUGGUUUAAAAAUCAGUAAAAAUAUCAAGACCGUUUGAUGUGCUUAUAUAUAUGCACAUAUAUGCUAUUUUGAAACUAUUUUGGGUAUAAAAUACAUAGGAAAAAAUUGGGUAUCAACAACUGCCCCUCUUUACCCGAAGAGGAUGAAAGAGUUGUUGGGUAAAGAUAAGAUGGCCAAUUUUGACAGGAUCGGUGAUUAAAAAGAGUUUUGACCGAGUUCUAGCUUCUGAUCGGCCUAUAUAUCCCUGUUUUUACAGGAAUCAGGCCACAUGUAGUUCGGGAGCCAUUGACGGAGUGUGCCGAUAGAGAUUUCGAAAAAGACAGACGUGAUGUUUGGAUUUGAAAAGGUGUUUGGAGUAGAAUAGGCUGCGGAGAACCAGAGCAGAAUCUCUCCUGCUCAGAUGGCCAUUUUCUAGCCAGCGUACCUGCAAGUAAGCCAUGUGUCAUAUAUUGUGCAUAGUUUAACUAUGAUGCAAAUUCCCGUUUGACCAUGAAUGUUUUCUUUGGAUGGUUGAGAUGACGUCCUCAGACUAUGACGUCCUGGGCCAUAAAGAGCAUAAAUAAAUAUUCGAAGGCCAUGAAAUGGUGUUCUCGGACUAUGCAUAUGGUGCCUCCAAACUAUGACACAUUUGAAUAAGUUGGUGAUCUUUCAGCCCAUGAGAAGGUGGCAAUCUUUCAGUCGAUGAAUGCAAAAGGUGGUGAUCAUUCAUCCAAAGUCAGAAUUUAAAUGCAGGUGGCGAUAUUGCAGCCAUUCAAACAAGUAAAGUGGCGAUAUUUCAGCCAUGCAGGAUGGAGAUAAGGCUUAGUCUCGUAAGGCAAAUAAGUAGCCCUAUACAGAUGGAGUUAGAUCUUAACCUCAGAAGGCAUAUAGAUAGCCUUAUGCAAAAUGCAGAUGGAGAUAACGCUUAGUCUCGAAAGGCAGAUAAGUAGCCUUAUGCAGAUGGAGGCAGAGCUUAGCCUCGAAAGGCAGAUAAGUAGCCUUAUGCAAGAUAAUGCAGAUGGUGACAGAGCUUAGUCUUGGAAGGCAGAUGAGAAGCCUUAUGCAGAUGGAGGUAGAGAUUAACCUCGGAAGGCAGAUGAAUAGCCUUAUGCAAGAUAAUGCAGAUGGAGACAAUGAUUAGUCUUGGAAUGCAGAUGAGAAGCCUUAUGCAGAUGGAGACAGGGCUUAGUCUCGGAAGGCAGAUGGAUAACCUUUUGCAAGAUAAUGCAGAUGGAGAGAAUGCUUAGUUUCGAAAGGCAGAUGAAUAGCCUUAUGCAGAUGGAGGCAGAUUUUAGCCUCGAAAGGCAAGUGAGUAGCCUUAUGCAUAUAAGGUAGAUAGAGACAGAGCUUAGUCUCGAAAGGCAGAUGAGUAGCCUUAUGCAGAUGGAGGCAGACCUUAACCUCGGAAGGCAGAUAAGUAGCUUAUGCAGGAAAUGCAGAUGGAGACAAAGCUUAGUCUCGAAAGCCAAAUAAGUAGCCUUAUGCAGAUGCAAGAAUGUAAAGGGCAUAUAGUGGUAAGAUUUUCUUAGCUGAUAGUUUAUUAUGACUGCUAGGGAUAUUGUGUGCGGAUAGCUAUAUUCUGAAAGAUUGCUCUUGGUAGUUUUGUUCAUGAAAAGUGUGAGUAUGUGAAUAUAUUCAAUGAUUUGUGACCUGCAUCCAAAGAAAAAUCGUGAGUUACGUAGAGGGGGAAAGGUUAGUUCAUCUUCCCAUGGCUCCUGACGUCGUGUAUCACUAGGGUGGCGUUGCUAAACGACAGCGAUUCAAAUGAUAUUUAUGCAUGAUUUAGUAGAUAUAAUGUAAGUAUAUGUAUAUAUAUUUGAGAAAAAAUGAUUUUUAAUGAACCAAUGACUACAACGUGGUCCCAGACAUUGCAACCUUGCAUGCUCCGGAAUUUUGAGGGUCCUCCUCAAAAUUCUACCCCUGUUUACUGGGCUGGUGCUUCUGACGGCUGUGUUGAAUGACUGAAAAUGAUCAGCCUUAGAAAUUUGAUGGUCAUCCUCAAAAUUCUGCCCCAGUUUACUGGGUUGACACUUCUAGCGAUGAAAAGACUAAGAGACUGACUUCAAAAUUUUGAGGGUCCUACUCAAAAUUCUGCCCCAGUUCCAAUAGCGGGGAAAAUGGAAUUUUUAUUAAAUUGUGACCGAACCCAUAGGGCUGCCUAUGUAUCCCCUCUUAAUCGGUAAUAAGGUCAGGCGUAGUUCAAACAUCAUGAAGAAAAACAUAUGAUUAUAUGUAGUAUCAUUUCACAGCAUCUGAAUUAAUUGGCUUUUGCCAAACUUCUCCAUCCAUUUUUGCAAGAAUAAGGGCUCAUCCGGUUAGAACUCGGUGAACCAUGUACAGACCCUGCCAAUUGGGAGAGAAUUUCCCCUUGGCUUCAUCUCAAUGAAGAAAUAUUUUCUUCAACACCAGCUGCCCCGGUGUAAAUUUUCUUAGUUUAUCUCUUUUGUUGAAGGCUAUGGACAUUAUGUUCUAAUACAACUGACCGUGGAAAAUAGCAUUUAUCAUUUUCCCGUCUAUAGGGCUAACUACUCGCAGUGACCUUUUACCCAUUAUGCAUCCUCCAACUCAGCUUCUUAUAUCAUCCUUAUAGAUGGAAUUUCUACCUCAGCAGGAAUGGCUGCCCCUGUACUGUAAACUAGCAUGUAGGGAGUUUCCCUUAUUGAUGUGUGGACUAUGGUACGGUAUCCCAUUAAGUAAAAUGAUAGCUUCUUGUGCCAUUGUUUAUGCCUUUCAAUUAUCUUCCUUAGUAUCUUUUUGAUGUUCUUGUUGUCUACCUCUACAGCACAUUUAUUUGAGGUCUGUAAGCUGUAGAGUUCUUGUGUCUGAUUCUGAAUGUUUCACACAUUGCUUUCAUCAAGUUGUUGUUGAGAUUGGAACCAUUGUCAGUGAUGAUUGAUUCUGGAAUUUCGAAUAUACAAACAAUUUGGUUGUGGACAAAGUCUGCCACAACUUUCUUAGUCAUUGCUUUGUAUGAUGUUGCUUCGACCCAUUUGGUAAAGUAAUCAAUUGCCACUAAGAUGAGCCCAUUUGAUGCGGCAGGCUCGAUUGGUUCGAUAACAUCCAUUCCCCAAGCGGCGAACAGCCAUUGUGAGCUUGUUGCAUUAAGCUCGUUCGGAGGCACGUUUAUCAUGUCUGCAUGUAUUUGACGGCGAUGGCACUUUCAGACAUACUGGAUGCAGUCCGUUUCCAUAGGCAUUCAAUAGUAUCCUGCUCGGAGUAUCUUCUUUGCUAACAUGAAACCAUUUAUGUGCGGCCCGCAAGUCCGUGCGUGCACUUCAUCCAAUAGUGUGAUUGCUUCUAUUGCAUCGACACACCUUAGCAGUCCUAAAUCGGGAGCCCUUCUACAUAGGAUUCCUCUGCUGUGAAAGAAAUUGUUAGAUAAUCUCCGCAAUGUGCGCUUGUGAGUGGCAUUGGCGAGCUAUGGAUAUUCUCCUGUUGUCAAGUAUUAUUUGAUUUCGUGGAACCACAAUUUUCCAUCCGCUUCUUCCUCAACAUGAGCAUAAUAAACUGGUUGGUCAUAGAUCUUGACCUAGAUGGGAUCAAUUAAAUUUGUAUCUGGAUGCUAGAUCAUGGAUGACAACAUGGGUAGUGCAUCAGCAAACUCAUUCUGUAUUCUGGGAAAAUGCUGGAAUUCGGUCUUUGUGAAUCUCUUCCUCAACUCUUGUAUGUGAUGCAGAUAAGGGAGUAUGUUAGAAUUCUUGAUUGCCCAUUCUUCUCGAACUUGAUCUAUGAGUAGGUAUGAGUCUCUGAUCACCAGUAACUGUUGAAUGCUUAUAUCGAUGGCUAGUUUGAGCCCCAAGAUGCAGGCUUCGUACUCGCCCAUGUCGUUAGUGCAUGGGAACCUGAGCUUGGCAGAUACCGGGUAAUGUUGACCGGUUUCUGAUACUAGGACUGCUCCUAUGCCGACUCCUUUGAAAUUUGCGACUCCGUUGAAAAACAUCCUCCAACCAUCAUAGGAUUCUGCAAUGUCUUCUCCUAUGAAAGCUAUCUCUUCUGAUACAAGGACUGCUUCUAUACCGACUCGUGUAAAAUUCGCAACUCCAUCAAAAACCAUUCUCCAACCAUCAUAGGAUUCUACAAUGUCUUCUCCUAUGAAAGAUACCUCUUCGUUAGGAAAAUACAUCUUUAAUGGCUCGUAUUCUCCUCCCACGGGAUUCUUGGCGAGGUGAUCUGCCAAGGCUUGUCCUUUAACUGCCUUCUGAGUGACGUAAACAAUGUCAGAUUCACCUAGCAUGAUUUUCCACUUGGUGAGCUUGCCAGUAGGCAUGGGCUUCUGGAAGAUAUACUUCAGUGGGUCCAUUCUCGAUUUGAGAUAAGUGGUGCAAGCACAGAAAUAGUGCCUCAACUUCUGAGCUACCUAGGUCAAAGCACAAUAGGUUCAUUUUAAUAAGGAAUACUGGGCCUCAUACGAGGUAAACUUCUUGCUGAGGUAGUAAAUGGCUUGUUCCUUUCACCCCCCCCCCCNNNNNNNNNNNNNNNNNNNNNNNNNNNNNNNNNNNNNNNNNNNNNNNNNNNNNNNNNNNNNNNNNNNNNNNNNNNNNNNNNNNNNNNNNNNNNNNNNNNNNNNNNNNNNNNNNNNNNNNNNNNNNNNNNNNNNNNNNNNNNNNNNNNNNNNNNNNNNNNNNNNNNNNNNNNNNNNNNNNNNNNNNNNNNNNNNNNNNNNNNNNNNNNNNNNNNNNNNNNNNNNNNNNNNNNNNNNNNNNNNNNNNNNNNNNNNNNNNNNNNNNNNNNNNNNNNNNNNNNNNNNNNNNNNNNNNNNNNNNNNNNNNNNNNNNNNNNNNNNNNNNNNNNNNNNNNNNNNNNNNNNNNNNNNNNNNNNNNNNNNNNCCCCCCGGUUUCAUCAAAUUGUCCCAAACCACAAUCGAAUGCUCCAUCCAGUACUGCGUGAUAAAGUAAUAGGGGUCUUUCUGGUUCAGGUAGAACCAAGACCGGUGAUGUUGACAAGUACUCCCUAAUUCUGUCAAAAGCUUUCUGAUAAUCGUCAGUCCAUUUGGUGGAGGCAUCCUCCUUCAACGUCUUGAAGAUAUGUUCACAAAUGACGAUAGAUUAAGCUAUGAACCGGUUGAUAUAGUUUAGUCUUCCUAGAAAACUCAUCACAUCGUUCUUGUUCUUUGGUGGUGGCAAUUCCUGGACGGCUUUCACCUUAAACGGGUCCAAUUCUACACCUCGGUGACUCACGAUGAAACCCAGUAACUUUCCAGCAGCAACCCCGAAUGCACAUUUGGCGGGAUUCAGUUUCAAAUUGUACCUUCUCAAUCUGUUGAAGAAUUUUCUCAAGUCUUCCAUAUGAUAUGCGACUCUUUUGGACUUGAUGAUGACGUCAUCGACAUAUAACUUGAUUUCUUUAUGUAUCAUGUCAUGGAAGAUGGUAUUCAUGGCUCUCAUGUAGGUGGCACCAGCAUUAUUCAAACCAAAUGGCAUCAUUCGAUAAUAGUACAUCCCCCAUUGAGUGAUAAAAGUUGUUUUCUCUGCAUCUUCUUCAUCAUCAUAUAUCUGAUGGUACCCAGCAAAACAAUCAACGAAUGACUGCAGCUCAAGCUUGUUGCAGUUAUCGAUCAGGGUGUGUAUAUUCCACAAGGGGAAGUCAUCUUUGGGACUGGCCCGGUUAAGAUCCUGAUAGUUGAUACAGACUUUCACUUUCCCGUCCUUCUUCGGUACUGGCACGAUGUUGGCUAACCAUGUCGGAUACUCUACUACCCUGAGAACCCUGACUUUGACUUACUUGGUAACCUCUUCUUUGAUUUUCAAACUCAUGUCGGUUUUGAACUUUCUGAGCUUCUAUUUUACCGGCGGACAUGUCGGGUCUAUUGGCAACUUGUGAGCUACUAUAGAUGUGUUGAGACCGGUCAUAUCAUAAGACCAUGAAAAGAUGUCCUCAUACUCUUUUAAGAACUCUGUGUACUCUUUCUUUUCAAAUGGCGACAACUGCACAUUGAUACGUGUUUCCUUGACAUUCUCGGUAUCUCCUAAAUUAACGAUCUCAGUUUCGUCCAAGUUAGACUUGGGCCUAUUCUCAAAGUUCUCGACCUCUCUGACAACCUCUUCUGUUAUAUCAUCCUCUUCUGAGUCUAUAUUUAUUUGUUGUGUUGUCUCGUUGCAAGUCAGAGUCGUUGGUUCAUCACCAAGAUAGGUGAUAGUAAUGAUGUGCAAUUAAAGUAAAUAAUAGAGAAAAUAAUGAGAGAGAGAUAUAUAAUAAACUUAGAAAUGCUUUUGAUUAAAUUCAUAAUUGUUCGAAACAUCAAAGCUCUUUUCAAAAGUAAAGACAAUGCGGAAAGGAAAAAUCAACUAGUAAAACAUAAAGAUGCGAUGCAUGGCGCUUUGUUUAGCCUUGCUACCCCGAAAACUUUCCGAGCCUUGGUGGUUCUGAUCGACCAAUUAGUGAGGCACUCCCCUUGAUUUACAGCUUGUAUGGAAGUUCCUUCCUCCCCUUCCUCCUCGAAGAUAAUAUAACAUUCCAUAUCAUCUUCUAGAAACAAGUUCUUCAUUGCUGCUAAUGCUUCAUCCUCUUCUGAUCCGUAUAUGACAUCAGCUGGCUAAAAGGUCUACUCUAGAAGAGGUAGAGGGUGAUCCAAUGGGUAGUAUGGUCCGCGUCAUGGUGGCGACCAAUGGUUGAACUCCUCCCAGCUGUAUUCAUACCCUAAACCAAAAAUAGUACCGUGUUUCUUCAACUUGAUAGGUUUGGCGAUCCCUUGGAGGUUUUUUCCAAGUCCCUUUCCGGGCUCAUACCCGCACCAAUUCAGGAUUCUUUCAAUCUUAUUGUCCCACCAUUCGUCGUUUUCUACAACAUUGACUCGCUCGAUGUGGUGGUAUGUUUCUCCACAUAUUCUCCUUUUGCCUCCAAUCAUAGGGAUUGUCUGGCAACUGUAUAUGGGGUUGCUACAGUCGCCAUGAAUGAUCCCCUCUUGGUGAUUCCACUCAAACUUUACUGAUUGAUGCAAGGUCAAUGCCACAGCUCCAGCGACGUGGAUCCAAGGUAGUCCUAGCAACAAACUGUAGAAUGUCGGGACGUCUAUCACUCUGAAGUCAACAUCAAACAAAGUUGGUCCCAUUUGCAAGCACAAGCUAAUUUCUCUAACGGUGGAUCUUUGGGACCCAUCGAAAGCUUUGACAUUGAUAGCCCCAUCCUUGAUCUUAUGCAAACCUUUUCCCAACGUCCUGAGAGUUAUCAGUGGACAAAUAUUAAGGCUGGAUCCUCCGUCGACCAAGAUUCUAGUGCUGAAAUAAUCUUCACAUUGCACGGUGAUGUGAAAAGCCUUGUUGUGACUUAGUCCUUCUGGUGGUAGCUCAUCCUCGUGGAAGGUGAUUAUGUGACUCUCAAACACUUGUCCUACCAUAUUCACCAUUUCGCCUCUAGUUAUGUUUUUGGGAACAUAAGCUUCACUCAAUAUUUUCAUCAAAGCAUUUUUAUGUGCCUCACAGCUUUGCAGAAGAGCCAGAAUGAAAAUCUGCGCUAAUGUUUUGUUCAACUACUCCAGCACCAUCUUUAGCCUGUAUAUUUAUUCAAAGGUCAUCAGGCCCAGUCUCAACAAGCCGUCCAGAGGCUUGUUUGCUGGACUCAGCUAAAUGUUCCAGAGUGCAUACCCUGCCUGUUCUAGUCUUGCCAUGUGUGGCGAUCGCUUCUCCAGUUUUUAUUUCCCUUUUCUCCAAGCUUUAGCUCUGUAUUCCCAGGGUAUGGCGUUUGAAUGGAACUGGGUCGCAUCUAUCAUUGUGACUGGAAUAGGCACCCUUGGAGGUAACACUGCAACUUCAAAUGGUGCAGGUGCCUUUGGAAUUAUGAAAUCAACCUCAAUUGGCCCUGGCGCCUUUGUAGAAGGCGCUUCGAACUCGAGCAGUAUGGACAUAUUUACCUCAUUGCCCUCAGAGGGCUGGAUCUGCACAACAAUAGGGUUGAGGGUGACUGUUGGCUUCUUCGUCUCAUCCCUUUCGACAAUAAAUCCAAUUGUCCCUAUGGGGUCCCAAUCAUACUCAAUCUCGAACAUAUGAUGCCGCCUCCCUUGUGGUCAUGCAGAGGGUUGUUUCGGACAUUGGGAACGGGAUCCUUUGCUAUGAUGACCUUAUUAUCAAUAAAGGCCCGAAUCUUUUCUUUCAAGAAGCGGCAUUCAUCAAUAGUAUGGUCUUUCAUUCCGGAAUGGUAUGCGUAGGUUUUGUUUGGAUCUAUCCAUUGGGAGGGAUUUUUUGGAGUUAUGGUUGGGAUAGGGGCAACAUAACCAGCUGCUUUGAGUCUUUCAUAUAGUUGGUUGAUUUUGUUCGGAAAUGGUGUUAUAUUGUCUUGGAGGUCUGCGAUCAAAAUUUGGUCUGGGUCUAGGAAACUUUUGGCGAGCGGGGGGUCAUUGAUAGUGUGAAGGUUGGGCAUUAUAGGCUUGGUAGACGGGUGCUGGUAGGGAAUAUCUUGGUGAAGUGGGCUGAUACGUAGGUGGUGGAGAUGAUUGGUAGGUAGGUGGUGGGAUUUGGUAUGCGGGUGAGGGUACUUGGUAAUUUAGGGGAGGUUGAUAUAUGAGUGGAGUUAAGAGAUACGUUUGUAUUUCAUAGGGGAUUUGGUUCUUUGCGCAGCCAUUAGGGAGUUCACGUCCUUCUUCUUUAAUGUGCCACCAGACUGUAAAGCCUUGUUGGUGUCCUGUAACGCUUUGAGAUUAGUGACCAUACCAUUCUUGAUACCUUCUUCAAUUCUUUCUCCUAACUUGAUGAUGUCGGAGAACUUCUGACCUUCUAUCAGCAUCAGCCUCUCAUAGUAUUGCGGAUCUUGAGCCCGUACAAAGAACCCAUUCAUCUGCUCUUCCUCUAAGGCCGGCUUGACCUUAGCAGUUUCUGACCUCCAGUGAGUAGCAUACUUGCGGAAUGUUUUGGUGGGUUUCUUCUUCAGAUUCUGUAUAUAAAACACAUUCGGUGCAUUUUCUGUGUUGAACCUGAAUCGGUCCAUAAAGUCAGAUGUCAUGCUUACCCAGCUUGUCCAUUUCUUUGAAUCAUGGCUGAUGUACCAAGAUAGUGCAUCUCCUUUCAGACUCCUCAUAAACAGUUUCAUGCAAAUUUUCUCAUCCCUUCGAACUCCUAUCAGCUUAUCACAAUACAUUCUCAGAUGGACCUUGGGAUCACCUGUACCGUCGAACAUUUUGAACUUGGGAGGUUUGUACCCUUCCAGAAGUUCAUCAUCUAGCCAAAUGCAAAGAUCUUCAUAGUUCAAUCCCUCAUCUCCUUCGCUAACUUCGACGCCCUAGAUCCGGCUAGUUAACUUCUUGAGCUCUGCAGCCAGAUUUUUAAAGAGCGAGUGUUUGUCGUUUGAUUCAGUUGCACUUAGGAUUGGUUAGGUAUUGUGGGGUAUAGUCUCCACAAAGAUAGGUGUGUUUUGGAGGUGGUCGUUUGUGGAGUUUUGUGAUUUGGGAAUGAGCAGUGGAGUGUUAUUGCAUGUGUUGCAGGCAUGGGCAUGAGUGAGUUGUACUGGUGGUUGCGAGGUAUUUUGUGGUGGUACGGGGUUCUAGGUAUUAACAUCAGGAGCGGCAAGACUGAUUGAUAGGCAUGCCAAGUUCCGAACUUGGUCUAACUCUUCCCAAAAUUUCAGCAAUGUCUGCUCAAGAUGAGCAGCAGUCCCCUUGGUAAUUGGAGUAUUCUGAGAAGUCUCCUCAAUUUCCUUUUUAGCAUUGGCGUAUCCCAUUAUGCCUUUGUUCUUGUUUUUGAUAGGACUCGGAGGAGGAGGAGGUGGAGGGCCCUUGGAUCUUGUAGAGUAUGUUGAUGGUGCCAGAAUGAAUGAACUAACCUUUGGGGAGGGGAAUGAAAAUAAAAUAAAAACAAAAGGUAAAAAGUUAGUACGGAUUCUGAGAAAGUGAAUGUUACGAUAUUUAAAUACGUUGUGCAGGAAUAUAAGUCAUUUUCUAUUUUGGGUGCCUCAUUGUGCCCGAGGUAGGCCUAGCGACAAAUUAAAUUUGGAGAACUUAUAAUUCUAAAUGCCUCAUUUUAUUGAUUGAAAAUAAGACGAAUCGCAAUUUUAAAAAAAAUAACAAAAAUAAAUGGAAUCGGAGCAGGAGGUGGUAGAGGGCCCUUGGAUCUUGUUGAGUAAGUUGAUGGUGCCAGAAUGCACAAACUAACCUUUCGGGAAGGGAAUAAAAAUAAAAGAAAAAAAAGGUAAAAAGUUAGCGUGGAUUUUGAGAAAAAGGUAUUGUGAUAUUUAAACACACUGUUCAAGAAUAUAAGUCGUGUCCUAAUUUGGGUGCCUUGUUGUUUCCCGAGGUAGGCCUGGUGACAAAUUAACUUUGAAGAACUUAUAAUGCUAAAUGCCUCAUUUUAUUGAUAAAACUAAGACGAGACUAAAAAACAACUUGAAAUAAUGGGAAAUAAAGAUGUCACUAAUGGCCAGUGGCCUUAUUACAUUAUGAAAGCUGGAAAUAAAAGAUCCUAACUACUUGUUCCCAGAAGGUCCUUCCCCAGAUUCGGUAUUCUCGCUUCCCCCGUAUAGCUGCAUCAAGUCGCGCAGUCCUAGCAGCAGAUGGGCUCGGGCUGGGUGUCCACCUGCAUUUCCCUCGACAUUUUGGCAGACUUCAAUCCUUUUCAAGAACUUUCCUUCCAACUCUACUAGACCUCAUUCUAGAAAACCUAACCGUUUGUUGGCAUUGACAGCAAUAUCCUUCCACUCGUCGAUCAGCUUCUGGUGAUCUUUUUGUAUCUCAUGAUGCUCAUUUUUGCAUUCUCGAAUUAUUUUGCGCAAUUGAUUGUACUUAACUUGAACUCUAGCCUUAUUGUCAAUAAGUAUGUGACCUCGGAUUAACCUAGGAGGACCCAAACCAAUGAGAUUAUCUUCCAACCAACCUGAGUAGUGUGGCACACACCCGGCGUGAUACCUCUCUAGCUUAAUAGAUUCUCUCCCCAAGACGAGCUUGCAAUGCCACAUGUGCUGAGCUUCACACCUAUGGGGGCUAUCAUCAUCCUGGAAGUCAGCCCUAAAGUGACUCAUUUUGUCUACCCUUGGUAUGAUUUGCUUCCUCCCAGUUUCCCUCAUUGCUCGGAGAGCCACAUAAGGAUAAGUUUCCCUCAAACUGAUAAGUAUAAGGAAUGGUGCAUCCCGAUAAUGAACAAUGAACUCCCCUAUUGGGACCACUAGUACAUACACUACACUUGAUCUUCCAUUAGAUUCUCAAAUGGCUCUACCCAUCCUCCAGUUUCCUCUGGCUGGGCGAACAUGAUAGGCAUGAAGUUCAUUCUCUUUGGGUGGUGAAAAGUGAUAUGGUCGUACCAAUCUCUGCGUAUGAUCUACUGUCACUAAUCGCCUUACUGCAGGUGUUCUAUUAGCCACAGUUGAAGUAGUACAUUGCACCCUUCAAAGUUCUUAGCCCCUUGCUACCAUUGUUCUAAGGCUCGAUAUAUCUCGGCAAUGAUCAUGGGCACAAUGUUGAAAGACUGCCUGUCGAUCCCUUGUAUUAAGGUCUUGGUUACCAUGGCUAGUCUGGUGUGGAUCCUAGCUUUCUUCAUAGGAAAUACUAUCAUCCCCAGGAAACAGAACAUGAAAACUAAAACCCUUCUGUGGAUGUGCCUAAAGAGGUAAUGGCAAAUUCAUCGGUGUAGGUGCGAUAGGACUUGCUAUGGCCGUACCUUUCAUACAAGUAAUCAAAUGGUAUGUAGGAGUUUUUCUGGGGUUUUCUUGAGUCCCAUCAUCUUAAAUAAUCCUCUACCUUUGUGAUUUUCUGGAAAAAGCAGACCCGGAGCCUCACAAGAAAUACGAGCUAGACCCCCUAUUUCCUCAAGUAAAGGGGUCAUUUCAAUGUCCCCGAAGCGAAACACCAACCGAUCAUUUUCCCAGAACAAAGUAGCAGCCUCGAUAAUUUUAUUGUCAGGGCGGACUUCCAGAAGUGAAGGUAGAUUUCCUAAGUACUUGCGAAGAAGAGUUUGAUCACUGGCAUGAAGGUCCUCCACCAGCUUAGCAGCCUUGGGUGAAUGUUGGUUACUAUACCGAAUCUGGGGACUUCGUGCCUCAUUUUCUGCAGAACAAAGGGUUAGACCCACACUCGACUAUUUAGAUCAAGAAUUAGCAUAAUAGAUAUUUUAGUUCUCCAAAUAAGUGUACAAAACUUGGAGGUGUCCCUUUGGGUUUCAGGGAAACCCGAUGGACUUUGGAUUAGACUAUCUUAAUGAGUCAUUAUGCGGACAACAUAACUGACUCGGCUAAGGUUGACCAUGAUGCAUGAACAGUUUAAUGGAAUAAGGUUUCUACUUUUGAAGUGCUAGACAAGGUACCCUUGAGCGGACAACUCAAGAGGGAAAACAUAACUGACUCGGCUAGGUUUGACGAUGAUGCAUGAACAAUUUAACGGAGUAAGGCUUUUACUUUUUGAAGUGCUAGACUGGUACCCUUGAGUGGACAACUCAAGAGGGAAAGGCGCGGAACCGUCGAAUACACCAUCGAUCGACUAGUUUUACCGCAAAUAUGCCUUUGCCACAUUUAAGGGGUGAUAACAUCGGAAGAGCGCAACCACUCAUUUUAAGCAUUGCUAUAGGAUUUCUUUUGGCACGAGUGGAGUACGAUGUUGAUGAUGCAAUAUUACAAGAAUGAAACAAAUUGACAUGUAUUUUGACGUAUAUAAAAUGAAUGAUUAUAAUAAAUGCUCGAAAUUACAAUGGUAUUAUAAGGCAGUAAAGGAAAGAAAUUAAAGGAACACGAAGAUCCAAGUUAGUCUUCAUGAUGAAAUGAUUAAAGACAAGAAAUAAAGGCAAUUUAAAGAAACAAUGAAGUCACAAAUAAUAUGUAACCGUAAAAAUCCUAAAGAAGUCCCCAGCGGAGUUGCCAUGCUGUCGAUGCCCCCUUUUUCAUUGGACGGAGAGUUCGAAAAUUGAGUGAAUAACAUAAUGAGAGGACAACUUUUAUUCCCUUGCGAGAAAUGGGUUUAUGAGUUUGGAGAGUCGCCACCUAAUGAUUAUAGUGCAUUAGGACACUUUUGAAGUAACAAAGAAAUUGAGAAGAAGAAAUCGGAGUUUGGGUAAGGGCAUAGAGAUUAUCUCGAGAGGAAGGUGUUAGGCACCCCUCAGGAUCCACUAGUGUGGUUCCUAGCAAAGCUAUAAUUUUGACUUUAGAAGAUAAAAGAAAUAAAUAAGGUUUGCACAUAGUAAUUACAAAUAAGUUUAAUGCUUUUAAUAAGUCCUCAAAAGAAAUACAUUUUGACUUUAGAAGAUAAAAGAAAUAAAUAAGGUUUGCACAUAGUAAUUACAAAUAAGUUUAAUGCUUUUAAUAAGAAGAAAGGAAUAGACAACUUUUUUAGAAAGGCAAUUAAUUAAAAGGAAACAUUGUAGCUAAAAAAAAAAAGAAAAGGGAAGGGGAUCCUAGGUUUGAACAUUAUAUAGAUCACAUUAAUCCAAUAUCCAGCAAUCACUCCUUAGAAGAGGGGUCGCACGCGAUAUUAGCGCACCAGUCAUCAUAUCCAUAUUCUACCCUUUCCCACCCCGUUAAGGUAUUUAAACACGAUUAAUCUCGUUUACUUAUUGCAUGCUAGUACGCGUCCCAACCUAUAUGUCCCGGGGUAUUAGGACUUAUAAUCCUAAAGGGGAAGAGGGGGAUGGGGCAUUUAUGGAGUUUAAACGAAAUGAAAUACUAGUUUAGAUAUACAAAACAAGUAAAAAAUAGGGAAUAAACAAACAAACAGGUAAGGCACAAGUAAACCCUUUAAAUCACACAACAUAUAGUUUAGCAUGCCAUUAACAUAUUGGUUUUGGUAUUAAAUUAAAAUUAAGCGGCGAACAGACUGGUUUAACAUAUAUAUUUAGACAGAAAGUCUGCAUUAGGCAACUCGGAUACAGUUUUCAGAAAUUAAGGUGCUUUGAACGAGUUUUUUAGAAAGUACUGGUUUCAGAAACCUAUGAGGGCUAUCAUCAUCCUGGAAGUCAGCCCUAAUGUGACUCAUUUUGUCUACCCUUGGUAUGAUUUGCUUCCACCCAGUUUGCCUCAUUGCUCGGAGAGCCACAUAUGGAUAAGUUUCCCUUAAACUGAUAAGUAUAUGGAAUAGUGUAUCCCGAUAAUGAACAAUGAACUCCCCUAUUGGGAACCACUCGUACAUACACUACACUUGAUCUUCCAUUAGAUUCUCAAAUAGCUCCACCCAUCCUCCAGCGUCCUCUGGCUGGGCGAACAUGUUAGGCAUGAAGUUCAUUCGCUUUAGGUGGUGAAAAGUGAUAUGGUCAUACCAAUCUCUGGGUAUGAUCUACGGUCGCUAAUCGCCUUACUGCAGGUGUUCUAUAAGCCACAGUUGAAGUAGUAGAUUGCACCAUUCAAAGUGCUUGGCCCCAUACUAACAUUUUUCUAAGGCUCGAUAUAUUUCGGCAAUUAUCGUGGGCACAAUGUUGAAAGACUGCUUGUUGAUCCAUUCUAUUAAGGUCUUGGUUACCAUGGCUAGUCUUGUGUGGAUCCUAGCUUUCUUCAAAGGAAAGACUAUCAUCCCCAGGAAACAGAACAUGAAAACGAAAACCCUUCUGUGGAUGUGCCCUAAAGAGGUAAGGGCAAAUUCAUCGGUGUAGGUGCGAUAGGACUUGCUAUGGCUGUACCAUUCAUACAAGUAAUCAAAUGGUAUGUAGGAGUUUUUCAGACAAGUCAGAGCUGGGGUUUUCUUGAGUCCCAUCAUCUUAAAAAAGCCUCUACCUUUGUGAUUUUCUGGCAUAAGCAGACCCGGAGCCUCCCAAUGAAUUCCAGCUAGACCCCCUAUUUCCUCAAGUAAAGGGGUCUUUUCAAUGUCCCCGAAGCGAAACACCAACCGAUCAUUUUCCUAGAACAAAGUAGCCGCCUCGAUAAUUUUAUUGUCAGGCCGGACUUCCAGAAGUGAAGGUAGAUUUCCUAAGUACUUGCGGAGAAGAGUUUGAUCACUGGCAUGAAGGUCCUCCCACCAGCUUAGCAGGCUUGGGUGAAUGUUGGUUACUAUACCGAAUCUGGGGACUUCGUGCCUCAUUUUCUGCAGAACAAAGGGUUAGACCCAGACUCGACUAUUUAGAUCAACAAUUAGCAUAAUAGGAAUUUUAGUUCUCCAAAUAAGUGUACAAAACUUGGAGGUGUCCCUUUGUGUUUUAGGGAAACCCGAUGGACUUUGGAUUAGACUAUCUUAAUGAGUCAUUAUGCGGACAACAUAACUGACUCGGCUAAGGUUGACCAUGAUGCAUGAACAGUUUAAUGGAAUAAGGUUUCUACUUUUGAAGUGCUAGACAAGGUACCCUUGAGCGGACAACUCAAGAGGGAAAAUUAUGCGGACAACAUAACUGACUCGGCUAGGUUUGACCAUGAUGCAUGAACAAUUUAACGGAGUAAGGCUUUUACUUUUUGAAGUGCUAUACUGGUACCCUUGAGUGGACAACUCAAGAGGGAAAGGCGCGGAACUGUCGAAUACACCAUCGAUCGAUUGAUUUUACCGCAAAUAUGUCUUUGCCAAAAUUAAGGGGUGAUAAUAUCGGAAGAGCGCAACCACUCAUUUUAAGCGUUGCUAUAGGAUUUCUUUUGGCACGAGUGGAGUAUGAUGUUGAAGAUGCAAUUUUACAAGAAUGAAACAAAUUGAUAUGUAUUUUGACGUAUAUAAAAUGAAUGAUUAUAAUAAAUGCUCGAAAUUACAACGGUAUUAUAAGGCAGUAAAGGAAAGCAAUUAAAGGAACACGAAGAUCCAAGUUAGUCUUCAUGAUGAAAUGAUUAAAGACAAGAAAUAAAGGCAAUUUAAAGAAAUAAUGAAGUCACAAAUAACAUGUAAUCAUAAAAAUCCUAAAGAUGUCCGCAGCGGAGUCGCCAUGCUGUCGACAUCCCCCUUUUUCAUUGGAUGGAGAGUUCGAAAAUCGAGUAUAUAACAUUAUGGGAGGACAACUUUUAUUCCCUUGCGAGAAAUGGGUUUAUGAGUCUGGAGAGUCGCCACCUAAUGAUUAUAGUGCAUUAGUAAACUUUUGAAGUAACAAAGAAAUUGAGAAGAAGAAAUCGGAGUUUGGGUAAGGGCAUAGAGAUAAUCUUGAGAGGAAGAUGUUAGGCACCCCUCAAGAUCCACUAGUGUGAUCCUAGCGAAGCUAUAAUUUUGACUUUAGAAGAUAAAAGAAAUAAAUAAGGUUUGCACAUAGUAAUUACAAAUAAGUUUAAUGCUUUUAAUAAGUCCUCAAAAGAAAUACAGAUCCACUAGUGUGAUCCUAGCGAAGCUAUAAUUUUGACUUUAGAAGAUAAAAGAAAUAAAUAAGGUUUGCACAUAGUAAUUACAAAUAAGUUUAAUGCUUUUAAUAAGAAGAAAGGAAUAGACAUUUUUUUUAGAAAGGCAAUUAAAUGGAAACAUUGUAGAUAAAAAAAAGAAAAGGGAAGGGGAUCCUAGGUUUGAACAUAAUAUAGAUCACAUUAAUCCAAUAUCCAGCAAUCACUCCUUAGAAGAGGGGUCGCACGCGAUAUUAGCGCAACAGUCAUCAUAUCCAUAUUCUACCCUUUCCCACCCCGUUAAGGUAUUUAAACACGAUUAAUCUCGUUUACUUAUUGCAUCCUUGUACCCGUCCCAACGUAUCUGUCCCGGGGUAUUAGGACUUCUAAUCCUAAAGGGGAAGAGGGGGAUGGGGCAUUUAUGGAGUUUAAACGAGAUAAAUUACUAGUUUAGAUAUACAAAACAAGUAACAAAUAGAGGGAAUAAACAAAAAAAUAGGUAAGGCUCAAGUAAACCCUUUAAAUCGCACAACAUAUAGUUUAGCAUGCCUUGCACAUAUUGGUUUUGGUCUUAAAUUAAAAUUAAGCGGUGAGCAGACUGGUUUAACAUAUAUAUUUAGACAGAAAGUCUGCAUUAGGCAACUCGGAUACAGUUUUCAGAAAUUAAGGUACUUUGAACGAGUUUUUUAGAAAGUACUGGUUUCAGAAAAUAAUCUAAUGCAGAAGAGUUUUGAAAAGAAACAACAGUUUGCAGUGAGUUUAGAAAUGAGUGUUAAAAGAAAAGCUAGCAAACUGCCCAAGUAUAAAACACAGAAAUAGUUGUAUAGAAUUUUAGGGAAAAAGACAGAGCUAUCAAAGGAAAAGAGUAAACUGCAGAACUAUUUUUAUAAGACGAGUUCAGGAAAACUAGUAUUUAGCUGGAAGCGUUUUGGCAGAAUAUUAGAAAAGAAACCGUUUUAGAAAAGAUGCAGACUUGAAGAACUUAAAUGUACACUGAUUCAAGAGAGUUUUAUCAAAAAUAUUAAGGAUUUUAAAAAUGUUAUUGAAUUAAGACGUUAAGGACCAGUUAAUAGACUAUUAUAGCUUUAACGAAUCAGACGAGUUUGAUGCGAAUCCUAUAUUCAUGAUAUCUAUAUUUGAUUUUCAGAACCUUUUAAAGGAUAUGUGAAUAGGUGACUGUUUUAGUUAACCCUACAGUUGCCUAAUGAAUAUGCAUUCCCUAUAGACAUGGUAUCUAUAAAUGAAUUUUCAAAAAGGUUUUAAACUCCUAUAGGCAGGAUCUCUAUAUGCAUGGUUAUAGAACUUGAACGUUAAAUCCUAUAGGCAUGCUUUCUAUAUGAUUUGUAGUAUAGUUAAGCAUUAACCCUAUAGACAUAGUCUCUAGGUGACUUUUAAUGAGAAAUAUUGAACAGACCUAUAGGCAGGAUUUCUAGUAAGAAAAAUUAAAGUCCUAGAGCAUGAUAUCUACCCUUAUUGAUGCAAGAAAAUAAAACCCUUCCCACACCCUUUUACUAUAUUCCCCGAGUUUUUUACAAAUUAUUAUAGACCAGAAAAGAGGAAUAAAAAUACAUCAAAUACUAACAGCAAGAUCCGAGAAGCCUAAUUUAAUCUUAAUAUCUAAUAACAUGUGAUUAAUCAAUAUCUGAUCCAGAUUUCCAAAGCCUUCUCUUUAUCCCAUGUGUUUCAAAGUUCCAAGGAAUCUCAAGGAUUCCCAAUAUUGCUUACACUGAAUAUACCAUUUAGAAUUAGAAUAGUGCAGUGUGGACUAGCCAGCUCUCAGGCAUCCAAGUUCAUAGGGAGCUCAAGGGUCCCAAAGCAUGGCUUGCAAGAGAGGGGCAGAAUUUAUAGCUAGGAGUAAGUGCAAAGUGCAAAAGGAAAUGGGGAACCAUAACAAAUGUGCCACAUGUGCAGAUUGGCACACCCCUAGCCACUUGUUUGGAUUAAGAAAGUUAGGAGCAGACCUUUGAAGGUCAGACCUAAGUCUGGAUAGUGAUUAAGGCACCACCUGACCCAAGUCAAAGCUUAAACACAUAAAGGGGAAAGGGAGUGGGAAUUGAUUUGAGUUAGGGGGCUCUAAAAACCCAGUUCAGAGUCAUAGACAACAAUCAUACAAUGUUGCUAAGGUUGGAACCAUACUCACAUACAAAGGUGAAAGGGAAAGGGGAUUCACAUAAGAAAAUAGUAGCUAAGUUGCAGAAACGCAGUAAAGGAAGCAUGACAGAACUUAGAAUGUAAAUACAUAGUGGAGAAGCAUUAUUUAAACUAAGAGAACAUACCAGUUGCAAAGUAAGAAUUAACAGAAUAAAAUUGCAAUUACGGUAAGUAAAACUGCAGUAGCAAACUCAAAUUUCAGCAGAACACUUGAAGGCACGAAGAGAACUCAAAGUUGUUUCAGAAAGGAAGGAGUAAAAGAAUACAGAAGAAGAGAGUAGAAAGCAGAAUGCUUAAUACUAUGAGUGAGAGUGUAAUUUAAUUGUGAAAGCUUCAGUGUUAAAGCGUGUAAAGCUUGUCUUCAAGUGCAAAAAGGGUAGCCCCCUUUUAUAGUGCAGAAAACGAGUAGAAAGAGGUAGGAAAAUAACUUUGAAAAUUAGUUCAAUGAUUUCCCUUCGAUCAAGGGAUUUGAUUUCAAACGGGCAGGAUAAUUAAGGAAAGGGUUUGGUUCAAAAAAUCUUUUCCAAAGCAGUACAAUAAGGGUAGAUACAAAGAAAUUUAUUCAAGGCAGGAGUCUAUUAGUACAAAUAAGAAAAGGCAACCAAUCAGUAGGCAGUUAAAAUCAGGAUUUGAGUCUUGGUAUGAAGAAAAGGUGAAAAGAGGUUUAAUUUAAAGAAAAUCAGUAGCACUCAAUCAAACCUUAGAAAAAGGAGAUCUGAAUCAAUCACAAGCUGGCAAAAAUCCAUUUAAAAGAAAGGUUCUCAUAUAUAAGGCACCCAACAGCAUAAACAAAAUAGAAUCGUAUAAAAAAUCCAGAGUCAUAACAAAGAAGGUUCAGUAGUCUCUUUCAGAGACUUAUGAGAAAUCAAACAAAGAGAAUAGCAGGUUCAAGGCAAUUAGAAUGUGGAAACUAAUUUGAACACAGGGAACCCAUUUAAGCAAAGCUUGUCACUCAAAUAAGUUCAGAAGAGAAGAGGCGACAUAAGCUUAGGAAAACAGCAGAUGAAGCAUGCUCUGAGUUUAGAACGAAAUUCUAGUAAAGGCAAACAACUAUUAAAAGCUCGAUAAAAUACAGUAAAGGAACAUACGAGAUAGACAUGUAAAAACAUGCUCAUAGAAACCAGUACAAGAAAGAACAGAGCAUAAAAAUAGAAGUACAUUCAUAACACGACAAACAUAAGAACAUAAGAGAAAACUCAUAAGAAUAUGGCAUAGACAGAUUCACAGAAAGAAAAGAAGAAGAAGAGACAGAAGUCAUUUUGAGACUUUUCAGAAACCCUAAAUCGAAAACAAACUAAUCUUAAAAAGGAAAAUUGGGGAAAAAGCUUAAAACGCUGAAGAUAGCACAGAUUCACCACAGAUCUAGGCAGAUAAAAGAAGAAGGAACCUCUAACAGCUUUACAGUUUCUCUAAAACCCUAGAAAUGAGAAAGCUUGGAAGAAAGUAUGGUCUCGAGUCGGAGAUGGCCAUAGCUAGGCUCCUAAAGCUCGAAUACACCGAAGCAAGGCCAGAUAGGCCACAGAACUACGAAUCUGUAGAGGAUCUGAAUGGACUCCAUCAAGGUCAGACCUUGAAAUCUCAAACACCCAUGGCUUAGAGGUGAAGGAAUGCGAGUAUAAGCCAUCCAUAGCUUGGGAAUCCAUGGAUUCAGGUGAGAUUGAGGUCGAAGAAAGGUGAGAGGGACUAGGGUUUUGAGACCCUUCGAGAGAGUUUGGGAGGAUAAGAGGGUUUUAGAGGCGGAUGUCUAAGAGAAAUGAGGAUUAGGGUUGGGUGUAGGUGGAAUUAAAAGGAAAGGUUUGAUCGUGGUCGUUGAUCAAAAGGAUCAACUGCCUAGAUUAAAAGGAAUCCCGGACGAGUUUAGUAAUUGGGUUGGGGUCGGGUUAAAUGGAUUGGGCUGGUCCAAUUGGGUUCAAAAUCGAAUUUAUUUCAGGCUGAAAUUGAAAUGGAAUUCGGGUUAUAAUUGAAAUGAAAUAAGGCUAGAUAUUAAAUAGCCAGUUUUUCUUUCCUAUUUUAUUAAAAUAGUAAAAAAUGAUUUAAAGGAAAAUUAAAGGUACUAAGUCAGUUAAUAAUAUAUAAAUAUUGACCUAAAAAUAUUGGGACCAAUUGUAUAAUAAUAAAAUGCUAUAAAAUCUUAAAGAGGCUAAUAUUACAAUUAUAUGCAUUUUAGUUUUAAAAAUAAAAACGAAUUUUUAAAAAUAUGAAAAAAUCAUGUUUGCUAUGCUUUGGUAUAAAUAUAGGAAUAAAAUAAAUCGUUGACCAAAAAUAAUAAUUUUGGAAAUAAUUUAUUGGAUUAUAUGGUACAAAAAUAGGCGAUAAAUUGGUUAAAAAUUAUUUAAAAUGUCAAAACCUUUUGAUGUGCUUAUGUAUGCACAUAUACGCUAUUUUAAAAAUAUUUUGGGUAUAAAAUACAUAGGAAAAAAUUAGGUAUCAACAAUCCUAGCUUCAAUAAUUAUUUCUCUCUAGCUCUAAGAACUGAAAAUAAGCCAAAGAUAUGCCAAAGAUAUAUUACAAAUGAGCCUAAUCGGGUAUUAAAUGAUUUGGGGAUCAAAGGUCUAAAAUUUCAGAAUUGCUCAUGCAUGAAGAACAUUUUUCGCAAUAGCGAACAAAAGCUCGCAAUUCCCAAACUUGCCCAGGCUCGCAUUUGCGAUGAGACCUUCGCAUUAGCGAAGGUUGACUUCGCAAUUGCGACGUGGUCUUCGCAUUUGCAAACACUGCAUAUUUUUGCUGAGUUUGCAUUUGCGAACUCCUCUUUGCAUUUGUGAAGACUGACUUUUCUGCUUGACUUUGCAAUUCCCAAGCUCUGGUCGCAUUUGCGACCCCUGAGGGCACUGCCCAGAUUUUUCUCUCUUUUUGGCUUCUUUUGACUUGUUUUCACUUGGUUUCUUCGCUAUUAGUUCUAAAUCACAUUCACCCUAUAAAAUAGAAGUAAAUGACAUUAAAUACAUGAUUUUAUUCACUAAAACAUAGCAAAAAAUAUAGGUAUAAAGGCAAGAUAAGUUGGUAAAAUACCAACUUAUCACACCCCCAAACUUGAACUAUUGCUUGUCCUCAAGCAACAAAAACGACAAAAUCUCUUCCCAAGUGAUUAAAUCAACCUCAUAUCCUUAUCAGAACAAGCCAAAAAGAAAGUCUACUUUAAGUACAAAUGCAUGACUUUGAUGGGUACCAGCAAUUACUCCAAAGCAUACGAAUCAUCAAGCACUUCACAUAAACUUCAUUAUACUUCAAGUGCUCAAACACCCAUGCAAAUCAAAGUAGCAACCAAGUCAUAACAUUAAAGUUUUUAAAUCUUCCUCUCCAUCACAAUCAACUUUCUUUGGUCAUUUCUUCCAAUUGAAAUGGGAUUGAAUUCACAACUCAAAUUUCAUGUGCCUUCACAUUUAAGAGAGGAUCCCACACUUAUAAAUCUUGAUUCAAAACAACAAUGGAAUAUCAAAUGGAAAGAAUUAACUCUCUCUCAAAUAGAUGAAAUGCAUACAAGUAAUACCAUAGGCUUGCCCUUCAUGUAUUCCUCGAUUAAUGUAGACAACUCGGUUCAAAAUCAAUUAGGACUUAAGGGUUGUAGUUUAGGCUUUUGGAUAAGGUAUGCUACAAUUUUGAUUAAAGUGACUCAAAACCUUCUCAAGCACUACAAAAUUUACAAUUAAAAUCUACUUCCUUCAAACACAUUUUCCAUCCUUUCUUCACUUUUCCUUCCACACAUAGUCUUUCCUUUAUUCACAACUUUUUAUCACUUUAUUCUAUAUUUUUUUCUUUUUAUUUUUUCAACUUUUUAUCAUUUUUUCUACCUUCCAACUUUUCAAAAACUUCCAUAUCACAACUUUUCCAACAUUCACCCCAAACUUAGGCUUUUAGCCUAUAUUUGCACUUUAAAAGUACUUCGGGAGGUAGGGCGCCAAAAGGUAUAUCAAUUAAGAACAAAGGAUUUAAGCUUGUGAUAUAGUUGCCAAAAAAUAAGGUUAAAGGUUGAAUAGGGGAAAUACUCAAGGAUAGGAAUCUUUAGGCAUACUAGCGGUCCAAAGAAGGCCUAAUAUAAUUUUUCAAACCAAGUUAAUCUAUGAUUUCACCUUGAAGCACAUUCCGGGCAAGUUCUAGACUAUAAGUAAUGCAAAGGAACUCACAAAUAAUCUCCCCACGCAUGGCACAUGAACAUUCAAGUGGAAUACAAAUCCAAAAUCCAAUUGAAAACAAUGACUCAAAGAGGUUGCAUAUAAUAUAUGAAGCUAUUUAGUGAAUCAAAGAGCCAAAAUUUGAGUCUAAAAGUCAUGACAUUUCUACUUCAAUUUUUUUUCUCUUUUUCAACAAUCUACAAUGCAUAUGCUGAGGUUUAACUCGUGUUGGUACCAAGCAAGCCACAACUUGGUCAAUGAGCACAAAUCCCAACUCAAACCAUUUAUUUCCCUAAGUUAACAAAAGCUAAUCCUAACUACAAGACUAAUUCGGAAAAAGUCGACAAAAAUUUGUUUCUACAAUUACCCGGUUCAAGAAGAAAAAUUGGCAUCCUUGGAAAAAGAACUGUGGUAUAAAUAAAACCAAGGAUAUCGCCACUAACACAAAGCAUACUAAAAUAAAUUAAAAUUAAGAAGCUAAUAAGCAUCAAGUACUAACAUGCUAAUAUCAACAUACUGGAACAUACUAAUAUCAACCUACUAAUAUAACACAUGAUAUAGAAAUAUACUAAUAACAAAAUGAAAAAUAGUCACAGUACUAAUCCUCCAAAUAUCCACAAAACAUAACAGUUAUACAAGAAGCCACCCCCAAACAAAGAUGUUGCAAUGUCCCUAAUGCAACAAAACAUUUUAUAGUAAAAAUGGUGGAAAGUGCUCCCUGAAUACUGCAUCAAGCACUCUCCUCGCUAUCUGAUUUAUCCUCAUCCUCCCCUCCUUCUUCCUUGGGCCACUCCAUAGGAACAUCAUCAUUAUCCACAGCCAUGCUCGAUAGUAGUCGGUCCUGAGGCUUUAGGACCUUCCACAUUCCCUUCACACCCUUCCAAAUACGAGUAAAGAAUUUAUCUCUUGUCUUCUCCCUUUUCACCAUCCGGGUGUGUGCCUUUUCCAGGUUUCCAUGGGAAGUGCUCAAUUCACCAUGCUUCUUGACCAGCUCAGUGUAUGCUUUUUCCAGUGCCUUGAGGUGAUCCCCAUGCUUCCUUUGAUCUUCAAUGUAUUUUUGGAAAUCUUUCUUGGAAAUGUGAGCAGAUCCCUCAUAUGUCUCCCCAGGUCCCUAGGGAAGGCCAGCCACUAGCUCGCUAAUCACUCGCAUCUCCUCACUGAUCAUACAAAAUGGCCCUCCUACUGAAGAUGAUGGCUGACUACUCGACUCACCCUAAGAAGAAGAAGAAGAAGAUGUCUUUCUCUUUUUGCUCUUCACUGCUCCACCAUCUACUGUUUUCUUCAAUGGAUGCAAAGGCUUUCCCGGGUCUAUCCAGUUAUCCCCUGGAGCCUCUUCCACCCCAGCAAGCUGUCAUAGCUCAGUGAUAAGUGAAGGGAAGAUCAAUGAGAGAUUGUUCUGCAACCGAUACUCCCUCAGUUUGCUGAUGAAGAGUUCACCAACAUUAACCUGAAUACCGUCAAUGAUGCAGGCUAUCAUCUGAGCUCUUGUGACCAGGAUGCUCCAUAUAUUUGAAACAGGAGAGAUACGACUGCAUAUGAUGGCUAGCCAUAUCUUUGCUUCCGCAGUGAAUUCUUUCGAUGUAAUCCCCUUCUUCUCAGCUGCCCAUGGAACAUUUUCACCCGGGCAUAGUUUGGACACCAACCACUCUCCUGAAGAACAGUCUUCUUCUUUGAAUGGAGUCAUGUCAUGGUCUUGCAAACGGUAAAAACUGUUCACAUCUUCAGCCCCAAAGUGCACCAUUUUACCCCGAAUUAUCGUCUUGGGCUUUUUUAGUCGGAUCGCUGGGAGAUUAGCAUAGAAUUCCCUCACUCAUUACUCAUUGACUCGGCAAGGUUGAGGGGAAAAACAGCUCAAUCCCAUGUAGCCUUACAUAGAACUCGGGAAGACGUUACUGUGCAUCAUCCAUCACUAUUCCACUCUCCGGGAGCACCUUCUUCGAGAUUAGUUCAGCGUAGUACCAUUUUUGGCAUUCUAAUGUAAGGAACAAGUGGUGAUCAAAGGCCUGCUCUUCUUCCACAUGGCUUUCACUUGAGGAUCCUUUGGAGUUCACGCUCAUUGUUCAAUUAUAAUACCUGUCAAAAAGUGAUAAGAGUGAAAACAUGGUAUGGCUAUGAAGAAAAGUCCAAAAUGAAGCAAAUAUGCCAAAAGAAUGAUCGGACAUUCGAAACUCAGACGUAAAAAAAAUUUCAGGAUUUUCAGAUUUUGAAGUGCAAGCCCUGAGAUGUCGCAUUUCCAAGAUAUCUUCACAAUUGCGAACAUGAAAGGUCUGGGAAUUGCGAAGAAGUCCUUCACAAUUGCGAAGAAAUUAGAAAUCCCAAUUUGGGAAUUGCGAAGAAAUCCUGGGAAAUGCAAAGGUUUUAUAAAUGGCUAUUCUUCGCAAUUCCUAGCUUUCGUCCCCGGUAGAGAUUUUUUUCAGAGAGCAGUGAUUAAGCCCUAAAUAUUUUCAAUCCAAGCUAUUUUUAACAAACCCAAUCAUUAAUCAAGCAUAAACCAUGCAUCAAAUUUCAUAAGCAACCAUGAAUCAAGAAAUGUCAAUGGUUUGGCCAAGAAUUUCAUUCGGGCCUUACAUCGAACACAUAAAGAGCACAAAAAUUUUGCUUAUAUUUGACAAGUAGUUGGGUACUCAGACUUCCCCAAAUUUCUUAGCAACCAUAUAUUUACACACUCUCAACCAAACCUAGCCCAGAAAUCAACAUGUGUUUUGAAAAACAAUUUUGACAAUUUUAGGGAAAGGAUGACUGUUAUUUGAGCCCUAAAGUUGCAUAAUACCAAGCAAAAUGAACGAGAAAGUGAAGAUGAAGAAGAAAGAGGAGUAUGAUUAAACUUUAAUACCUAAUUCAUUACAAUGAGGAGUGAGAUUUGAGGGAUUUUACAGUGAUGAGGAGGGAGGGGACCAAGAGUUUGAGAGUUUAGUCGUUUGUUUUCAAUUUUUGUUCAAAAUGAGCAAAAGCCUGGUUUUACCAUACAGAAGUCGCAAUUGCGACAUAAUCUUCGCAAUUGAGAAGCCCAAUGAUUUCUUCUUGUUUUCCAAUUGCAAAAAAAUGACGGUAAUUGCAAAGGGAAAAGUUUGCAAAUGCGAAGUAUGUCCUUGCAGUUUCCAACAGCUACUGGUCUUGGCUUUUUGGGUCAUCCCGACCUGCUCAAAUCAACUCCAAAAAUUCUCAAACUUGGUAUAUUAGUUACAAAUAAUAUACUAAGCUAUUCUAAAAAAGAAAAUUUCAAAAAUGACCAAAAUUUUUGAAAGACGAAGGGUUGCCUCCCACCAAGUGCCGUAUUUAACGUUGUGGCACGACGCAAACAACUUAACCACUUUUCUAGCCACUUGGAUGAUAUGAACUGGGCCACUACCUUGGAAUCAAGCUUGUGACCACGAGCGACGAGAAGUGGUAAUUUGAUGAUCGAGCCAAUGCUUAAAUUCUUCAUUUUGCACUUUUUGGCUCUCAAGUGAGGAAUGUCAUUUUGUUUCUUGUUUCCUCAAAUUGUAAAAUGAAUGAUUGUUGUCUUUCCUCCUUGAAAUCCCUCAUUACUCGUAUAGUUCAAUUUCCAUGUCACCAUACAAUUCCAAUGUUGAAAAAUGUUUGUGACUUCAAACCUUCACUUUGCACAUUUUCUUGGAUUUUGACAUCUUCUUUUUCCCACAGACUAGAGUCAAUCUCAACCAAAUUUGCAUCUACACCGGUUGAAUCUACUUCCAUUUUUUUCUUGGCAUCAUUAACACUCACGGAGUCGAUUGGCGAAUGUUCAUUUCUUGAAUCCUCAUAGUAAAGCUCACUUUCUUCCUCGAAAUUGGACUCUAUUUUGCUUUCUUCCGCACACUCAAGUUGUUGGGCAUAGGGAGCCUCAAUCAUAAUUUGUAUUUGAUCUUCCAAAGUGUGGAUGUGUUCAUCAUUUUAAUUCAAGCCUUGUUCCAAGUUCUUGAGUGCAAAGUUUUGCUUCUCCUCGUUUUCAAGAAUGGUCUCAAACAUGAGCAUUAUUUUCUCAUUUUGAGCAUUUGAGAGUUCUUCUUGGUUGUGAUCAAGUACCAAGUAAGAAAUUUCAUUUUCAAUGUCUAAGGAAGAUUCUGGGUUUUCAUUCACUUCCGAGCCUUUUUUAGCCCUUGAGGCUUCGAUCAUUUCAUCUAUUUGCGAGUGCAACCGUUGAAGUGCUAAAUCAUUUUGGAGACUAGUCUCCAAAAGAUGUUCCAAGGCAUUUUGCUCCUUGUUUCCCUCUUCAAUUAGACACUCCAACAUGAGCUUGAACUCUCCACUUUGUCCAUGCUCAACUUCUUCCAUUUCCAUAGCCCUAUAUUUCUCAUCACAAAAAGUAAACUCAUCAUAGUGGGGGCUUGGGGAAGGGAAGGUCAAAUAUGCAAAAUAAUCCUAAUGACCAUUUUGGCAACCACACUUAUCACAAAUACUCCACCUAUGGGUUUGAAAUAUAUGCACAAUCCACCCCCGGGAGAAUUUAAAUAAUUUUUUCAUGAGUCUGGUCCUCCACUAUAAGGACAAGGAUCAUCAAAGUAUGAACAACUACCAUCCGACCAAUUUUCUUUAUGUGAUGCCAUUUUUCAAGAAUAGGAAAAUAAACAAGAAACUAACAAGAAAUAUUUGACCAAGGUAAGAAAAAUAAUUGCACAAGUAUUUAUAAGUUUGGACCAAAGCACUUUCACCUACUUCUCAAAUAACCUAAAUUACUCCAAAUUGUCCCCCGACAACGGUGCCAGUUUUGAUGACAUCCAAAUCAAUUACUAAAAGGUAAUAGACACGAUCGCAUGCAAUAUAAUUUACCUAACUAUGAGUCGGGGUCGAAUCCCACAAUGAACAAUGUGUAGGCGAUUAGGAAUGUAAGAAAAUUAUUGCUAGUUGUGCAAUGCCAAACACUAAGAAUUUUGGUUGAAAUUAUUUUAUCUAAAUGCGAAAAUGUAAACUAACCUUAAAAAGAAAUUAAAAUGAUCAAUGGAUACAAGUAUGAAUUCAUCAAAAAUUACACUCAAGUAACGAUCCAAUGUAUUUUAUGAUUUUAUAAAUAUGAGCGACUUUAUGUUAAUUAGCCACGAAUAAUAAUUCUUAAUUAGAUUCUUCCAAAGACUAACAAGACUUCCUAAUUGAAUUAACCCUAAAAUAAUUAGAAUAUUAAGCACACCCAGAAGGCUACAAGUAGUUCAAUCCUAUCCCUAGGUAGAAUCUAUAUAAUGAGGGUUAAUGCCUCAAGUUCUUGUUAAUUAAUCUUUCCCAACCCCAAACUAUUUUUCCCNNNNNNNNNNNNNNNNNNNNNNNNNNNNNNNNNNNNNNNNNNNNNNNNNNNNNNNNNNNNNNNNNNNNNNNNNNNNNNNNNNNNNNNNNNNNNNNNNNNNNNNNNNNNNNNNUAGGGUUAGCUAAUCCCUUUGAAAACAUUAAAGAACAAGAAUAAUUAAAGUAACAAUAACGCACUUAAUAAAUAAAUAAAUAAAAAUCAUUCAAUACAUAAGCACAAUAAGGUAUUUAAUCCACAGCUUAAAUGUAAAUACUUAUAUAAACAAGAUUCAAGUGUUGGAAAUAAAUACUACACACUUAAAUAUUCAAUACAAAGCAAGAAAAUGAAGAAACAAACAUUAAUCGGUAAGAUAAUCUUAACCACAAGCAUUAAUCUUCAAUACCCAAGUGUGUGUGCAAACCCUAGCUUAAACACUUGUUUCUCUCUAGCUCUAUGAACUGAAAAUAAGCCAAAGAUAUGCCAAAGAUCCUUUACAAAUGAGCCUAAUCAGGUAUUAAAUGAUUUGGGGAUCAAAAGUGUGAAAUUCCAGAAUUGCAGAUGCCUGAAGCACAUUUUUCGCAAUUGCGAACUUUUGUUCGCAAUUCCUAUUCUUGCCCAGACUGCCCAUGUUCACGUUUGCGAUGAGACCUUCGCAUUUGUGAAGGUUGACAAUGUAGGUUGACUUCGCAGUUGCAAAGUGGUCUUCGCAUUUGCGAACACUGCAUAUUCCUGUUGAGUUCGCAUUUGCGAACUCCUCUUCGCAUUUACGAAGACUGGCUUUUUUGCUUGACUUCGCAAUUCCCAAGCUCCGGUCGCAUUUGCGACCCCUGAGAGCACUGCCCAUAUUUUUCUCUCUUUUUAGCUUCUUUUGGCUUAUUUUCACUUGGUUUCUUCACCAUUACUUCUAAAUCACAUUCACCCUAUAAAAUAGAAGUAAAUGACAUUAAAUACAUGAUUUUAUCACUCAAACAUAGCAAAAGUAUAGGUUUAAAGACAAGAUAAGUUGGUAAAAUACCAACUUAUUCACCCUAUAAAAUAGAAGUAAAUGACAUUAAAUACAUGAUUUUAUCACUCAAACAUAGCAAAAGUAUAGGUUUAAAGGCAAGAUAAGUUGGCAAAAUACCAACUUAUCAAUAUGUAAGCAACUUAGAAGCUAGGGUGCGGCCUAAACCUCUCCAAGGAGCCCCUCAAACCAAAGAUUCCAUCCAAGCCACUCUUCAGCACCAAAUGGCGUGACGAGUCAAAAAUCAUUCCAUGGAUCUUUGCCUUCCCGGAGGAGAAAAUGCUUUACUCCUAAAUAUUGAUGCUACCAAAGGAAAUACCAUGUGCACCCAAAUGCCUAGACAAAUUUCCAUAAAUGAACUUGUCAAAAUUCUUCCUGAUUCUUGGAUCACAAAUUAUAAAAAGUUAAGAGAACUGGAAAAUCUCUGCAAUCUGGUGAGCCAAACUUUACCAAAAUAAAUGACAAAUCCAUUUGCAUAUGCUUUGACCAUUCUCAUCUCAAAAAAAUCAAUAAAACCAUCUUCUCUUGCCAAAUAAUUCAACCCAAAGAUACAACAGAUACAUACCCUGAAUAUGAUGGAGAGUUCUUUUGGAAUAUACAAAGCAUCAUGGAAGAACAUGACUAUGUCAAAAUUUUGACAAAGAAGGAAAAAGGACUUGGUGGUUCAAAUGCCCCUUUAGGGGAUAUUGCCCUUGGGAUCUUAAUUGCGACUAUCAAGACUUCUUGGAAGAUCCAAUUGGAGAAUAUGAUGAACACCACCAGCUUCAUUGGGAGAGGUUCGGCCUCAACGAAAGCAAACUAAAAUCCAAGAAAAGGGGGAAACCCACUGAAAAACAAUUUUGAGACAAAUAUGAAAAUAAAGAUCCUUCAAUUGGCUCAUUAUGUCGUCCAGGUAAAUGUGAAUUCUUUGUCAGUUACAAACCCAGGAAUGGCCAAAAUUACCUGAAAAAUUCACUCCAAGCUGGGAGGAUAGUGAAACCAUACCCAAACCACCAUUAUAUCGUACCCUAGAAUCCAAAAAUCCACCUGAACCUAAAACUUCACCAACUCAAAAAAUCAAAAAUCCCCCACAACCAUAGAUAUUCAUGCUAAGUCCUUCAAGCUCCAGUCAUACCCAAGACUUUCCUUCACUUCAAUCUUUUGAAAAGGAGGGUAUAAGCCAUGCUCCAAAAUUUCCAAGAAAAACAUUGUGCUACCUAUUAGAGAAAAACCCCCCAACAAGUGACAUUGAAGCAACAAUGAACUGGCAAUCAGAAAACUCCAUUUGCCAAAACAAGGUGUUGAACAACAUUGGCAACACCAUAAAGAACGUGGCCCAUACACAAAACAAAAUGAUGAGCAAAGUGGAAACAAUUGAGAAAAAGAUGGAGCACACAUCGUCUCACUACGCCGGACUAAUCAAAGCCUUGGAACUAGGAUUGGAAAAUUUACAAUAUGAGAUUUGUCCGCCGGGAACUUCACUUUUCCAGUUCUUCCAACAACAACAAAAGGAGACAAUAUCCAUCAAAGAGCAAAUUCAACUUCUCAGAAAUGCCCAUUUUGAGCCACAAAAAACCGCAGUUUUCCCCUCAAACCCUAUCUUCUUCCCUAUGUCUCCACAAGUAUAUUCCCCACCAAAAUUAGACUACACCUUUUCUACUUUUCCAUCUACCUCAAAAAAUCCAAUCUCUUUCACCCAAUCCUUAAAAGAAGAACAUGAUUUUGAUAUCGCAAAAAUGGUUUGGGAAAGGGAAGAUGACCUUGCAGAACAGAAGAAAACAAAGAAAAGGCAAGACCAAGGAGAAAGUUCAAAAGGGUCCAACCCCAAAAAUCUGAUGAUUUCAACUAGAAGGCUCCGGACCUCUAGGUCUCCCAGCCAAGAUACAUAUCAUAAGAAGAUACACCACAGUCAGAAUCUCUGAAUACAUCAGACGAUGAAACGAUGGAAUAUAACUCUCAAUUAUGCAAUGAUUCCACAUCAAACUCUUUAUAUGAUAACAAUCCCCCAGUAUUUGUAAAUCAGCCAAGAGACCCAGAAGUAUGUGAAGUAGAUGAGGAACAAGAAGGCAUGAUUGAUGAGCCAAUCCCAGAAAGAUGAUAUGAGCCCAUGGUAUCAAAACCAGUUGGAACUGGCUUCCACACUUUCACCUUAGAUGAAGUCAAGGUUUCAAAAUAGCCUCAAAGGAUCCAGGACUUCUACACUUGGAUGGUGACCAAAAUUUUGGUGGAACGAGAAAAGUAUAUCAUCCUGUCAGAACUUACUUCACGGUCCGCAGGAAUCCUCAGAGAUUGGUGGAACUCACUUGGAAUUCAAGACAAGUACUUUUCUUACUUCCCAAGAUUUUUCCUUCAACAUCAGAAUCCUACAUGAAGUUUUCUGCAGAGAUACUGGCCAAAGACAGGAGAAAAUGCGAAGACAACUCUUCGAAAUGAAGUGUGUGUCAUUUGACAUAAACGACAUUGACAGGCAUUUUAGAAAAAUGGUAAAGAUAUACUUUGAAUUCGGCGGAGACAUCAAUCUCAAGCAAGCCUUUGUCUCUUCCCUUCCAAAGUAGAUGGCAAGCCGAACCAUAACCAUCAUUGAAGAAAAUAUUCAGUCCAUAAUAAUAUCAAAAAUUGGUUACAUCAUGCAAGUUAUUUUUGUCGCAUUCGAUGACUUUUGAACAAAGCGCUCAGCCCUAAAGCAAAUUAUCCAGCAUAAUCCAGCGCUAGACAAAGCAUGCCACAAAUCUAAUCUAAUCACAUGAUCUGGAUGUUCCUACCACAAAUCUAGGCGACAGAGAGAAUUCAGGAGGUUCAAAUAGCAAAUAAUUCCAGAUGAAAAAUCAAGGACCAAGAGACGCACAAAAUACAUCAGACGCAGAAAGCCAGGAUUUCACAAGAAUAGAUGCUUUAUUUGCCAUAAAACUUUUCGCAAAAAAUUGUCCCCGGUCAAGAACAUAUGAAAACUCCUUGAAGAGAUUGAAGAUUACACUAACAUAUAUCUUAGAAAGGAGGAGGACCUUGAAUCCAUAUUCUCUGUGGAUGAUGAACCUAAUGAAAACUUUAUUCUCUCUUGAUAUCUAUGAAGAUCAAGGCAAUGAUCAAUACCAAAUUUCAAAAUUGGUGAUCGAAGCCCGAGAUGACAUCAACGCUCUCGCAGUCGUUCCUCAAGUAGAACUCAAAGUUUAUUCAUCCAAAUGGGAUUAACCAACUCGAGUUAUUACUUUCAUCGACACCUGGGCUAUUUCUUCACUCAUAAAUCCUGCUAUUCUCCCUGAAGAUCAAUAAGUGCCGUAUUUUAAGGAUUUUAACACUACAUCAAAUGCAAUCUUGACCACAACUGUCAUUAGAAAGCACCCGAUCACAAUUGAGUUCUUUCCAGGAUUGAAGUACAGAACCAAACUGCUAGGAUCUGAUUAUUGGGUUUGACAUUUACAGACAACUUCGAGAUCAACUCAAGAUUAAGGGUAACGGGAUAGCUUUUAAAAAGACGUUCAGAUCUUAUUUAGAGAUUCCAAGGUUAUUCCAAAUCAUCAAUGAUGAACAAAUCAAAGAGAUUGAGCAAAAUCUCAUUGAAAAUUCAUGUGCUUGAAUCCCACAAGGAUUUCAUGAAGAAAGGGAAAUGCCCGUUAUGGAAAAACGAAGAGUUUUUUAUCAAGCUCCCUUUCAAGAAGAAUGGAAAUAUCAAUCCAACAAAAGCCAGCCAUUCAGGGAUGAACCCAGAUCAUCUUCAGCUUGCAAAGAAAGAAUGUGAAGAACUUUUGGAAUUUGAUCUGAUAGAGCCAUUAGACUCACAAUGGGCAUGCGAAGCAUUUUAUGUCAACAAAAGAGCUGAACACACAAGAGGAAAACUCAGGUUAUUCAUCAACUACUAGUCACUUACCAUUUCCUCCAAGAUGAUAAGUUCCCUAUCCCAAAUAAACUCACCACUUUCUCCAACUUAGCCAAGGCCAAAUAUUAUUCCAAGUUUGAUUUAAAAUCUGGAUUUUGGCAAUUAGGAAUCCACGUUGAAGAUAGACCCAAAAUGGGAUUUUACAUCCUCGAUCAUCACUUCCAAUAGAAAGUCAUGCCCUACGGGUUGAAAAAUGCACCUUCUUUGUUCCAAAAGGCCAUGAUAAAAAUCUUCCAACUCAUCCUUCAUACCUCCUUAGUUUACAUUGAUGACAUCAUGUUAUUUAGUGAUACAUUAGAGGAACAUUUCAACUUGCUUCGUCAAUUUGAGGCAUUGGUAACACAGUACGGCAUAAUGCUUUCUGCAAAAAAGAUGGUUCUUACUCAAAAGGAGAUCAAUUUUCUCGGAAUGAAUUUUAUCAAACGGGAAUACAGUCCAAGACCACAUAUAUGUCAGGAAUUACUCAAAUUUCUAGAUACCAACAUCACAACAAAGCAUAUCCAACAGUUUUUGGGAGAGAAACAGAAUGAAGCAGUCAGAAAAAUAAAGGAGAUAUCUAAAAAUGGCAAGUCUCUCUACAUCUGUCACGACCCCAACCCUGGUCAUGAUGGCACCCAACACACUGCUAGCAAGCCUGACCAUUUCACAGAUAAUUCCCAACUGAACAGAUUUUUAGAUAUACAACACAAGAAAAAUAUUAAGCCAUGAUAUAGAAAGUCUAAGGAUACGAAUAAAAACACGUGAAAGUUUAACAAAAUAUUGUUGUUUAGCCCAACUAGGACCCGAUGUCACCAAUAUGAGCCUCUAAUACAGAAUCUCAACCAACUAUAAUAUCUGUCUAAGAAAUGUAGAAACAAAAGAUAAAGACUCUGCACUCAUCGUAGAGCACGUGUCUCACAUCAAAAUAGUGUUACGAUGUGAAAUUUCGGGAUAUCAAACCUUCAGGACAUCAUUUUCAUCUAUUACUCACCUCUAGCCAGGCCAAAGUCUAGCUCUCUAUGCCUUUUCCUCUCGAAUUGACCUCCUUGCGCGUCGAAAACCACAAUGAAUCCAUCACAUUAUGCCAAGGGAAAAAAACCAAAUCAAAAUAAUCGAAAAACAACGAGAGAUCCUGAAAUUAGAAAAACCCAAUCCCCAGGACCACUUCUCGAAAAUCAGAAACUUUUACACCAACGGAUUCCUUAUCUAGCCACGAGUCUAUACAUACCCAAAUCACAGGAAUCGGAGACCAUUUGACCCCUCAAAUCCCUAUUUUAAACUCUCUUAAGUUCAAGCCCUAAAUCAUCAUUUUUUACAUUUAAUUCCUUGAUUAUUUAGUCUAAAUCCACGUUUUUACACCAUAAAAUUGUAUUCUAAGUCCAAGAAACCAUACCUGAUUAAAGCCCUCAAAACCCUCUUCAAAAUCGCCACAAAGCUCUCCAAGUUCGAAGUCCAAAAUGUUGUUCUUUCAAAAAUUUGCGAAGAAGACUAUUUCAUUUAACUGCACAGGCAAGACUUCCGCAUCUGCAACAACAACAUGACAUCUAGUUCGAAGUCCAAAAUGUUGUUCUUUCAAAAAUUUGCGAAGAAGACUAUUUCACUUAACUACCCAGGCAAAUUCCUCUUCUGCAGUAAAAAUGUCGCUUCUACGACUUCCAUAUCUGAGGUCCAUGUCCGUUUGUGCGGUCAUUCACUAUAGGGCCUUGAUCGCUUUUGUGACCCAAAUUUUGCACCAGCGGGACCGCUUCUACGGUCCAGGCUUCCUCUUCUACGGAACCCAUUCAAGUCCAAAUUUCUUCUUUUGCGCCUUCCCAUUCGCUUCUACGUGACCGCACCUGCAAUCCCAUAAUCGCAGGUGCGAAAAUACUAGAUACCAGCUAACUUUUAACAUGCAACAACUCCAAAACUCUCCGUUUAGCCAGCCAAACUCACCCCGAGGCACCCGAGACCUCAACAAAAAAUGUAGACAUGAUCCAAUACCCUAUUCAAACUUUUUCAAAUCAUAAAAAACAUAUCCAACAACACAAAAAACCUCAAUUCUCAUCAAUUUCAAGCCUAAGUUCUUCAAAUUCUUCCGAAACUUGCAUUCGAUCAAAACCCAAUCAAAUAACUUCCGAAUCAUCUUAAAUUUUGCACAUAUAUCCCAAAUCACCUAACGAAGCUAAUGCAACUCUCGGAAUUCCAUUCUGGCCCUUGAAUAAAAAUCUCACCUAUCAACCGGAUAUCGCCAAAAUAAGCUUUGCCAAUUCAAGCCUAGUUCCAUAUCGGACCUCCAAAAUUAAUUCCGAUCACACUCCUAAUUCACAAAUCAUUCCCCAAAGCUAACAGAAUCACCGAAAAUCACAUCCGAGCCCUCUAACUCAUAAGUCAACAUCCGAUUGACUUUCCAAACCAAAACUUCCUUAAAGAGACUAAGUGUCUCAUUUCUUACAAAAACCAAUCCAAUUAAACUCUAACACACCAAACGCUGAUAAUGAAGUAUGAAGAAGAAUAAAAUGGGGGAAACGGGGCUGUAACACAUGAGAUCAUGGGUCAAAUCGUCACAAUAUCCCUUCAGAUGGAAAGAAGAUAUUGCAAACUGAUGCCAGCCAUGAAUAUUGGAAUGUUGUUCUAUUUGUUGAAAAAGAUGGCCAGAGGAAAAUAUGCGGAUACGCUAGUGAAAUGUUCAAAGAUGACGUGCAACAUUAUUACUCAACUUUCAAGGAAAUUCUUGCAGUAAAGAAUGGAAUCAAGAAAUUCAAUUUCUUCCUCAUCCAUACAGAAUUUAUAAUAGAAAUGGAUAUGAAGGCCUUCCCAAAGAUGAUCCAGAUAAAUUCAAAAAUUAUUCCCAAUCCUUAGAUUCUCAAAUGGGCUCAAUGGUUCUCUCCAUACAAGUUUCAAGUCAAGCACCUAAAAGAAAAUGAUAAUAUUCUCGCAGAUUUUCCAUCUCGACAGGAAGAAUUCUCAAAAAUCAUUUCCCCAGCAAAAUUAAAGUCAAAGCAACAGCUAAUUAGCCAUGUCUUCAUGCUUUCCAACAUACUAGGAACAAGUUUAUUAAAGCCAACAUAUCAUCCACCGGAACUGUUCAACCACAUGGAUCCCUUUGAUUCGUCAAUUAUUAUGGAAAGAAGAACUUAUUACGAGCUCCAAAUAAAACUUAUUACGAGCUCCAAAUUUUUCGGCAAUAUAGAGGAUCCAUUCUCAAGCCUUAUGGUGUCAAUCCAAAAUAUCCAUUCUGCCAUAUAUUCAUAGCUCAAGCUAAGGAUUUUUCACAAGAAUUAUUAUAGUUUUUCUGGUACCUAUGCCAUCAGUAAUAUAUUUUCAUGGAAUUCAAAUGCAACGUCUUCAAGGAUUUUGAUAAUAUUGCACCAGCUCUUAAAGUAUUUUUUCUAGGCUUCAAGCCUAGAAGAUAUUGGAUGAAAUGUUUCAACGAUUCCUACCCAGCAAAAAUAUUCAUGUUCCAUAGGUCGGUGAAGAUCAUCAAUGGAAAAGUCCAGGCUCAAGCAAAGGCAUCAUUCUGGUGGAAAUUUCCAGUGUCCAUUUUAUCAAUGGACGAAGAAUAUAGCGAAGCACAAAGAAUCCUUUUCCAGCAAAAUAGGUGCAUCUCGAGAGAGAUAUGGCCAAAAGAUUCGGCAAGCUGGAAUUAUACCAACACUCAUCCUCACUGGGAAAGAGUCCGGGAAGCAGCAAAAGAAUAUCAAACCAUAUGAAGUCAUCCGAGAAAAGAUCACUCAUGAAAUUUCAAGAUUAAAGUUGCGGAUUACAUCUCUCAUUCCAAAAGAGAAAGAACACAACGGAUAAGGACCAUCCAGUUCAAGGAAUUACUACACAAGGUCAGUGAAAAGACUCCUAGAAGACAACCCUAGAAGUAAUUAUCUAAAUCCCUGAUAAUCCCAAUAUAAUCCUACGUUACCUACCAAAAUAAAGUCAUCCGAGAAGAGAUCACUCAUGACAUUUCCAUAUUAAAGUUGUGGAUUACGUCUCUCAAUCCAAAGGAGAAAGAACACAGCCGAGAAGGACUGUCAAGUUCCAGGCAUUACUAUGCAAGGUCUUUGAAAAGAUUCCUAGAAGACAACCCUAGAAUCAGUGAAGGAUAAUUAUCUAAAUUCCUUCUAAUCCCACCAUAAUCCUACAUUACCUACCAAACAACCCUCAAAAGUUUCCUACCCAUGCCAAGACAAAUUCCCAUAUCCUUCUAUACUAUCCGGACCCCACUUCCACUUGUUUUCACAUGCUUCCACAUGCCUUCACAUGAUUUGUCACAUGCAACACAAUACUUUCACAUGGCGUCACAUGUUCUCUUAUGCUUUCACAUGCUACACCAUGUAUAUUUAACCCCUUUCACAUGUUUUUAGGUGUUUUUUAGUGGUUUUGCCUGAAGUCCUUCACAUGCCAAGAAGGACCCGCUUGUAGAUAAGUUUGCCAUGUAUGAUAGGUUUAUUUUAUCAUAAAAGUUUGUCUUAUAAUAACCUCAUAGACCUAUUAAAGGAGGCCUUGUAGUAAUUGUAGGAUCAUCUUAUAACCUUUGUAAAUCUUUUGUGAUAUAUUACAUAUGAGUGCUUUCUAAAUUACCCUCUUGUUCUUUCUUUCGAAUGGAUGGAAAGGUCGGUUCAUAUAUGAAAAUAGAGUAAGAAUACUCUUGAAAGUUAGCUUAUUGCGAUGCAAAAGUUUUGUGAGUUAUAAACAGCUAACAUUGGUUAUAGUACAAAAACUUUCUGAGUUGUGUAGAUUGGCAAAUCGUCCCUUAUGGGUUGUUGAAGCCACACCCUUUGUAGGAAAAUUUUAGCGACUAUAAACAAAUUAACUGUUUCUGUAGCUUGGCAAGCCGUCCAUUCUGGGUUGUUGAAGCCAGCCCCUUUUGUAGGAAAACUAUCGUAUCUAUGAUUUAGUUUGCAUUCCUAGAGUCUCUUACUCUAUUCCUUAUAUUGCUCAGUCAAAAUUGGUCAUCAUGUCUUUAUCCGACAACUCUUUCAUCCUUCCCGAGUAAAGAGGGCCAGUUGUUGAUACCCAACGUUUCCCUAUAUAUUUUAAACAUGAAAAAUACCUUCAAAAUAGCAUAUAUAUACGUAUAAAAGCAUGUCAAAACUUUUAAUUAUUUUUUCCAGAAUUCUAACGUUUUAAAUUGAUUAUUUGUCUCCAUUUUUAUCCAUAAAAUCCCCAAUAAUUAUUUAUAAUAUUAUUAUUUUAAUAAUUAAUCUAUUAGAUUUUUAUAUUUAUGCCAAAAUAUGACGAAUAUAAUUUUUACAAAUUUUUAUAGUUAUAUUUAGUAUUUUUAAAGCUUAAUUGCACAUAAUUGCAACAUUAGCCUCUUUAAGAUUUAAUUAUGUUUUGUAUGCAUAAUAUUGGAUCCUGUAUUUUAAAAUUUCUAAUUAUAUAUUAAAAAUCAUUUUGGCAUUUUUAAAUUAUAUUUAGAUAUUAUCCAUUAUUUUCUAUAAAUUAGAUAGGGAAAACAGGCUAUUUAGUUUAUAGCCAAAUUUAACUUUCAAUUCUAGCCUAAAUCAAACGGACCCCCAACCCAAUUAAAAGCCCACUGGAACCAAGCCCAAACCCAAGUCAUACCCAACCCACCUACCCCCAUUCAAUCUUGAUCGUUGAUCAUUCAGAUCAACGGACCCCAUUCCCCUUUCAUAAUUAAACCCAAACGACCCCUCCCCCCCCCCAAACCCCCACAUUCUUCAUUCACUUAACUGACUCUCAUCUUUCCCUAUCUAUCUAUGGUUCUCUCUAGAACCUUCUACUCUUCCCUCCUCUCCGAUGAACCUUAUCCGCCUUCUCCCGCCAUCCCCUACCUGAAUCUAUGGUGGUCUUACCACUUACUAGCCUUAUGCCUCCUUCUUGAACAUGUGUCAUUGUUUUGAGGCCUUCAAGUGAACCAGAGGCAGUUCACUCGCCUUCCAUGGUUUCCCAUGCCAUUUUCCGACCAUCCAUGGUUGUUCGAGUAAGAUAUAUGAUUUUUCCAGCUAAAACUAGUAACUUUUCAAUGUUUUCUCACCUUUUCUGGGUUCGCCGAAACCCUAACUCUAAAUAUUUUUUAUUUUCUUUUUGAUAUGUCUUAGAUCUGUGUAUAUUAUGAGCUUUUGGUAUUUUCCUUAAAGGUUUUUUCCUGAUUUUUUUCAAAGUGACUCUUCGUCUUUAAGAUUAGGGUUUCUUAACCUCUUUAAAAGACUUAUCCUCUGAUUUUCAGUAUUAUCAUAUGAUUUUACUAUGUUUAAAUGGUUUAUUUAUGUUUUUUGUUCUACUGAUUCAUCAUGUGGAAACCCCUAAUUAUUUUUGGUUUUAUCCGAGGUUCUGGAACUAUCUUUGCUUAUGUGAUUUGUAUGUAUACCUGUUUCGAUUAAUUUCUCUACAGUUAGACCUUUCUCUUUAUUUAUUUUGACCGAUUCUAAGUUCUUACCGCUUUUUAAUCAACUCUAUUAAAAACCCUAAUCUCUUAAAGAUUUUCUUCACUUGUUGCUAUGAAUCUUAAAGGUUUUCUUUACUUGCUUAUGUAUGUUGGAUUGACCUUCUUUACCUAUUUAUGUGUGGAAGAUUGGUUUUUUCACUCCGAUUUUAUGUGUUAGCUGUAACUACUUGACUUUGUUAAAGUUUCUGUUGACCACCAUGCUUCGAAUGGGUUCCUUUUUGCUAUCGAGUCCUUAGCCUACUCGUGUCCCUUUUGUAUGAUUGUGUUCAUCUAGUUUAUUCCUCUCAUGCUUCCUUUUAAUGAUAUGGCUGACUUUGCAUGUCUGAGACGCCUGUUCAUUCUUCUCCAUUUAUAUGUCGAAGUGCAAAACCAUGACUCCCUCUUAAUUGAUCCUGAUUUUCUUAAGUUAUAGUUUGAUUGCAAGGUUUUCUUAUAAACCCUUAAAUUUUUACUCGUUUGUUUAAAUUGAUUGAUUUCAUUCCUUUAUUACUUGUGGUGCUUCAUUCUUGCUGAAUCCUUUCCCCAAAUUAGUGUAUUAUGUACUUAGACUCAAUCAUAUGCUCUAUACUUUUACCACCCCUUAUACGGUAAAAAUCAGUCUUUCUCAAACUGAUUUUCUUUCCUUAGUUAUCCUCGUUAGUAUCCGUUUAAGAUGUAAUUCCUUGAUUAAAGGAAGUACUUGUAUUAAUUGAAUUCUAAUUAUGAUUACUUCCAUAGUUGUGAACACUUUUACUUGUUACCGUAUUUUCUACCUGUAUUCAAAGCUAUAAAUAUCCUAUCUCUUUCAUUAACGAAACAAGACUUGGAUUUCAAAAAACUCUCUCUAAUUACAUAAAGAAAAUUAUGUGUUAUUCUACGACUUUUGGACGGCUGCAAGCCAAGGCUAAUCAUCUCUACGUCAUGGUUCUUUCAUUUGUUCACCUCUAUCUUCACUGGUAUGUCCUAGUUUAAUUUAAAGCUUCAACAACAAUAUGAUUCUAUUCCUGCUUCAGUUUCUUUUACUUCUGGCCUGCCUUUACUUCGGUUUCUAUUGUGAAUAUUGUAUCUAAGCAUGUUGAUAUAAUUCCCCUCCCUUUAAACUCAUGUGAUUCAAGCAUGCCUGGACGAUUGUAUUCUUUUACCUACUGUGCUCUUACCAUUUUGUGAACUCCCAAAUCGCAUAUCCCUCCUCUAUGUGUUUCAUGAUUGGUUUGUGAUGAUGCUAGUGUCCAACCAUCUCUGAGCAUGUCUCUUCCAGUCCUAAUACUCCUGCUGAGGUCAGGUUCCUGUUGUCAAUAUAUGUGUAUCUCCAAAUCCUCUUUUACCCCAUGUGUGAUUACUGGAUUCAUUCACUUGCUGAAUGUGGUCUUACCCUGAAGUUUUUGAACUUUAUCUUACUAAUACAGCUGCUUUCAAUCAUCUCUGUUGCUGAUUGACUUCAAAUUGGACCGGUCAUUCCUGUUUUUAAACAAACUCCUUUCAAAGAUGUGUCCUACACUAUCAGUAUACUCUUAGGAUACUUGGUUCUACCCCUUUAGUGUGAGACUUGCCUGGGACCAUUGAGCUCCCUAUAAACUUGGACACAUGAAAGCUAGCCUUUCUACACUGCACUUACUCUAUCUUGGCUAUAAAAUCUGGGUGUGAUCAUUGCCCAGGAUCCCUUGAGGUCCUUAGGGAACUCUGACACACCUAGAUGUAAGGAAAAGUUAUGAAACAGUCUUGGAAAUUGAGGUGAUUGAUUACAUAACUUAGAGAGGAAGUCCUAAUCAGGCUUCCUAUAGUGUAAAUUCGUAUUUUCAUUAUGUAAUUCAUUUCAAUAUUGGUCUAUAAUAACUUGUUAUACACAAGUAUUCGGGUUGGCUAGUGAAAAGGGAUGGGGCAAAAAUGCAUGUUAUAGUUGUUAAAGUUAGAAAACAUGUUAUUAGGUUUAUGUUCCUAAUUGUGUAAUAGAAAUCAUGCUUAGGGUCCAUACAUGCAUUAGAAACCAUGCUCUUAGGUCUCAUGUUUAUUGUUUCAGCAUGUGCACCCCUACAAUAUCAUGUGUUGAAAUCUGCUAAUAAUUAGCACUUUACUAUUAUGUUCUACAUUGCCAUGUGCAUUUAGAAAUCCUGCUCUUAGGAAAUUCUGCAAUCCUGCCAUGUGCAUUUAGAAAUUCUACUCUAAGAAUUCUGCAUCAUGAGUUUUAUACAUGCAUCUUAGAUACCAUGUUUUAGGAUCUCAUUCGUACUUUUAUUCACACAGAGUGUAAACUGUUGAUUAUAAAAGAGGUAAAAACAGCUUCACACUUGAUUAUCUUGUUUAUAAUAACUGGUGAUAAUCUAUGCUUUCCUAUCAACUAGAAAAGCAUGCUCUUAGGAUAAAAUAAUUUCCAUACUGUUUUAAUAACUCGGAAUAACUACUGCAUAGUACUUUACUCUAGGAAAGUCUUAGGUAAAUGCUUAAAUAAAAAUAGAAUUGUCCUUGUUUAACUGCCAUUAUGUUAAGAUCAGUAGGCAAGCCAAAUUCGGACUUCUUUUCUAAGUCAUAUAAUAAAUUUGGUUCUGGUGUUAUCACUUAGAUACCAUGCAUAGGAUUUAAAUUCAAACUUUAAUUGUGUAUAAGUCAUGUUGUUUACGUGCAUUACCUGUGGAGGUAUUUUUGAGCCUUUCGUUUCUCUUCCAUGCUACCCCGUAAUUGAAGUCCUACUUGUUAUUGUUUGUCGCCUUAGUAUUUUUCCUUUAAACCUGAGGGUCUUAGUAAUUUGCAUUUAACCCUAAGGGUCUUCCUAGAACCUCCUUAUUAUAGGAUGGGCAUCCAUAAUUCCUCCGAGACUAAUAGGAAGGAACGGGUAACAGCAUGCAAUACGGAUCGAGACAAACCCUCGCUUUAAUUACCUUCACGGGCGGGAAAGGAUAGAUAUGGAUAUGAGUAUCCGUGCGGUUAUACUAUGUGUAGCCCCUCAUUAAAGAGUGUCAUACCGGGUAUUUCAUUGAUGUGAUCCAUAUUACAAAAAAAUUUAGGACACCCCAUUUACAGUUAUAAUCAUGCUCAGAUUGUAACGCUUUUCAAAAUCUUUCUUUCAUUAAUUGUUUUCAAACACUUGUGUAUUUAAACCUAAAUCCCCUACUAUUUGAGCCAUACUUAUUUAUUUGCUACUUGUACCAAAUACACAAACAUUUUUUGGUCGGGAACCGCACUAGUGGAUCAUGAGGGGUACCUAACACCUUCCCAUUAGCAAGCCCUUACCCUUUCUCCGGUUACCAACCUUAUAGGUUCCCUAACGCACCUUAAAAUCAUUCGGUGGCGACUCUCCAAAAAUGCAAACCCCUUCCUAGAAGGAAAGAGUUGUCCCCAAACCAUAAUGUCAUGAACCUGAUUCCGGGAGGGAAAAAGGGAGCGCGACACAAUGCACUCAAUAUGUCCAAUAAUCCAAUUCAACACAAAAGGACCAACCAUAUUGAUGUAAGUCAUCAUUUCUGAGGGACAAUAUGGAGAAAGGGUUGAACUGUAUGAAGUUGCGCAGCACAGAAGACCAAAUUGCAGAUAUUUUCACCAAAGCAAUGAGUGGGGAACAUUUUGAAAGAAACAGGAUGAAUCUGGGGCUUUUGAAGCCCAAUUGAGAACCCGAUUCCUCAUCAAUUGGCAAUAAAAGUCACCUUCAGGUAAAACUAGCUAAAGUAUUUUCUGGUCAAAUCUAACUCACUGCAAUACCAUUACAGGUACACACCCAUGAUGAGUAUAGAAGAUGUGGAUGCAAGGCAUGUAUGAUAAAAGAGGAUUGAUAUUUUCAAAUAAUAGGUCAAGAAUCUGGUUCUUCUACCAAAGGCUAGUAGUUCUGUGCAUUCUUUAAUACACGUCUUGAAAAGAUACAAAAAUCAAUUGUCAUGUCAUCCACCUUUUCAGACCCUGCUAUCAUGUCUCUUGACAUCAAUUAUUCCAUCUCCCUCUAAAACGUAGCACUUCUCCAAGCACAACCACCAUUUCAGAACCGGUUCCUAUCUCUCUCUUCAUAAUUAUCCACUCUUAAUAAAACCCUUCUCUUUUCUCCACAAACCAUAAGUCCUCUAUUAGAACUUCGUCAAAGAACCUUCUCCCCAUCUCUUCAAUGGCUGACACAAACUCCGAAAUCCCUGCUUUAGCCGUCUCAAAUAUUGAAAAACCUAUGGAGUCCUCUGUAUCCACUGAUUCUUCUGUAACCACUCAUGCUCUCACCGUUGAAAUCACCCUCUAAUCUAGAUUCCCCGUCUCACUCCAUCCCACAAACACCUAAAAUUAUUGAUCUGUCCUCUCUAUCUUCUGAGUUUCCCAUUGAUCGAAGAAAAGUGGAGAACAAGGUCAAAGUCCUGAAGUUGCAGAGGGCUCCGCCAUUGUUGCUACAGAUUCUCUGGUGGUAGUAGAGCCUAUUGAGGAAGAAAAUGUCAUAACCAUCUUUGUGGUAUCUGCUGAUGGCGUCCUGCAUGAGAUAAUUUCUCAGAGAUACGAGAUACAUGGAAUGAGGGAUGAAGGAGCCAUAGUAACUGUAAAGAGCUCUACACUAGCAGAAAGUACUGGGCCCUCCCAUGAGGAACCUGACCCCUCUCCGGAGGACCCAGGUCAAGGUUUUCACUCCUAGGCCAGUUCUGCUCCUGCGUUUGUUGUUACGCCCUUGUACAUUUAAGCUCCUGAGAUGAGUUCUAGCGAUGAGGAGGAUUUAGACAACCUGGCUCUUGAUGCUUUCAUAGUCAAGCAAAUGAUUGUGUCCACUCCUAAGUCUUCUAACAAGCGACCUUCUACUAGGUUGCAAGCAAAGGUAGCCUAUGACUCUGCCCUUCAAAAGAGCAGAAAAAUAGUAAGGAUCAAAGGAGGAGAUUGGUGAAAGACAAUGUGCUAGUGUGUGAUAAGGUUGUACCAGUGGUGGAGGUUGAAGAGGAAACAACUUAAGAACCUAGUUCCCUAGUAAAAAGGUCCCAGAAGAAGAAGGGAUUUGAUUCGACAGAAAAUGUUACAAUCCCCACUUUCAUGUUGAAAGAUGUUGGAAGUGAGCUCUCCAUUUCUGAUGCAGAUGUGUUAGUCAAGUCUAAGGUAAAGGCAAAAUCAAGUGGUGUUAAACCUGGAAAACAUAAGUCUAAAACCGUUAAAGAACCUGGCUCUGUGAAAAAACUGAGAAGUGAAAGUAGUUCUGCUUUAAAAUGCCUAAGGCACCAAAAGGUUCUGCUGGGUCGUAACCGAUCUAUGAUACGGCUGGUAUGCGGCAAGUUCUUGCAAUGGUUGAGUUCCAACAAUGGAGGAAUCUGUUUCAAAUGGAUGUACAAAGCUUUUAUGCCAGCCUCUUUCCCGUUGAUACCGACCAUAUCUGUACCUUGGUGAAUAAUGUAGACGUUGUGUUUCACGUGAGUUUGCUCGGGGAUAUUCUCAAAGUCCCUACGGAUGGUGUGUCUUUUCAGAAGGAUGCGUAUCAGUAUAAUUUUUGAAAUAUUGUGGUAAAGGACAAUGCAAACCAAAAAGGGGACCAGAUCCACAAGAAGGCACUAGUCUCUAUUAUCAGUUGCUCUUCGAAUUGGUAAAUAAAGUUCUGAUGCCUCGUGGUGAGAGGAGGUCCAUGACCUCUAAGUCUAACUUAUUUUUGAUGGAGCAACUAGAUGGCUUUAAUCCUAUCAACCUGCCUGUUAUUAUGAUCGAACACAUGCAAAAAGUAGCAACAUUCAAGGAUGGUAAUCAUGGUAUUCUAUAUGGGUUUUUUGUUUACGCAAGUGUUUAUGUUUUUAAGAUGCCAUUGGGGCAAGGCAAGGUAGGAACCAAGAAGCCUCUUUCUCACAGAUAACGUUGGAAGAAUGUGAAUGGACAGAAAAGAGUGGGGGUAGGUAGUACAUCAACCAUCUCAUAGCUCAUUAAUGCUCAAAAUAGUGCAAUCGAGGAGAUUCAAAGGUUGAAGGCUAAGAAUGCUAUCCUGGAAGGUCAGUAAGCCCAAGGGGCUCCGGCCUCAAAUGAUGAAGUGGCUCAUUUGGCACAAGAGAAUACUAAUCUCAGGUCACAAGUGGGGAACGUGAAAAUAGAACUGCUCAAUGAGCAAAAGUCGGCCAAUGCUCGAAUACACUUAGCUCUCUAAACUCUUGCUGCAGCUUCCAAGCCCUCUAAUCCUAGUGCCCCUUAUGUAUUCAGUGACAAGUUACUAGAUUAUCUCUUUUAAGUUCUUUUUUUACUUGGAAGUUGUUUUGUUCAAUCUUUUGAUGCGGUUGGGAUGUAACAGUACUGCUCCAGUUUUUAAUAGUCCAACUUUGCCUUUGCUUAACGCAAAGGUAUAUGAUUUAUAUAUAUCAAAUCCAUCCUCUAUUAUUAUCUUAUUGUUUGUAUUCUCUACUUAUCUUCUCCAUCAUGUUGGGUGUACAUAUAUGGCAUGAGUUAGCUAGGCUAGACUUCUAUAUACAGAUUAUCUGUUUGUUCCUUUUCAAUGAUGCCAAAAGUGGGAAGUUUAUUUUGAAUCAGGGAUCUGAUUAAGGGGGAAGCACAAAGUUAGGGGAAAUUGUAAAGUUGUUGUUGCUUCAUUUGGUUAUUUUUAAUCUAAAAAUAAUGUUAUAAGUGUUUAAGUUUGUCAUCAUCAAAAAGGAAGAAAUUUAUGGGUUUUCAAUACUUUAGUCUUAUGCUUCGAUAAUCUAACAAACUUACUCUCAAGAACCAGAUAAGGAACCUGACAUACUUGGUCUAUAUUGCAAAUUAACGGACUCUAGCUAAAUAUGAACUGAUAUAGCUACAGGACAUAGAGACCCAAACAAAGGACCCAAUACCCUUAUUGUUUCCUCACAACAAUACGAAGUCAAUUGCGCAUAGCUGGAAAGAGAUGCGACUGACUGCACUGUUAUGCCUGUACUGCACUUUCCAGCGGUCACUUUUCUUUGACCAACCAAUUUCUUACAUCAUUCAAGUUAUGUCAUCAAGGUAUAUUAACAAAAGCAUUAUAACAAAACAUCACUUGAACACUUGGAGAUUUACUUCAAGCAUUCAAGCCUUCUGCAAAAUAGUGAACUUAAUUCUAAAGAGCUAGAAGAACAAAGUUAAAUACUGCUACGGAAAAGUUCCUAAAUCUAGUAUUGUGUUAUCCUUAUUUGAGUUGUAACUUUCUGAUUGUUCUUAUUUUAAUUCCUAAAAUUGUUUAUCUAGAAGGGUUGAGUAGUGUUAGGGCCUGACUCUUUGUCAUCAGGCGUGGCACAGCUGUGAUAAGGAUUUAGACGUGAUGGCCUUGUCAUUGGCCUAUGUGCGGACAAAAUGAUCAUGUGGGCGACUAAUUAUUAUGGGAAAGUAUUGGCCAAGGUCCUGGGACAGGCAAAACAAGCAUAGAAAAGUCUUGACAAGACAGUGUGGGCUAAGUUGCGCGCCAAAACUAGUGGCACAGGCAUUUUAGGUUGCGGCAGCUAAGUGCGGGCUAAGCUAAGGAAGGCAGAAAUGCAAGAUGCUGGCAAACACUUUCAAUAGCUAAGGCAAGCCCAUGUGAAGUAAAGUACAAGCAAUGGUACGAGGGAAAUGAAGUUUGACAUGGGCAAGGCAAAAACUAGGCCAAGGUAGUAUGCGGGCGGCAGCGGCGUCGGGCGUGUGUGAAAAAUUAAUGGCGGCAGGUUGCGGGCAAGACACUGGUGCGGUUCAAUUUCAAAUUGAGGUAAGGCUUGGAACAAAGCAAGACUUGGGUGUGAAGCAUAGAUGACCAAGUCAAAUGCGCAUGCAAGGCACAUGCCAAAACAGUUGGGGGUUAUAGUUUCUUAACCUCUUGUACCCAUAACUUCCCAUGAAUGAUUAUGCUUGUAUCCAUUAUCCCAUUUCGUGUAUAUCAUGUCCUAGAUAGUUGGGGAUGUCAACUACAUGUUAGGAACAAAGUUCCUUAGCCUGACAAGUGGCAAAAGCCGUAGACAACAAGUGCUAUUGUGUUGUCAAGUCCUAAUGGAUGCCUAUAUGUUAUAAAUAGGGCCUUGGAACUUAGUCAAAUUUAUGUGAGUAACUUCGUGUAUAAUUAUAAGUGGAAAACAAGAGUGAAACAUGAGGAUUUCAAAGUGUUUCAAAAGGGACUGGGCUAGGCUUCGGCGGGUCUUAGUAUUGGCCAAGAACGACUUGUGUUCUUUGUCAAAAGUGGGUUGUGAACGACUUAUGUUCAUAGCAAUGUGAGGGAUCAUUUGUAUAUUUUUGAAAUUAAUGAAAAGGUUGGGAUUUUCCCAUAUUUCUUGUGUUCUUAUUGAAUUACUACCAAAAUUUCAUUGAGGCCAAACUUGCUGAAAUUUGGCUAAGUGUUAAAAAAGGUUGAGUCAAGUGUGUGACCUGACUGUCACGCGGGUAUGACUUUGGACUGACCAAAAAUGCCCUCGUGACAACUGGUAUCUGAUUGGAGGUUUGUGGGAGUGGCAAGAUGAUCGGUGGCAGAUUGUUUGGUGCUAUUUGAGAACAUGGCCGGUGGCACAAAUGCUGAAUUGCAUCAAAGGGUGGAGCAUUUGGAAGCACUCGUUGGGAAAGCUCUUGAAGUAGAUGGCGAUUUUUUUGUUCUUAUAAGAAUGGCACAUUUGGAGGCAGAUUAUCUGGUAAGGCAUGAAACUACGUUGGUAGAAAUGGCAUUGGUAAGCAAAGAAAAAGAAGAACUACGCUAGGAAGUGGUUCAAAUUCGAAGAGCAUUGCAAACUACUGCCCCAAGAAAUGAUGAACACACAAAGUUGAGGAUUCUGAAGUAAAAGGAAUAUGGGGUGCAAGAAGUGCCAAAGAACUGGAAAAUUUCUUUUGGGACAUGGAGCAGUAUUUCCAGGUUGCUCGUGUGUCGGAUGAUAAAAAGGUGACAAUCACACAAAUGUAUUUGACUGAUGAUGCAAAAGUGUGGUGGCAUACACAAGUGAUAGAAGUGGAAAGUGCUGGAUAGCCCAAGAUUGAAACUUGGGAGAUGCUGAAGAAGGAAUUAAAAUCCCAAUUCCUUCCAACUAACUCGUCGUGGGUUGAACGAGAUAGACUGUGUCGCUUGAAACAAAGUGGCACGGUGAGGGAUUAUGUCAUGGAAUUUUCGUCCUUGAUGCUGAAUGUAAGUAAUAUGGCAAUGGAAUACAUGCUGCAUUACUUCAUGAGUGGAUUGAAGCGCUAGGUGCAAUUGGAGUUGAGAAGGCAGACUUAGAAAAGCCUCUCCACUGCCAUUGUUGCGGCAAAUGCAUUGACGGACCUAAACAUAGCUGAUGACCUUGCUGAAACUUCGCAUUCAAAUUCUGAUGGAAGGAAAGGCAAAGCAAGGUAAUGGAAGAAAUGUGGAAAAGUCCAAGCUGCCGAAGAUAAUGGACUUGCCAAGAAUGUGAGAUGGGAAAUUCACAACAGCAAGAAAAAGAGAGGCAAAUUCAAAGGCUGCUUUACUUGUGGUGGACCGCACUUGAAGAAUGACUAUCUGAUGCAGGCUAGGGUGAAUGCUAUGUUGGCUGUAGAAAAACAGGAACAAGUGGCGGAGGCAAAUGUCAUUGUGGCUGAUGUGAAUGGAGCAACAGGGACGUUGUUUUUCAACAACCCCUUGGGGCUGAUUAAUUGAGUUGGCUCGAUGAGGACAUUGAUUUCAAAGGGUGCGAAUGGUUUGUUAGGGCCUGAAUCUUUGUCAUCGGGCGUGGCAUAGCUGUGACAAGGAUUUGGGCGUGAUGACCCUAUCAUUGGCAUAUGUAGGGAUAAAACGAUCAUGUGGGACGGGCUAUUAUGGGCAGUAUUGGCCAAGGUCUUGGGACAGGCAAGACAAGCUUGGAAAAGGCUUGACAAGACAUUAUGGGCUAAGUUGAGGUGGCAUGGCAUGAUAUGCGCCCCAAAAUCAGUGGCACGUGCAUUUUGGGUUGUGGCAGCUAAGUGCGGGCUAAGAUAAGGCAAGGCGGAAAUACGGGAUGAUGGAAAAGGCUUUCAAUAUCUAAGGCAAGGCUAUGUGAAGGAAAAUACAAAAAAUGGCACGAGGUAAACGAAGGUUGACAUGGGCAAGGCAGAAACUAGGCCAAGGCUGUGUGCAGGUGGUAGCGACGUUAGGUGUGUGCGGCAAAAUCAUGGCCGCAAGUUGCAUUCAAGACAUUAAUGCUGAGCAAUGUAAAAUUGAGCUCAGUCUUCGCACAAAACAAUCCUUGGACGUGAAUCAUGUUCACCAAGUCAAAUGUACAUGCAAGGCACAUAUCAAAGUAUUUGGUGGUUAUAAUUUCUUAACCUCUUGUACCCAUAACUUCCCAUGACUAAUUCUACUUAUAUAUAUUAUCCCAUUUUGUGUAUAUCAUGUCCUAAGUAGUUGGGGAUGUCAACUACAUAUUAGGAACAGAUUUAGCCUUAGCCCGACAAGUGGCAAAAGCUGUAGACAACAAGUGUUAAUAUGUUGUCAAGUCCUAAGGGCUGCCUAUAUAUUAUAAAUAGGGCCUUGGGACUUAGUUAGAUUUAUGUGGGUAAUUUUGUGUGAAAUUAUAAGUAGGAAACAAGAGUGAAACAUGAGGUUUUCAAAGUGUUUCAAAAAGGACUACGGCUAGGUUUGGGCAGGUCUUAGUGUUGGCCAAGAACAGCUUGUGUUCUUUGUCAAAAGUUGGCUGUGAAUAACUUGUGUUCAUAGAAAAAUGAGGGGACAUUUGUAUAUUUUUGACAUUAAUGCAAUGGUUGGGAUUUUUAUGUAUUUUCUUGUGUUCUUAAUUAAUUCCUGCCAAAAUUUCUUUGAGGCCAAACUUGAUAAAAUUUGGCUAAGUGUUUAGUAAAGGCUGAGUCAAGUGCGAGACUUGACUAUCCCGUGGGUGUGAUUUUAGACUGACCAAAAAUGCCCCCGUGACAAUUAGGAACCAUAAACUCUCUGAAUUUGUGUUGUGACUAGAGUUGGUCAUAAAUUAAAGUCUUUGUAACUAGUGAGUGACAAAAUGGCUUGUGGUAAGAGUAUCACAAGUUAGUUGAGUUGAAGUCUUUGUAAUGGAGUCAUUACAAAAUGGCUUGUAAUAGUGUGUCUACAAGUUAGUGAAGUUAAAAGCCUACAAGCAUAUGUCGUGAUUUUUAUCCCUUUGAGAUGGAAUCUUUUCACGUAAAAAUCCUGUGUCUUAUUUACUUAGUGUUUCAUUAACAUUCUCAGUAGAAACUCAUAAAGACCAGGUACUCUAUAGUUUGUUGGACUCAUAUAAGCUAACAUUACUAAUAGUUUCAUGGCUCUGAUUAGUUUAACAAUACGACACAUCUCUUCAUGAUUAUAGUUAACUUGACAAUUUUAUGCUUGCGAGUUGCAUACCUUCACAUCACUAACGUAUUAUAACAAGGCCGGAAAUUACGUAUAACGUAUAUAUGGUCAUGAUGCAAAGGAGAUAUUUUAAAGCAAGUAUGUUUAAUAGUUUCAUGCAACCAUUUGGUCUCCUGUGUAAAUGUGAUCUAUAGGGGUGAAUGCACGUAGGCCCAAGUGGUGUAACGUGACACUGCUUCGUCCGAAAAUUUGACUAAUUUCGGUUAUGCUAGAUGAUAUGCAAAAAAAACAAAAUAAGAUAUAGUAUAAAUAAAGUAACACCACUUAACAAAUUGGUUCUUAGUCCAAUGGUCCAGUGCCUGGUUCCCUUAUUGAAGGUCGAGUGUUCUAUUCUUCAUGCCUACAUGAUUUCUCACUUAUUUGUGUUAAGUUUUGCUAAUACAUUGAAAAAACUAGUAGAAAGGAAACUUCUAUGAUGGUUAAGUAAUAAGAAUUAUUGUAUUAUAUUUAAACUCUGUUAUGUAGUUUUUCAUGUGUUGGCUUGCUACUUAUAUCACCGUUUAUGUAUUAGUUGUGACAUCGCUUAUGAAAAGUUCUGCGUACGCCCCUGGUGAUCUAUCGAACAGAGAUAGUGGUAUGUGAUUUAAUGGCACACACAUUGACUUUUCACUCGAUUAAGAAGUCUCAAUGAUCCUUCUAUUUUGUCUCUCCGUCAUUUUUGGUGGUUUACUUUAUACUUGUAUCUCUCUUCCAAAUGGUACACCAAGGAGAUACAACGAUAAGCCGUACAGAAUAUUGAGAAUCCGCACUAAUAUUAGAACUGAAAUGAAAUCAGGUCCUAAAUAACUCCUAGUAAGUCAAUUUGAUAUAUAUUCAUGAAUGAAUAGGAAUAAUCAAUCAUGAAAUCCAUGAGAUAUGAUUAUGGUUUCUUUUCAUUCUAAUCACUAUUAUAAUAUCGGAAAAGGGCCUAAAAUACCCAUAUCGUAUGGUAAAUGGUAUUAAAAGCCCCCGUCCAUCUAUCCAUCUGAAAAUAAAUAGGACGUUAAUUGUAUUAUCAAAUAUACCCGCAACUAACGGAACUCCAUGUGGGCAUCCCAUUAAAUGAUGUGGCAUUCUAUCAUUUGUCCACGUGGCUCAGCGGGGCUGAUAUUGUAUAUUGAUAAAUUUUUUAUCCAUUUAACCGAUCUGACCCACUCAUUCUACCUUAGACCACUCUUUUAACCUUAUACCCACAUAUUUUACUUGUCUUCUUUCCCAAUUUAAAACCUAGGUCAUCAGGUUGUUUACUAUAUUCUUCUUCCCCAAACUUUUUCUUUUUUAACUAAUUAAAUCUUGGCUUUUUCUUUCAAAAAAAGUAGUUACAAAAAGUGAUUCAAGACUGAGUGUAUUCCCUGAAGCAUUACUAUUGUUAUCUUCCUUCUUAGAUUUGUCUUGCACGGUAGUCUAACCAUGUGCCUCCAAUGAUUCAAUGCCAGCAUUGAACCUCUAUGUCACAUUUCCAAGAUUUGGCCCCUUCUGUAAUAAUGAAAGAAGGUGAUGAUAUGCUUGGCUAUCCACAUUUACAGGUUUUUCAAUCUUUGUAUGCUAAAUACUCCAGCCUUGUGGUUGUGAAUUAGACUUCUUCUCACUAAACUAUGACAACAUUGUAUGUUUGAGGUCUUCACAAGUAAGGAUCAUCGGUGCUGCCUCCCGUUUACUGGACUUGUAAACAAGCUUAGGCCCCCCAAGCGGUGAAGAAGGUAACUUCGAGGUAGACUUACUUGUACGCUCAAGACUUUUAUAGGAGAAUUCUGACGGUAAUCCAAAGUAUCACCCUCAAAGGGUUGUGUUAUGUUUUUAUCACCCCCUAUAAUUAAUGCAAGCAAAUCGUUCGGUAUAAUAUAAAAUAAGUGACCCACAUAAAAAUUAAUGGGUCAGAUCGGUUAAAUUGGCCAAAAAUUACUCAAAUACAAUGUCAGCCCCACUGAGCCACGUGAACAAAUGAAAGAACGCCACAUUAUUUAAUGAGAUGCCCACAUAGAUUUGCGUUAGUCGUGGGUGUAUAUUUGAUAAUAGAAUAACGUCCUAUAUAUUUUCAGACGGAUAGAUGGAGGGAUGGGGGCUUUUAUAAACCAUUUACAAUACAAUAGGGGUUUAAGCCUUUUCCGUUAUAAUAUUAUAUUACCAUAUAUGAAUGCUAUUUUCUUCUUAGUUCAUUUUAGAAUAGGAAAAAGGUCAUUAUUAUCCACGUACUAUUGUAAAUAGUACAUGUUUGUCCUCCAUUUCACUUUAUGUCCAAACCACAUCCUACCAUUAACAAACUUGAUGGAAAUACCCCUAACCCUAACAAAUGGCCAAUGUAGCAGUUGACCUACUCCAUUUCCAUGUUAGCUAUCAAGUCACUUAUUUACUGAAUUAAAAAAAAUAAAACAUAUCUGAAAAAACUUAUGGAAUCACUAACUAAGAAGAUCGAGACACUGUCAAAAGCCAUAGAAGUCGAAGCAAGAAAGCAAAAAGUCUGUCGAAAUCUUGCCGGAGUUGGGUCCGAAACCUUCUCCAGCAUCUUUUUUUCUUUUUUCAUCAUUUUUCAUGUGAAAUACUCUUUCCCAAGAACAAAAAACGGAUGAAAACAGAGUUGCAGUAUGACCCCAUAUCAUCCGACCACUAGAAUCCGACAAAUCCACCGGAGAAGCUCCAUAUGACCCCAUCCUAAUUUUUUAAGUUGUCUUUUUCUCAUUUUUUAUUUUUUAGUUUAUUGGUAUACAUCAUCCUCCAAGAUUUAAACUUUUAGUCGUUAAAUUAAACCAUGUUUCAUGGAUCUAAAUUUACUGUUGGGUUUCACUAGAAGAUAGGGAAGCAUUUGGUUUGGACUUUACAUAGAAGUUAAGAAAGGGAAAAGUUAAGCAAUAAAAAUCUGAAAUUCGUGCUUAUUUUCUACUGAAAUCGGAUGGAAAAAAUAAAAAUUGAAGCUUGAAAUGAGAAGAAUAACGCUGAUGUUUAUAGAUUUGAAAAGAAAAAAAAUCACCAUUGAAGGAUUUGAAAGAAUGCUUAAGUAUAUAAAAGGGGUAUUCUAAUUUAAUUUGUUGAAGUUUAAGCAAAGUGUUAGCUGGAAUUUAUUGAGAAUAUUAAUGUUAAGAAGUUAUGUUUGCAACUUGAGUCAGUUUUAUGAAACACUUGGUCUAAUUUGGAUUGAAAAAUUUGAAGCAAAGAUGAAGAACUCAUGGUAGAAGAAGUAGGGAUCCCGGACGGGGUGGGAGUGGGGUUGGGGGGAUAUUUUUUUAUUUUUUUUAUUGAGUAAAUAAGUGACUUGGCAGCUGACAUGAAAAAAAUGGAGUGCGUCAGCUGCCACAUUAGCCAUCCGUUAGAGUUAGGGACAUUUUCAUCAAGUUUGUUAAUGGUAAGGUGGGUUUUAGACGUAAAGUAAAAUGAAAGACAAAUGUGUACUAUUUACAAUAGUACAGGUAUAAUAAUGGCAUUUUCCCUUUGAGAAUUGAUAUUUUCCAAAGUUUACUUGGAGAAUGAAAAAUAUAUAAAAGAAGAGCAGAAGUUGGAGUACUCUUUUCUCCAACUAUGAACUAUCCACAUUCUUUGACAUCAGUUUUGAUGAGUAAGUAGUACAGUAGUAGUUUUUUUCAAGGCUUUGAAAUCGCAUGUAUUUGUCGUUCAAUGGGCUCGUGACAACGGUGUAUGUCCAUAAAGAAUAAAAUUGUUUUCAAAUCACGCAUUUCUUUCUCCUAGAUACAAUUAUUCAUACAAAAUCUUAAUCCAUUUUAACUUUUGAAACAUAAAAGGCACAUCUUCUCAAGUUAAAGUCCGAUUAAGAUAUCAAUCUAACCUUAGUAAACAAAUAUUGAUGAAAUUCUCAAGUUUCAUCAAAGUUAGCAGCAUUGUAGUCUUUCAUAUACAGUUGCAAAGUGACGUUAUGGAUGAAAAAUGAAUUAUUACCGUGAAUUAAUCAUACAAUUCUACUAAAAUAAACGUCUCUUUCUUCCAGGAUAUAAAACUUGAUUUUUAUCUUGGUAGGUAUUAACUCAUGUCCAAUCAUUUGACCUCGGCAAACAAGUCAUGAUAUGACAAUUUAUAUUGAUCAUUAAUAAAAAUUUGUGCUUUAUUUUUUGAUGCAUAAAUAUAUAUUUACUCAAAGCAUUAUCUUAGAAUAUUAAUAUUAUAUUAUAGUAUCACGUAUUAUAUAACACGGCAUACACCUACAUUUCUUGUGCCGAGAAACUAGGUUAAAGGAAAUAAGUAUGUAAUCCACAUUCUGGGUCACACCUAAGGGUAUCUAAUGGGUGGGCCGCGCCGGGCAGGGUAGGCAAAUUUUGGAACCAGACUGAUUGAGAACGAGUCGGUUACGGUUUAGGGCUUACCGAGUUUAACGGGUUCGGUUUCAUCUGGAUAAAAGAUGAACCGUACAGGUUACGGGUACAAGGGGUUGGGCCGGGCCAGGUUAGUGUAAUCUUUAAUUUUUUUUUUGUAUUUUUUAUAACUAUUUUAAAUUAUAUUAAUAUAAAGUAAAAAUAUAAAGAAUACAAUGAAAAUGGGGAAAAAAUUACACUUAUAAAUAGAAAGUGUUACAUCUAUUCUAAAUACAAUUUGAAGUUCGCAUUUAAAAAGUAAAUUAAUAAAAAAAAAGUAAACAAAAUUUUCAUGCAUAAUAAUACUUCAAAUUAAUCUAACAAACUAAAACAUUAAGCAUAAAUACGUCUAAUAAUUUUAAAAUAACACAAAUUGUCUAAGAUCUACUUAAAUAAGAAUUUCUGGAGGAAGCUCAAGACAACUUUUCAUAUGCCUCCUUAAACUGCAUAUGCCACACUUUGACCGAGAUUUAAGACUCGACCACAGUUCUUGCACUUUACUUUCUGAACUUUUUCAUUUUCUUCUGCUACCUCAAAGUAUUCCCAAAUAUAUUAUCGCACUCUAGAAGUACGGGGUAUAAUUUAACUUGAAUUGAUAAUUUGAGUUUGAGAAAUAAGAAAUGUGUGAAGAGAGGAAGAAGAGGUGGGUUGUAUUCACAGUUUUUCAAAGGGUUGAAUUAAUAAUUACAAAAAGUGUUAAAUUUUAAAAAAAAAAAUAGGCCCAAAAAAGGGCUAAAUGUGCAAAACGGUCGUUGGGACAAUGGUCAGAAAGUAAAAAACUAAAAAAAAAACAAAAAAGAAAUUCGAAAGUAGCCAUUAUACCGAUCUGGGCCAGUUCGGGCCAGGCCAGUUAACCGAUUAUACUAUAAAAAUUGUUGACCGGAUUUGAUCGGACCGAUUAACUGGUAGCGCUAACAUAAACGAACCAGCCCCUUGCCCCAUUAGCUCAGCCCCGCCCGGCCCGUUAGACACCCUUGAAUGAAACUCACACCAUACUUCUCUUCUUCAGUUAAUUCAUGUGUCGCACCAUACUUCUCUUCAAGUUGCAUUUUCCACUAGAACGGUCGCCUAAAACCCACGUUGUUUCUGAUGACCACAAUUCUUCUCCUCCUCCAAAUAUCUCAAGUCACCUUCACCAAUGGCUUCUAUGGCUGUAUCACAUCUAUCUUCUCCACUCUCAGUUAUCAAAAGGGCUUUGAGAAUGCCUCCCUUCCUUUGCCCGGUGGAAGAAUAUGAUGCCAAAAACUGAAAUCCCAAUAGAAUUGAGUAAUGUAUUAAUCCAUUUCUUUGCUUCUUUUUUUCCCCUUCAUACUCAUGCUCUUUAGCUCCUUCAAAUGUUUGGAAUUUUGAUUUGCUUAUUACGGUACCCAGCAUUUCCUAGUGGGGUGGAAGUAAUCAGACUCCGCGAUUUUGGCCCAUCGGUUUGCAUCUAUUAUCUGUUGUAAAAAUGUGCUUAAUCUGUUUCAUUAUUUACUUGAAAUGACAAAUCAGUUAAUGUUGGAAUGAAAUGGACUCGAAUAGUGGAAUGGAUAUGUAGGACUUAUACACCCGCCCCAACUAGUUCGGGAUUGAGAUGUAGUUGAUUUUUUCUUCUAACUACAUAUUUCAAGACUAAAAAGGAAAGAUUGACAUAAGGCAUAGUUGGUUGAUUCAUUUGUUUCAGCAAUGUGAUUGAUUUACUGAUGAGGGCUGCGUUAUUUUCAGUUUACCUGUUUGUUCUAGUGGGUAGAGUGAUUGUAUAGAAUCCGGGGUGUCACCUAUGGCUAUAAUGAAUAUGUCUAUCAAUAGUAACAUCUUUCUUGGGCAUUUCCCUGAGCUAUCAUGUGCGGUGUUCUCAUGGUUGAGGUAUGUAUAUGACUUAUUUCUUCAUUCCAUGACUGAUACUGAAUGUGCAUUUCUGUUGGUUCAGUGGUCUUAUCUUAUUGAGUGUGGCAUGUUUAGAGUUCCUCUUUUUAAAAUCGAAGUAAUUGGAUCAAUUUGCUGUCUUAUUACCAACUUCAGAUUUUAAGGCCAAUGCUAAUUUAACUGAUGAUAGUUCUGAACUUUCUUCAACGAGUGUUGCUUCAUGUCGUUACCGAACAGAUAGGUGAAGUCCUUAAUUUUUACGAGUUACUCUUACCCAAGCUGGUGGCUCGGUUAUGAUUGUAACCUGAAGGUCGGGCUCCAGAGUGAACUUCUUAGCUGGAAAGACAAAGUAAGGUGGUUCAGGAAGCCAGUGAUGGCCUAUGUUUUGCAGACUCUCCAAAAUGUUGCCGCACCCGUAUCGGAUCCUCCAAAAAUGUACUUCGGCACACACCAGGCAACAUUUUCAUAGAGUCCGAACAACAUAAGUGGUAGCUGGAAAUACCUUAGUUAUGAGAAUGACACUGAUCUUGAAAAGGAACAUAUUUCUAGGACUAAAAAUAGAUGUUUAGAUAGUCAUUACUUUUGGUGUAAAAGCAAUCUGUUAGUGAAUCUUGAUCAGUAUGUGCAUUUUCUGGAUUUAUUAGGAAGAAGGAUGUAGUAGUUUGCUUCUUUUUGGCUUCUGUCUGAGUGAUGUACUACUUUCAUAGUUUGUACCAUCUUGGUACCUUAGCAAUAAAAUCUUAACCUUAUAAAAAAAUGAGAAGACACUGAUCAAGCUGCAAAAACUGUUUGGAAUAACAAAAGAUGAAGGAAAGACAUAUCUAGCAUGGGAUGUGGUUUGUGAGGGUGAGUUCUUGAUGGCUGCAAGCAGCGAGUAACUCUGUGCAGCUACAAGUCCGUUGCUAGGCAACUUUCUGGCACCUUGAUCAGUUUUCUCCCUCCAUCUGCCCCAUUUAUGUUAAAGUAGGGAAUCUAAUUGAUCAUCUGAUGAGUAGUUCUAUGAGCUUUUGGUUUCAGUCCUUGCCAAAGCUAAACGAAAUGGUUUGAUACAUUCAGGACGAACGCGUAUUUCUUAUGUCUGUGAACAAAGGUCUCUUUGUCCUUCCGUGCAUUGUUAUGACAAUUCUAAUUCUUGUUGUAUGAGAUAUUGCACUUGUAACCCCAGAAGGCAGCAACUCACUGACAAUGCUGCCUUCCUGGUUGAAUUAUGUUGUUGUGAAGGGUUUUGCCGCAUUUUGAUAAAAUUAUCAAUUGAAACUGUAGAUUAUGCUCAUUCUUGAACUAGGUUCUUCAGACGUUAAGUCAGGAUUCUUGAAUCUUUUGAUUGGAAUUUUUACUUCCAUGUCUCUGCCUCUGAAUUGUGACAAUUGUUAUACUGUAAUACUUGGGCCAGAGCAAUCCUAAAUGUAAGUAUAUAAAUUAUGUAAGAUGAUAAACUGUCUCAAGCGAAGAAUUUAAACUUUCUCAAGGGGGAAAGCUUGGAGGGACAAAUCCAAGCUUUGGUUUCUUCUUUCUACAUCCAUUGACUCUUUACAAUGAAAUGUUUAAUAACACGAAAUCCCUUACAAACCAAGAGCUCCAAGGGGUGUCUUCCCUUGCCCGGCCUCAAAGUAGAAAAUUAACAUGGCUAACAUAGCAAGUCUAGCAUGCUUGAUCUCAGCAACCUUCAGUCUCUCAAGCUUCUCUGUGUCAGGGAUGUAAACACCGUCCUGAAGUGUACCAGCUAAGGACAAGGGAUCAAAGAAUUUGCCGCCAG
rnacentral:lncRNA from 1 species